UAACAAACCCUAAAUACCUUAAGCUAAAAUCUAGUAAAUUUGUAACAAACUAUUAACAAACUAAACUAACUAGAUUUCUAAUGUGAUUAACCAAACAAGCUUGAUUAGAUCACUAACAAACUUGAAUUAUCAACUAACACAAAGUUGCGAUAAUAUAAAAAUAAUAUCAGAACUAGUCUCUCUUCAAAUGAAUGAUGCAUCACAACUUAUCUUUCUCCUUUGAUGGAAAAAUUUGUUCUAAUACCAAUUAUUGAAGGAAAAAAAUCAAUAAAAAAUCUUUAAACAAGCGGGAACACAACCACAAAAUAAGUAAAAGAGAUAAAAACAAAUCACAAGCCUAUUUUUCGAUACUUCACAGUUCACACCUUCAUUCAUAAUAUCUUAACAAAAUAUUUGUUACAAAAAUAUGCAUAGUUUUACUAGGAAUUGCAAACCCUCUUGUACAAUUAUAAUUUUUGCACAGAAAUAUUGCAAACUAAUCUUUCUCAAUUACAAUUUUUGUAAGAAAAACUACAAACUCUUUCAUGACACACAACUACCCAACCUCUUUUUUUUUUUUUUUUUUUUUCAUUACUCGAUGUGCGAUGUGAAAGAAUAUCAAUUUUAGAGAACAAAUGGCUAUAAUUUAUAGGUGGCCUUUAUGAUUUUUGGCACAAAUUUUCAUACUGUGAAAUGUGAAUAGAUGCAUGUGCAGAGAUGGAGUUCAUAAUUUAAAUCUUACGUUAAAAAUAAAACAAGUUUUUAAUGUUAUAGUUUAAAAAUAAAAAAUUGUUUCUUAUAUACAAUAUUUUUAUGAAUAUUUACAUAGUUCUUAAAAAAAUUAAUAAUGAAUGGUAUAUUCGUGUCCUGUAUGACACAAUGAAACAUAUGCACAUGAUUAAAUUAUACAUUAAGCCUAAUCAUAUGAUCUGAAAAGAUUUUCUCUACAUUUCGUCGAGCUAGCAAGGUAGAUAGAUGUCAACUAAUAAGUUGAUGAAAUCGGCUAAAAAAGAUUCCCAGUUGAAGUUUAUUAUUUUUUUGGUGCAACCCAGUUGAAGAUUUUAUUAACUUUGAUGAUGGCUCUGAACUACCAAGUUUUCUAGAACUUGAACAAGUCCUUAAUUUUAGUUGAAUUGCAAUACUAUGUCUAUAUGUAUAGUAUACCGUUUCUGGUUUCAUAGUCUGUUAAUUUUAAGGAAUUUUUUCAAGUGGCUCAAAAAAAACAUAUACAGUACAUUCUUUAGUUUUAUUUACAUCGUUUUCAAUCUCUUUCGCUUUUUUAAAUAUUUACGCAGAAAACAUUUUUUUUUUUUUUUCAAUCAGAAAGAGGCAAAAUUAAGAUUUGCAUUGGUUUUAGUCAUCACCUACUACAUUAAAUUACUAUUUGUGGAAAAUAUUGUUUAUAGCGUGAAACUGUGCUCUGACUGGCUCACAUGCAAACGGACAGUGGCAAUAUUGUUUAAGGAAGUAUUAAUCUUUUUUUUUUUUUUUUUUUUGACAGAAACCAUAUAGUAUUAAUCUAUUAUUACUACUAUAUAUGCAUAAAAAAGGACCAAUUAACCGACAUGCUUUGAGUUAUUUUGUGUUUUUUUUUUUUAUUGUUUCUGAAAAAAUCAACCAACAUGCUUCUUUUUUUGCGCUAACUAAAACUAAUUUAUUUAUGCUACUAAUCAAUUUAUUAAGACUAAAACUUGAGUACAAGUUAGUCUUUUUUUUUGUAGUUGGUGACCUACAAGUGGUACUCUUGUACUCAUUAUACUCAAAGUCAAGGGUACAUGCGUAUGUGUUAUGCUGAAUUCGAAAAUUCAUAGUCAAGACCCAGCAAUAUCAAGAUAUAUACACACAUGUCCUAAAGUGCAUUCUGGAGAAUAAGAACUACAAGUCUAAAGUUUUUCUUUUUGUUAGUAAAGUUAUUUUAGUCCAAGUUUAGACUAUACAACGCUGACUAUGAAAUAUGAAAGGAAAAAAAAACCUUCAAUUUUUGUCAAAAAAAUAAAUUCCAUUGUCUCUAACUAAUUAUUGAAAUUUUAAACAUGUGUUUGGUCUAACGGUAUGGUAGAAAAAAUCACGGCAAAAAUUCACGGUAACUACAAAAUCUAAAAAUUUGUAAUUUCUUUGAAAUUUGAGUUUGUAACUUCGAACGUCAAAUAAUCGUUCAUUAAGUCUCUAAAGCUCACAUGAUCAGACCAGCUUUGAUUGCAAAAUAUGACCAACUAAUUACUAAUAAACAUUUAAUUUUGUUAGCAGAUCAAUUUAUCUGUUUAAUGUUAAAAUAAAUCUGAUCCAAUUCAAUACUUUUGGACAUAGAUUGAAAUGGUUUCCCCCCCCCCCCCCCCCCCUUUUUUUUUUUUUUUUUUGUAAACUAGGUAUCCUCCGCGCGCAACUGCGGAGACUAAUCCCUCGAGCAUUGUGAGACCCAAAUGGACGGCAGACUCUCCCUAAGAGUUUUAACGCUGCUGGAGGUAUUGUAAAUAAUAUUUUGUGUUAUAUUAUUUUUAAGAGUGUAUAUUUCUAUAUAAAAAGAGUGAGUUUUGCCUUCAACCUCGAGGUAAUCGGUUUGAGACCUAGGCACUGAGAACAUGAGUUUUUUCGAUUAGCUCUUUAAAAAAUUAUUUAUAGGAGGAAUAAUUGUUUUUAUGGAAUUUGUCGUGUAAUAAAAAUCUAAAUCGUCUAGUCUACAAUUUUGUAUAGUCUUCAAUUAUGUUGUGAAUUCGGGCUUUGAAACUUCACACCAAUCCAAACUAUGAUGUGUGGAGAAAGUAUCAAUGGCAACCAACAACCAAAUUAACCAUAAGCAAUAACAAUAAUAUAUACCAAGUCUAUAAACCAAGUGCAUAGCAAAAUCACAAUCCAACCAAAUAAUAAACAAGAUAAAAGAGUAAAGAAAAAUAGACAACAACACCAAGAGAUUGUUCACCCAGUUCGGUCCAACCAUGACCUACUCUGGAGGAGAGAUUGAUCUCUUCAAUCCACUAUCAAUGAGUUCUUACAAAGAGAUACAAAUGAGUUACAAGAAAUUAGCUUCAACAAGCUCACAAAAAACAACCCUAAUUUCUACCAAUUUUCCCAAUCUCACCAAUGAACAAGACACUCAUGAUUUUUACUCUCCCAAGGUGUUUACAAUUGUUUCACAACUCUAGAAUCUAACCCCCAAAAGAGAACCAACUCUUAGCCUUUGAUUUCACUUAGGAUCUUCUCUUUUGGUUUCACAAGACUCACCCAAGUUGCUCGCAAAUGACUCUCCACUCAUGUGUUUCCCAACCCCAUGAAUCUUCUCCAAAAGGCACCAACCCUUUUCACAAGAGCCCCCUCUUUUGGUUCUCCAAGAUUCACAUCUUGAAGCUUUGAACCUCACCCAAAGACCCUCAACCUUUAGUAUCUAAAACCCUAAAAGUUUCAUCCUUUGGUUGUUAUGGGAUUCACCAAGCUUACCCAACAAAUGGAUCAGGGAGUGUUUAAAACAUGUUUCAGAUCUGUCAAAAUCGUGUCACAUUUUGCCUUCAGAACCAAACAUGCAUUCGGCAUCAGAAAUCGUGACACGGUUGCCAAAUCGUGUCAUGAUUCUUCACUUUCAUAAAGACUUAAUUUUGAGUCAUAUAUAUACCAACAAAUUCAAAUUAUAUAAAUGGACGGUAUAUUCUUUAGUAAAAGUAUUAUUUCACAAUUUAAUACGUAUUAUUAAAAGAAAUUAGAAACAAUUAUCAAAAAAUUAUGAUAGAUAAUAUAUUAAACUCGUCUAGUGUGUGUGUAUUUUUGAAGGAUAGUGUGUGUGUGUAUUAACAUCAUUCUCUAAUUAUUUUUGUAGGGAAACAAUGUUGGUUAAAUUGAUGUGUACUUUUUUUUGUAAAAAAUAAUCGACGUAUUUUUAAAUGAGAUUUACAUGUAGAGAGAGACAGCGGUAGACAUAGUAGUAGAACAAUUAAAAUUUAAAAGACCACUUUACAAAUUGCACCAAGUGGUCCUCUAAAAAAGAUCACCGACAGUUGCUUCACUUUACCUUCAUAUAUUUUAGAGCAAUGAUAUUUGAACAAUUAUUUAGUACAACAUUUUUUGACAAUCUUCUUUUUCUCUCUUUUUAUUGGUCAAAAAUAAUGAAGAGAAAAAAGAAGAGAUAGAGUAAAAAUAUAAUAUGAAUAUGAGAAAAAAAAUUGUCUAAAAAUUAUCACAAAAUGGUUGUACAAAUAUUAUUUCUCCAUAUUUUAGACACAGGCUAAUCAUUAAUUAAUUUGUGUAAAAAAAAACAAUAAUAUUAUUUUGACAACAUUAUUCAACACCUUAUCUUUCUUUCAAAAAACAUUAUUCAACACCUUAUGUUCAUAUUAUCAUUUGAUUUUCUUAAUUAUGUUUUACAUCAGUCACAUCAAGUGACAUUUUACACGCUUAUCAAUUUUUUUUGUCAAGUAGCCUAGUGUUUAGAACUCAUAUAAUUUAAUUGUGAAGAAAUGAAGUGUCAGAGAUUCGAACUCCAACCCCUGCAUAUAAUAUGCAAUAUCCCUACCAACUGAACUAAGCUCACGAAGAUCGCGGUUAUCAAUUUUUGUAGUUCAAAUAACAUCACUAAAAAAAGCUACGAGGCAGACGCACAAAUUUUCAUUGAGCAGUUGUGUUAAUUAAUUUUAUAACGCAAGGAAAAUGGUGAAGUUUUUGUGAAUAGAGAAAUGAUAUAUAUACAAUCAUUUUCAAACAACUUUUGUAAUAACUUUAUCUCUCAUUUUUAUAUUUUAUUUUUAUUUUUUUCUCUAUUAUUUUGGUUUUCGUUUAUGAUUUUUUGUAAGAAAAUGAUUGUCUAUGUAGUUAUCAAUCACAUUGAUGUUCAAAUAACAUUGCUUUUGUGAAUAAUGCAAAAUAGUUUCUCGGAACAAUCAAUUAUUCAAUUGAUAUUUACGAAAUUAGUUUUUGUAGGGUGUCCCUAUAAAUCACAUAUACUUUAAAACAGUCAUAUGUAUUCACGAUUCGAGAUCUUAUAAAAAAACCAUUCCAGAUCAUGUAUGAAAAUGAAAUAUAUAUUUUUUUUGACUGGUGUAUGAAAAUGAAAUAUUUUCAAAAAUAAAAUAUACUCUCUGCCCAUAUAAUGUCAGCGUAGGUGUCGGUGUUUUUCUACCGACUAUAAGAAAAACUGUAAAAUAAAUAAAACAAUAUAGUAAUUUAAAUUAGUGAUUGUAAAUUAUUGUCUUAAAUGUAUAGUUCAAUAUAAUAGAUUAAAAAUGAUGAAAAAAAUAUUAAUUUAAGAGUAGAAUUGAAAUAACAUAUAUGUUUUCGAUAGUUUAACUAAAUUGAUAAAGACAUUGCAUAAUAAUAUACAAGUGUUUUGAAAUUCCAUUUAUUCAUUACAUGUGAAUUUUUAGAUAUUAAACUAUUUGGAAAAUAAAAUAAAAUAUCAAAUAAUUAAGGUUUAAAUAUGUAAGUAGUCCCUGUAAUUUCGCGUAUUUUUGUUUUCGUUCCUGUAAGUUAUUUUGUUCUAAAACAAACUCUGUAUUUUGCUAACCUUUUGGAAAAGGUCCUUGCCGUCAGCUUCCGUCAACAAAAACGCCAUGGUGGCUAACGGAGCACACGUGGCAGUUCAUGAGUUGGCAAAGUUGAUGAGAUGGAAUGAGAGAUGAUAAGUUGUUAAAAUACAGGGACUAAAAUCAAAAACGUAAAUUGACACAGGGAUGAAAUUAAAAAAACGUUUAAUCUUCUUUUUCCUCUCAAAUUUCAGUCUUCUUCUUCCUCUCAAACUUUCCCCAAUCUAUCCCAUACCUUGCGCCCUUGAACCAAAACUCAUAUCCUUCAACAAUUUAUUCUAAUUCCAUUACUCAAUCAUAUUGUGUGUUUUGAUUGUAAUGUUAAGUUGAAACAUUGUAUGCUACUUAAGUUUGAUUAAUUUAGUGAUGGUUGUUGCGAUUGAUUGCAAAUUCAUUCAUAAAGUUUGUAGAUAAUAAAGGCAAGAAUACAUCUUUUUCAUCCCUCUUUUUUUUCCACAAUUCCCUCUUAUUCUUCCAGAUUGCUACAAUUACCAUACAUAAAUAGUCAGAUCCCCUUUCAUCUUUUCUCACUCACAUUCAAAUUCAAACUCUAAUUUCUCAAAUUUUUGCUUUUGAAUUGUGUAAUUUUGUGUUUUUAUGUAAUUGGUGUAGAGAGUUUAUGUUGUUUUAAUGUGUUGAUUAAGAGUGGGUCUUGUUGUUGUUGAUUGAUGAUUAUUAGUUUUGUUUAAAAAAAUAUAUAUGUUUGUUGUUUUCUUUCUUUUCCUGGGUUUGGUGUUGAUGAUUUAUGAAUAUGGUGAUGAAGAUGAAGAAGACAAUGAAGGAAGAAGAAGAAUAAGAUCUUGAUUUUAAAUUUGAAAUUUUGAUUUUACGUUUUUUAUUUUAGUCCCUGUGGUAAUUUACGCUUUUGAUUUUAGUCCCUGACUUUACACAACUAAUCAUCUCUCAUGCCAUCUCAUCAAAUGUGCCAAGUCAUGACCUGCCACCUGUGCUCCGUUAGCCACAAUGGCGUUUUUGUUGACAGAAGCUGAUGGUAAGGACCAUUUUCAAAAGGUCAAAAAGAUACAAGGUUUAUUUUAUAUAAAAAAAAAAACUUACAAGGACGAAAACAAAAAAUACGCGAACUUAGAGGAACCUUUUACAUAUUUAAGCCAAUAACUAAUAGCACUUAUUUUGGUACAUUUCUCUUUUGCAAAUGUGAAACUUAAUAUUGGAUGGGGUCAAUAAUUUUGAGAAUGAAUAAACCCAUUAUUUAGUCUUUUAAUUUUUUUUUUCCAUCCAUCAGGUUUCUAAACUAUUUACAAACACUAAAUGUCCUUAAGACAUAGCUCAAGUAACAAUAUUGAUAUUGAGAAGUUGGAUAUUUUCAUCCGAGUUUGAACUCGAAUUCUUGCAAUUACGAGUGUGAAUUUCAGGUAAUUUAUAUCAAUUUAUCUGUAAACAAAAGGAGAUAUAUACGCGUAACAAAUAGGUCUAAUGCAAAUUAACAACUUAUUUUUAGUUUAUAAAAUAUAUGAAAUUUAAUCCUUUAGUCCCUAGUAUAUUUUAACAAUGGGCACUAAAGCAACAUAUAUUUCAUAUAUUUUAAAUACUACUACAUCUUUCCUUAUGUAUAAGCUCAUUUGACAUUUUCACAUAUAUUAAAAAAGUUAGUAGUGUCUUGACAAAAAAGAAGCUCCUUAGAGUUUCCUUAUGUAUAUUUUUUUAAACCGAAAAAAUUGUGUACAAAAAAUGACUAUUAUUACUAAAAAAAAUCUUUUGCAUAUAGAUGUGUUCAACAUUUAUUUUGCAAUUCUCAAGACAAAUCAGUGGUACAUCUUAAUAAGUGAUAUAUUUGUUAGGAAAAAAAAUUACUAUAUGUAUCUAGUUAUUUGCAAGACUAAUGAUUCUUAGCAAAUAUGCUUAUAUUGAGAGAACUUUUUUCUAAAGAGAGCUUAUAAUUAGAGACUAAGAUUUUGCCAAAAAAUAAAGAAAAAUUAGAGAAUAAGGUUUAUACUAUACUUUAGAAACUAAUUUGAUGAGAUACGACUAAAUCGAAGAUAUAUUUUUUUAGAAUAGUGUUAGAACCUUAGAAAUUAUAAUCAAUAGAAAUAGAAAUGUUCCUUACAGAUCCAUAAUAGUGACAAUCUUGUCUUUUCUUUUGAGGAAAUAAUAAUAAAGGUGGUGCCAACAUUUCAACAAACCUAGCUAUUUUAAUUAUUCUGUUCUCACAGCCUGCACCUUAGAUCAAAUCCAAAUUGGGUCAUCACCGUUCCAAAAUGCUUAGGGACGUUACUCUAAAUGUCAAUAUGAAUGAGUAAUUCAAAUAGUUAACAUAGCCCGCCAGCCUUAUAUAAUAAUAUCAAUAUAUGUCGACUAAUUAUCGAGAUGCUAAAUUGGAGUACACUUCACAAACAAAAAUCUUUCAUAAGGCGUUUUUUCUCUUAAUACAUUUUUUCUUUUCUUAUGCUAGUAACAUUUACUCUGUAUUGGCCUUCCUAAGAAGAAGUUGGAUAGUAGCAAUGUGUUCGUGAGACUGCUGAUAUCUUAAAAGAAUGUUCUCAUAGAUUCCACUUUUUUAGUAAGCUUUUAUGUGUAUGAGUUUGCAAAUUUAACCCUUUUUAAUUCGGAUAGAUUUAUAAGUCACACCUUCAAGUACAAUCGACAAAAUUUCAGUAAUAAUUACGGUUUAGGGUUUAUGGGUCUAGAUCUACUAAAAAUGAGUGGGUGUAUAAAUUAGUAUAUCCUAGAGUUUAUUAUCUUACGUUCGAUCUUCUUUGCAGAAACUCGUGCAUGUUCGUGAUAUAUAUUUUCGCGAGAAGUACAUUUCCCUAAAACAAAAUCAACCACUGACAUAAACACGUCAAAUGUAAGCCGGUAAAUCCAAGCUUUACUAACACGAGUUAUAUUAUAUCAUUGGCAUCAGCUACUUAAGAACUACUGUAGAAAAUUUACAGCAAGUCAUCGAGGCUUAAUAAAAUGUGUUGAUAUAGUUACAAAGAUAAAUUAAAUAGCAGAGCAUACAUGAAGAGAACAAAUGUAGAGCAACCCCUUAAACAAACCCUCUCAGUAAGGUAUCUUCACAUUACUCUAAGUUCAUAAAAGAUGACUUUAAAAACGAUUAUUUCAAAAUGCAAGUAUUCUCCGACCCCUUUUUCCCGGAUCUAGAUCUAAUAGUGUAAGGAUAUAUAUAAAUCAUUGUCACAUUUUACAACUCAAGAGUUUACCUCAACUCGUUUUGUUUAGGUAAAUUCGACUCGAGAACUCGUAUGACUUUACCUAAAAUUAAAAUUAUAUAAAAUUUAUUAUAUAUGCAUGACAUAUGUAAGUUAAUAUAAUAUUGUAAAUAGGUCAAUAGUGCAAAAUAUGACUUAAUUACAAAGACAAAUUAUACCAUAAUAAAAUGUUAUGCUCAACUUAGCUUCAAAAUACAAAAAUUAACGCACAAAAUCAUAAGUCUCUAAGUUUAAGCCAUCCAUAAAACCAUCCAAAAAAAGAAAGUUUCACAAGUUCCUAAAGUUAUUAAUAAAACUAUCUAAAAAAUAAAGUAGUUAAUUUCUUCAAAACGUCAACAAACACCACCACAACAACCCUAACCAGUGUCACAAUCACCGGCGUUGAAAUAUGAAUUUCCACCGUCUGAAUCACAACCCUAAAUGGUAUGUGCUCCCCUGUUCAUGGUUUGAGAACUUAGAAAAGAAAAAGGGCAAUCCGGUGCACUAAAGCUCCCACAUACGCAGGGUCCGGGAAGGGGUCCCACCAUUUUUUGUGUAUUGUACGCAACCUUACCCUGUUUUUGAUCACAAAAGAAAAAGAAACGUUUCAUUUUAGGAACAACUUGUCACUGUAAAGGUAACUAUUAAUUAAACGUUUCAGUCUUUGGGGUUGUAGAAAAGGAAUUGGAUUUUGAAAAAAAUGGGCACAUAAAAAGGGCCAAUUUUUAGAUGUAAACUCGUAAAACUCAGUAAACUCGGUCGAGUUUACACGAGUUUACCUAGUGUUAACUCGGUCAAACUCGUUAAACCUUCCAAUUUUACCAGAAACCGAGUUUACCUCCGAAUUAACAUGAUUUUGGCACCUACGUAAACUCGAAGAGUUAACACUCAAUUUGCGGAACAUUGCAUAUAUAUUUAAAGAUAUAUGUAUAAUUAUAGAGAAAGUAGAGAAGGGAUAUACCAUUUUAUGUAGGGUUAUUAUGUAUCAAAUCAUAAAGAGUCGAGAGUUGUAUUAUACCAUAAUAUUCUUCCGUAAACUGGUAGUCAUGAUCAUGACGUAUAUUAUUCAAGUAUAUGCAAAAACAUGUCUGUAUCUAGUCUAAAUUUUUGACCAAAUGCAUGUAUUUGCUUAUAUUUUGUUACUACUUACUACUCGCCAAGUAAUGCUCAAUAUCUAAUAUAUAUAUUUCAAGACCAUCAAAGAUAACUCAGUUGAACAAUACAUAAUAUAUGCAAGGUUCGGGGUAUAUUACAUUUUCAAUUAUUCUAAUAAUAAAUUUAAAUGACACUUAAAUUAUACAACUAUUAAAUAGAUCUUAGUACCGUAAAAUUUAUAUUCGAGACUUGCUAGGGAGAACCAUCAACCUCAACAAAAAUUUCUACUUGAAUCUAACGCAAACAAAAGGUCCAACCAUCUAUGAAUCUCCGUUGAUAUCACAAAUGAUGUUUGAUACAAGAGAGACAUAUUAGAACAUAAUCUAUGUACAAUCUACAUUAAAAUAAAAAACAAGUCUACAGUCAUAUAAAUAACACAAUUUCAAAAUCUCAAAAUUAGGUAUGAAAACAAAAUGAUUAGAAAAAUAAAUGAUUCAAUCAUUCCGAGAUUUGUGCAAAAAAAAAAAAAAAAACAUUUUGAAAAUACAAUGUUAGAAACUUAUGAUCAAUAUAUAUUUUUCCUUACACAUCAAAAAUAAUUAAGCUAUAUUCUUGUCUUUUCAUUUUGGGCAAACUAAAAUUAAAAUCAAGGUAGUGUCAAUGUUUCUAUAGUCCUAGCUAUUUGAUUUUCUUCUAAGCUAACAAGAGUCUUCCAAAAUCAAAUUCGCGCUCAAAAUUAAAGCAACUUGGGUGGUAACCAUUCCAAAAUACUUAGGGCCACAUUGCUCUAAAAGUCAAUAAGAAUAAGUAAUAAUUCAAAGAUAGCCAACCUUAUAGUAUAUUUUAAUAUGAAUGUAUGCAUGUUUCCUAGAAGGUGAGUAAGCUAACUAAUCAAGAUACUUUGUUGGAGUUAAAUAUGGUAAAGAAUCCAACUAUAAAAUGGGGACUUGCCCCAGCAUUCUUUCACAAACCAAAACCAACUUCUAAGAAAAAAAUGAGGUCCCUAAUGGCCUCUGCUUCUCUCACUCUUGCAUUAGCCAUCCUCUUUUUGAGUUUCCCAUCUGAAAUUUCAGCAAACAAAUACGCAUAUUCCUCUCCACCACCACCACAUUACUCAUCUCCUCCACCUCCACCGGUUCACACUUACCCUAAACCAGUCUACCACUCUCCACCACCACCAGUUCACACCUACCCUAAACCAGUUUACCACUCUCCACCACCACCAGUUCACAAGUACCCUCACCCUAAACCAGUAUACCACUCUCCACCACCCCCAGUUCACAAGUACCCUCAUCCACACCCAGUCUACCAUUCUCCACCACCCCCAGUUCACAAGUACCCCCAUCCUCACCCAGUGUACCACUCUCCCCCACCACCACCACCAAAGAAGUCCUACAAAUACCCAUCUCCCCCACCACCACCAGUUCACACCUACCCUAAACCAGUCUACCACUCUCCUCCACCCCCAGUUCAUCACACCUACCCUAAACCAGUCUACCACUCUCCUCCACCCCCAGUUCACACCUACCCUCACCCUAAACCAGUCUACCACUCUCCACCACCCCCAGUUCACACUUACCCUAAACCAGUCUACCACUCCCCACCACCACCAGUUCACACCUACGUCCCUCACCCUAAGCCAGUCUACCACUCUCCACCACCACCAGUUCACACCUAUCCCCCACAUGUUCCCCACCCAGUUUACCAUUCUCCUCCUCCUCCAGUUCAUUCCCCACCUCCACCACACUAUUACUACAAAUCACCUCCUCCACCUUACCACAACUAGAUAGCCCAUAAUUGGCAUCACACCAUAUGGUAACUUUUCAUGCAACAUAUAUAUUAUAACUUUUCAUAUUCUCUCUUUAUUAACUAGUUAUCGGUAUGAUUGUCGAGUAUAUACUAACAAGGCUAAUUUGAAAUGAAACUUCAUGUGCAAUGAAACAUUCUUUUACUGGUUAAUAUUUUAUUCUAUGUUUCAUUGAAAUUAAUAUUUUUCUAAUAGUAUUUGGUUAUUAAGGGAUUAGAGUAUAUCAGACAUAAACUGACAGAUCAAUAUAUUUGCAUUUGUGUAGGAUCUAAACAGAAAGUGUGAAAGCAAAGAAAGCCAUGCACAAAGAAGAUCAAGGGGAUUCUUCACAUAUAUUUCGUCAGCAUUUGAUUAAGAUUGUUUAGAGGGCUCCGUUUAUUUGUAUUUAAUUUGUGUUUUUGUUGUAUUAUCCACAGCUGUAAGGCACUGCCCCAAUAUGCAUGUGUCUGCAGUUGUUUUCAUGCAUUGUAAUUUUCAAAGUUCGGCUUUGUAUCAAGCUGACUCACAAACUAAAUAAAUAUAUAUCCCCUAUUAUAGUAAUCUGUCCCUUUCAUCUAUGACUCCUUUUAUAUUACUAUUCUUGUGAUAAAAAUAAUCUGUGUUUAUUUGUUUCUACUAAUUAUUUUUGGUUUACCUUUCUCCGUACAAAUAAAAUUUAGUUUAAAAGUGAAUUUGACAGCACUUUUAAGAGAAACCUAAAAGAAAUAGAAGAAUAAUGCUUCUCAAAAGAUUAAAAAAAGACCACUAUAUUAUAUAUAUGUGAACCAAGGAUCAUGUCUCAAUGUGUGUGUUUUUUCUUUUAACGAGAAAGAUCUAUAAUUAUAAUGUAAACAAGAGUACAAUGAGUACUACAACUCACUACAAAAAGAGGUGCAACACUUCAAACGAAAAAAAUAGCACACACCAUAAGCAAUACAAAAGCAUUAGUCUACAAAGCCAAUAGGGUGGCAUUUAACAUGGGGCAGUAAAAUUUUAUCCCACCAUGGAAAAGUGGAUCCAUUAUGGGCAGGUGGCAGUUUUAACUUGCUGCAGUUAAAAAAAGAAGAAAAAAAAAAUUACUUAUUAUUUUAUUCGGUUUCAACUUGCUAUUUCACCUCCUUGUUGCUGCAAUAAAAAAGGAUCUCCAGUAAAUUUGCUCCAAACCAACCCCAUCGGCCAUCUCUACACCUCAUCUGCGCCAAUCCACCAUUGUGUUUUUCUCUUACCAUCUUCAUGAGGAGCUGUUGAGAGUGAUGCCCAAUUGGCCAUGAAAUAUAUCCAACCAAUUUGCGCUCAAAUUUUCCAUGAAUGCAAAACAGACUCCUUUUGUUUGACACAUGCAUUUAUAUUUGUUUGGAUGGUAUCAUUGUGGAGAUGGUUGGAGAAAAUUUCAUGAAGUGAUUCUUCUAUUAGCUGAGGAAGAAAUUGGAAAAGAAUCAUUAUUUUUUUCUACCCAUUAUUUUAUAUGUAUAUAACUGUGUCGGUUUCUUUUCAAUUUUUUGGUUUGAAUGGAAUUUUAUUAAAUUUGAAAAACCAGUUUAUUUUUCCUCGAAAAAAGAAAUAGUUUAUUUUCUAAUAUAAAAGUGUUAUUCUACCACCUGACCAAAAAAAGUGUUAUUCUACCAAAAAAUAUUUAAUUAAAAGCGUUAAUUAUACCCAAAAAUACAAAAAAAAAAUUGCUUUUAAUUAGUAAAUAUGUUGUGGCUCAUACUCGAAGGUUACUUUAUAAGCCCCCCUCAUAUCUCUCUAGGCCCCCUAAAGUUACAAAAAUAUCCUCAAAUAACACAUUCUGUACAUACCUACGGAAGGUGAAUGUUUUUAAUUUUAUUUUUGCAGCUUCUGUACAUACCUACCGGACAGAGAAUUGAGGCAAAUAUUUAGGAAACUAAUAUGAAAAAAAGCCUGAAACUGAGUCCAUAAAUUCUCCAUUGAUGAAAAGCUUUUAAAACUUUAUAGUUGGAAUCUUUACAAAGGAGUCUAAGAUGAUGUGAUUUGCCAUCUCUAUUUCUCUGUCUACCUUUCAACAGGGACUACAAAGAGAAAAUUUUCAAUUGAGAAAAACUAUGAACUUCCUGAUGAACAAAUGGACAAGUUAUCACAAUUGGGGCUGAGAGGUUUCGUUGCCCAGAAGUCCUUUUCCAUCCAUCUAUGAUUUCAAAAUAUCUAUUUGGAAUGUAACUACAGAAAGUGUAAAUCUGAAAAUGUGAAAAUAUGCCUCCGGUAUGUACAUACCGAAGGUGCAAAAUGUGGAGAGAAAAAAUAUGCACUACCGGUUUGUAUCUACUGAAUGUGUUGUGAAGGUUAUUUUUGUAUUUUUAGGAGGCCUAAAAAGAUAUUGGAGGGGCCUAAAAAGUAACCUUCCAUUCUUAGAAGAAAAAAAAAUGGAAGCCAACAUCCAAACACAUAAAAGCCCACAAUCAAUUAUAAACAUAAACAAUUUGUUGUGGGGUAAAAAUUUUUGUAGUAGGUUUAAUUGGCAAAAAGUUAGAAGAAGGUUGCCAUCAACAAAUCUGAACCAUUCACUUAAAAUAUUAAUAUAUCAAUGGUUAAAACAUCAACUUUUUUAUGAUGGGAAAAAACUUCACUUUCCCAUUUUAAACCCCACCAGCCAAUAGAGAGAAACUACAUCAAAAGCUACACCACCUCAACAAGAACAAAAAGAUAAAUGGAGAAAAUUGAACCCGAAAUUUAUCAAGGACAGUCUCAAUUUGUGUGUUUUGAUACUUUUGUGUCUCAAAAUAAUUGAAUCAUUUGUAAAAUAAAAAAAAUUGUCUCACAAUAAUUUACUCGUUUCGCUUUUCAAUACAAUAUUAAUUACUUUUUUUUUAUUUAUAACUCUAAUUAAUACUACUUUCAUCAUUCCAAAUUUAAUAUCAAUAUAUUGAAUUUGGAGUAACGUAGAAUGUACAAAUAUUUGACAACACACUUAAAACCAUUUUUCACUCUUUCACUUAUAUAUUUUUUCUUAAUAUAUGUGAAAUGAACAAACGACUCACUUAUAUUAUAAAUCAGAGAAGUAUUUAGUUCAAGACUUUGUAUUGCUAAACUUUGACAUGUCUUGUGUUUAGUUUAGCCCCUUUAUUGAACAGGAAAAAAUACCGCAACUUCAGUAUCCCGGGCUAAAUGCCACCCCCCAUUCCCCAUAAGUUGCCAAAAGAAUAAAUAAACUCUGCUUUUGAUACAUAGACAUCCCUCGUUCCAACCAUCUAUGCAUAAAGACUCAAUAUAACGGCAAUUCAUCGAAGUACAUAAACCAAUUGUUUAAGGUGUACUAUUAGAGAAUCAAACCGAGGAACUAGUGGCGGAGCCAGGAAAUUUAUGGAGCUUGGGCAAAAAAUUAAUCGUAAAUUCACAUGUGACAUAAUAUAUAAACAGUCAUAAAUUGAAAGAAAAAUUUUUUUUUUCCUAAAAAAAAUUGAAAUAAAAGAUGUUUAUCAUUUUGUAAACAAAAGUACAAUUUAAAAUAUGAUUAUUAAUUGAAAUUGACCACGUAAUAUACAUGAAGUCUGAAAAUUGACCCUGCUGUAAUUAAAUAACAUGUAUUCUGACCAUGUAAUUCGAGAUUUUUAUUAUUUAUAACAUGUAAUAUACGCGAAGUCCAAAAAAGCAACCGAGAGAUUUAAUUUUUUCAUGAUUUCCUAGAGGCGAGUUAAGAACGUUAAAAUAUGGCUUUAACAAAAAAAAUAUAAAUUUUCGACAAACGACAAAUUAAUUAUGAUUUUUUAAAGUGUCAAAAGCUCAAAAAACAAAACAACGGAAAUCUCAAUCAAUAAAUCGAAUUUUGAGCUCAUUAUUUGCAGAGAGAUCUAUAAAAAUACAUAAAAAGGAUCUGUAAAGUUUCAUAGCAUUUCGAAGUCGUUUAAAUUUAUUUUGAUUUUUCAACUGAAACAUGUAAAAUUGAAAUUUUGUUUCGCGUAAGCGUAUACUCACAAGUCAAAUUUAGUUCCCUAAUUUUGUAGGCAUGACUAGAACAUGAUAAGAACCUUCACAAUGAAAUUUUGUAAUUUUUAAACUAGAUACAAAUUAAUUAUAAAUUGUUUAAGAAAUUCAUAAUUAUGAUGGAAUAAAAAUUCAUAAUUAAUUUAUCCCUGGUCGAAGAAAUUUAAUUUUGAGUAAAGCUAUAUUUUAACGUGCUAAAUAUGUAUGAAAAAAAUAGUGAAAAAAUUCAACAUGUAGGGCACAUUUUUAGACUACACGUAUAUUAUAGAGUGGUCAAAAUUAAAUAAGAAGAAAUUCAAGUUGCAAUGCUAGAAUAUAUAUUUUUUAUUUUAUUGGGUCAUUUUUCAAACAUAAAGUAUAUUACAAGGUCAAUUUGAACAAUUAACCCGUUAAAAUAAGAGAGAUGAACCCGUCAAUAGCGUACUAAAUAAAAUUUCAAGACUUAUUUGCGUGUGACAAUUUUCAGAUUGCCCAAAUUUUUCUUUUUGUAAAUGUGUUAACGGGCUUUUGGGUUGAGUCUAAUGUGCAAAAAUUAUCGAUCGAGCCCGGGCGAUCGUCUGGGGUCGCCAUACGGUAGAACCGCCCCUGCUAGGAACGAGGGGCGGAUCCACUUAGGUGUUAUGUGGAGCUAAAGCUCCACAUGUUUUUUCCUUUUUUUUUUGUUAUAAUUGAUAAAACGAAAAAGAAGUGACUUAGUAAAUAAUUCUCUCAUUUUCCCUUCUCUCUUAGUCUCGUAAAGUCAUUUCUAGUUUUUACGUGACAAAUUAUUGAGGAUGUCUGAGUUUUAUCCAAAUGAUUUUAUAGAUAUGUCGGAAGUGACGUUACGCACUCAACUUGUGAAUUAUGUUACAAAUGUUUAAAAUUUGCUAAGUUCAAAGGGCUUUUAGAUCUUUAUGCAAAACUUGUGGAAACAAAUAAGUGCAAACAAGAUGUAUGUUAGCACACUACUGUAUAUUAGACUAUUUGAUCUGCGAGUUUUUGUGUUUCUUACACAAUCUCGACGAGAAUAAUAUUUAUCGAUUAACAAAAAAUACAUUUAACUAAUUUGCAUUAUUAUACAAGGGUGAUUAAAUGGAGUAAGCCGAAUAGAGGUCGAAUGAAAUGUAAUAUUGAUGCAUCGUUUCCUAAUAAUGAGAACCGAAUUUGAAUAGGCAUUUGCAUUUGGGAUGAUGAAGGUGCAUUUGUGAUUGCAAUAACAUAAUGUUUAACUUCAAAGUGUGAUGUGCACAUUGAUGAAGCAUUGGGUUUGUUGACAACUCUUCAAUGGGUGCAUGAGUUACAUACAGUUAGGGCCUAUAGAGUUCGAACUUGAUUCCAAAAAAAGUGGUUGAUAGCUUUGGAGCUAAUAGGCAUGAUUCGACGGAAUUUGGAGCUAUUAUUAAUUAUUGUAAAAUAUUGUUUAAUCAUUUAUAUGAAAACUCGAGUGUAGAGUUUGUUCGGAGACAAGCAAAUGGGGUUGUCCAUGAAUUAGCAAAGGCGGCCACAUUAUCGAUUAGUUUCCAUAUUUUGGUUAUGCCACCACAUUGUAUUGAACACAUUUUAAUUAAUGAUAUUCUAUAAGUUUUCCCCUCUAAAAAAAAAACUAAUUUGCAUUAUUAUUUAUAUGAAAUUUUAACUACAUAUAUACCGAAAGUAUAGAUUUGCCCAUGGUAGAAACCCGUCAAAAUUUGUUAUUUCCACCAAUUAGUGAAUACUAUCCAUUUUACAAAGCCAUCAUUCGGUUAAGAAACUGUCAAAUUGUUAUCCUGCAUUCACUUAUAAUAGCAUGUGUCUUUCACUGUUAGACAAACAAACAAAUAUUAACAGCUUAAACUUUUUGAGAAUUUGUACAUAUUUUAAAAAAAUAUCAUAUGAAUAUGUAUUUAAUCUCACUUUUUGUACUUUACUACUAAAGAAGGUUUCAGAUUUCGCCACCAGAAUACUUUCCAUGUACUUCUCUUAUUUUAUCAUCACAUCUCUCACUUUCUUCUUUCAAGGUAGUUUUAUGAUCUAUUAAAAAGUUCACGGGGAAAUAAACAUCUAAGUAGGUUUUAGGCUAUGCCAAACUCUUUAAAAAGUUACGUUAGAUCCUUAAAAAAAGUUAUGUUAGAUCCUUAAAAGAUCAGAUUGAGAGACAAGGAAAGGGGCAUGUAAUUUCUUGGAUUGCUACAUGAAUAUCUACAAGUACAGACAAUUCAAUUUAGGAUUAAUGGUGUUUUUGGAUUAUUAUUGAAGAAGAAGAAGGUGAGGGGGGUACAUUACAACAAGCAGGGCAGUAUCUGAGGCAGGGUCGAAGAGGGCGACCGUCCUAGGUCCCAAAAAAUAUAUACGAAAUUUGGGCCCCAAAAUUUAUUUUUAAGGGUCUAUUAAGCCCUAAAAAAAUUGUUUAGUUUUUUGAAUCAGAUUUGAUGUUUAUAUAUAUUUAUUAGUCAGGAUCCAAAUUGCAGGUUCGCCCUAAGCCACCAUCAGAAACGGCCUUGACAACAAACCCAAUUAUGCUCUCAAAUUUUGGUCUAUGGUAUGGCCAAGGCAAACAUGAAAAUGAUAUAGUUUGGCAUAGAAACUACAUCUUUGCAAUGGUUUUUGGCUAAAUAGAAGGAAGUGCCUUGUUUGUUUCCUGAAUGGUGUUAUAAUUCCUAGAUAUAGAUGAAUAAAUAGACUCUAAGUUGGUGUUAGUAUGUGGUUUGUUUUGUCUCUAUCUUUUCUUUUGAAAUGGUUAGGUUAGCCUUGUACUCUUUAUCAAUAAAAUUUCCAUGCACUUAAAUAAAAACAUGACAAAACUGAUAAAAGAAAAGAAGAAGAAGAAGAAAAAGAUGAUUACUGCUCCAAUCUCGGAUACAAGGUGACAACUAGGGUACUCAUGGAAGAAUGGUGGGUAAUUUACCCCAACCAAUACACAUUAGCCACAUAAACACAUUUUUAAGUGGUAUUAAUGAACUAUCUUGACUCCACCAAUAAAUUUCUCAUUUUCAUUGGUUGGUGGGUAAAUUAUAUAUCCACCAUUCUUCAAAGAUAAUCUAGAAAAAACCCAGAUACAAACAAAACUGGUCAAAUAAAGUCAAUGUAUUUGGACAAAAGUUUGGACCAAAUACAUCAAUAAUAAACUUAGAUCAAAUAUACUUAUAAAUGUUUGUGCUUUUGUUUUAUAAUGUAAUAAACUUUGUGGAUUGCAUUCGUUUCCUUCUGUGAUGGACCAACAUCGAUUAGUCUUAGAACAGGACAACAUAAGUUCUGCCGACAAAUGUAUAUUAUUAUACAGCCAGCAUCCUGCGGAAAUUAAUUAUCUUGAAUGGAUUUUAUUCAUUGAUUUCAAAAAAUGAAUGGGAAAAAAUUGAAAAUCCAAUUGUCAUCUAAUUUGAUGUGCAACUCACAUUAUGUUUCGAUAUUCACUCAUUAAUGAUUUUUUUUAGGGAAACAUAAUAUUCAUGAGUGAAAAUUGAAACAAUUGUCGAAAAAUGUUCCAGUGACCAAAUCCAGAGUAAUAAUCAAACCUAAUUUUACGUAGCAUAAUAAAAAUCAUUGAAAAUGCAGAAAAUACAAAUUCAAGGUAUACAAUAUGUUUACGAUUUUUCUUCACUAAAACUCUUUUACAACUUUGCUUGUGCAGACAAAAUGGUGUUGUUCCAAAGUAUAAAAGUAAACAUAAGUGUAGGAAAGGAGAGAAAAGACGAUGAUUUAAAUACUUGAAGUUGAAGGGAAAGGAGACACUAUGGUCACAAAUAUGUGUAAUGAACAAAAGUAACCCAAAAAAAAACUAACUAUGGUCACAAACUUAAACAAAAUAACCCUUAAAAAAAAAGAACUUCUACGGUACAUGUAACGCCCUCUUUGAAUUAUUUGUUUUAUUUGAUUAUUUUAUUUAGUUUAUAGUUUUUUUGAAUAAUUUAUUUGAUUUAUGAUGAUGUGUGUUAUUUUUGUGUUAUAGGUUGGUGUUUUAGUAGUAUAUUAUCUAGUGUAGAAAUAUAUUUGUUAUAGAAAUAUAUUUGUUAUUUGGUGUAGAAGAAUUAUAUAUAUAUAUAUUAAUAGAAUAUUGAGACUUUGGGGGCUGAUUUGGGAAUUUAGAAGAGUUUAAGAGAAUAAGUGGAGUUAAGAGAAAAUAGAUAGGUUAAGGUUAUAAAAAGAGAAAAGUGAGAAGUCAGAAUAGUUUUUCACGUACAACCAGUUUUUGGAGAAAAAGGAAGAAAACCUAGAGAAGAGGAGGAACGAGAAGAGAACCUUGCAAUCCAUUUCUUAAGGUAAGGGUGGGACUAACAUUCAAUAAUCUUGAGUCUAUGAUUCUNNNNNNNNNNNNNNNNNNNNNNNNNNNNNNNNNNNNNNNNNNNNNNNNNNNNNNNNNNNNNNNNNNNNNNNNNNNNNNNNNNNNNNNNNNNNNNNNNNNNNNNNNNNNNNNNNNNNNNNNNNNNNNNNNNNNNNNNNNNNNNNNNNNNNNNNNNNNNNNNNNNNNNNNNNNNNNNNNNNNNNNNNNNNNNNNNNNNNNNNNNNNNNNNNNNNNNNNNNNNNNNNNNNNNNNNNNNNNNNNNNNNNNNNNNNNNNNNNNNNNNNNNNNNNNNNNNNNNNNNNNNNNNNNNNNNNNNNNNNNNNNNNNNNNNNNNNNNNNNNNNNNNNNNNNNNNNNNNNNNNNNNNNNNNNNNNNNNNNNNNNNNNNNNNNNNNNNNNNNNNNNNNNNNNNNNNNNNNNNNNNNNNNNNNNNNNNNNNNNNNNNNNNNNNNNNNNNNNNNNNNNNNNNNNNNNNNNNNNNNNNNNNNNNNNNNNNNNNNNNNNNNNNNNNNNNNNNNNNNNNNNNNNNNNNNNNNNNNNNNNNNNNNNNNNNNNNNNNNNNNNNNNNNNNNNNNNNNNNNNNNNNNNNNNNNNNNNNNNNNNNNNNNNNNNNNNNNNNNNNNNNNNNNNNNNNNNNNNNNNNNNNNNNNNNNNNNNNNNNNNNNNNNNNNNNNNNNNNNNNNNNNNNNNNNNNNNNNNNNNNNNNNNNNNNNNNNNNNNNNNNNNNNNNNNNNNNNNNNNNNNNNNNNNNNNNNNNNNNNNNNNNNNNNNNNNNNNNNNNNNNNNNNNNNNNNNNNNNNNNNNNNNNNNNNNNNNNNNNNNNNNNNNNNNNNNNNNNNNNNNNNNNNNNNNNNNNNNNNNNNNNNNNNNNNNNNNNNNNNNNNNNNNNNNNNNNNNNNNNNNNNNNNNNNNNNNNNNNNNNNNNNNNNNNNNNNNNNNNNNNNNNNNNNNNNNNNNNNNNNNNNNNNNNNNNNNNNNNNNNNNNNNNNNNNNNNNNNNNNNNNNNNNNNNNNNNNNNNNNNNNNNNNNNNNNNNNNNNNNNNNNNNNNNNNNNNNNNNNNNNNNNNNNNNNNNNNNNNNNNNNNNNNNNNNNNNNNNNNNNNNNNNNNNNNNNNNNNNNNNNNNNNNNNNNNNNNNNNNNNNNNNNNNNNNNNNNNNNNNNNNNNNNNNNNNNNNNNNNNNNNNNNNNNNNNNNNNNNNNNNNNNNNNNNNNNNNNNNNNNNNNNNNNNNNNNNNNNNNNNNNNNNNNNNNNNNNNNNNNNNNNNNNNNNNNNNNNNNNNNNNNNNNNNNNNNNNNNNNNNNNNNNNNNNNNNNNNNNNNNNNNNNNNNNNNNNNNNNNNNNNNNNNNNNNNNNNNNNNNNNNNNNNNNNNNNNNNNNNNNNNNNNNNNNNNNNNNNNNNNNNNNNNNNNNNNNNNNNNNNNNNNNNNNNNNNNNNNNNNNNNNNNNNNNNNNNNNNNNNNNNNNNNNNNNNNNNNNNNNNNNNNNNNNNNNNNNNNNNNNNNNNNNNNNNNNNNNNNNNNNNNNNNNNNNNNNNNNAGAAUCAUUACAUAAAGGAUUGUUAUUACUAAUAGAUGAAGUUAUUUAUGUUGUUAAAUAUAAUUAAUGAAUUAUAUGCUUGAUAUUAUUGUUUUGUGAAAUCUCACCCCUUCUGCUUGGAAAUGUUGCUCUUCGUAUGAGUAACUUGCAGGUGAUCGAGUUUAAGUUGUUGUUAGAUUGUUGUUGUGAGUGAAUUAUCUCUCAUGUGUGUCUUUAGGUGCUCUGAUACAUAACGGGAUGGGAACUUUGUUGCAUGCUUUUCGAUUCCUUACGUAUUGCUUAUGAAUUUACAUAAUUAAGUUGUUAAUUGGAUUUUUAUGAGAUACUUUGAUGAGGCCUUCGUGCCAAAAUUAUUUUUAGAUGUUCGAAUAAAUUCCGCUGCGAAGUAUUAAAUAUUAUGUUAUUGAAUUUUGAAGGAUAAUUAAUUAAUUAUUCCGUUUGUGAUUUUAAGAAAAGAAAUGUGACAUUCCGUUUAUGUGAAUUACUCUGAUUAAAUAAAUGAAAUUUUUACGUUGGGAAAACGGGGUGUUACAGUACACCCGCAAAUUAAGGUGUACCGGUACUCCUACUUCAAAAAUCUUUAAAAUAACUAUUAUUUUUAUGGAAUAAAGUGCUAUUUGUUGAUAUUUUUAUUUUUAAAAAUGUCAUUUCAUAAGAAAAAACAUCAUUUCAUUGUUUAUAAAAAUCAUACUAAUUUUUUUUACAUUUUAUUGUAAAAAAUAAUCAAAAUUCUCUAUUAUGAGUACUAAAAAUUCAGAAAAAUUUUAUUUUAUUUCGUCGACGUUUUUGGUGAAUAAGAUUUAAUUAUAGAUGAUAGAAAAUAACAUUUUUUUUCAAAAAAUAACACAUUUAACUAUUAAUUUAUUGAUUUGAUGUACCAAUACACUCAAAAUUUUGAGUGUACCAUAUAAUUUGCCCAAAAAAAACUUAAACAAAAUUCAGCACCAUCUAUUUUAUAUGUCACUAUCAAAUAGAUCAUUGAUUUUAUGAAUAAUCUAAAAAGAUCUAAGACUCUAUUAAAUUUUUAAAUUGGUCUUUAUUAUUAAACAACUUACAAUCAAUUCAGUACUCAUAUUUUAACAACAUACCGUCAAUUUGGUCCUUAAGUUCAUGCAUUUAUUGUUAAUUAAAUCUCUACCAUAUUCUUUAAAGGACUUCCAUGACUAAAAUUUAAAAGAAUUAAUAACUCUAUUGAAAUUUUCGUAUUGAAACAUAAAGUGGAGAUCUUUUUCAAUGUGAUCUAUGUAACGUCCUUGGCUGACGAAGGUGAGGAGUGGUCGGUCUCGCUCCUGACAACUUUUAGGCAACCGGAUCAUAUUGAAAUGAGAGGGGUUAUGAGACUGUGUAUGUAUGAGAUUGCACGGUUAAAGGAAUGCUUAUAAGAAUUGUUUGGUAUUUUCCUCAACAAAAAAAAUUUGUUUGAUAUUAUCUAUAUCAACAAGAUGCAUCUUAUUUUCACAGGCAAUUCCUUAUUAACUUCAUAAUUAAGCGUGCUUGACUUGGAUGAAUAACCUUCUAUAAAAUUUCUCAAAAACAUGUGAGUGAGGACAAAACACGUCAAAAAAACUCAUGUUGGACUAUAGGAGGAAGGAGGAAGGGUUGGAAUUAGAGGAAAAUUGUGUUGAUGGUUUCACUACAUGAACAUUUUACCAUGACGUGUUGCAGGACUAGGUAUAUCUUUUAUAUGAUAUUCUUUUGUAUUUAUAAUUUGAUAUAAAUCCCUCAUGCAAGACUUAGAAUGCUAUUCAAGGGUUUUGACGUUAUUGCCUUCUCAAACAUCAGAUUGGAUUGGAUUUGAACUUUGAGAUCUCUUGUUAAACUUUUUUUUAAACAAUAAUGUUAUCGUAUUUUAAGUAACAAUAAUGUUAUCUUAACACUCUUUUUUCCCUACUUUAUUUAUUAUACACCUAUGUAAAAGGACAUUUUAGUCGUUUCAUCUUAUGUGAAAGAGAAUAUUAGAUGGGAUGGUAAAGACUAUGGAGAAAGUCUACUUUAGUCACAAAUAUAAAUGAAUAGUGCUUGAACAUACUCACAUCAAAAUAUAUAUUUUUUUUUUUAAAAAAAAUGGAAAAUGCUAGAUAUCAAAAUGAUUUAGUCUUCAAAGAAAAAAGUUUUUGACGUGUGUAUGAUUAAAUACUAUUCAUUUAUAUUUGUGCUCAUACAAAAAUGCUUCUCUCACAUUUGUGUAUAAUGAUUGAUAGAAGAAGUGUGUGCCACCCAUGUACUAAUCUAUUUUUAAAGGAGAUUAUUAAUUAAACUUGAAAAUAUCCCAAAAUCGUAUCUUUUGAGAUUAUUAAAAGUAAAAAAUAAUUAUUUUUUUAUAAAAAUCCAGUAUCCUAAAGUAGUUUGACUCCACGUGUUAAGCUGCAUGUUGAGGUUCACCAUUGCAUGCUGCCACCUUUCCCCUCCAAUCACAUCCCUCAUCUCACCAACCGCCACAACCACCUACAUAAACGCUCUAUAUAUCUCAAACAAACAAGGUCAAAAUCGCCAUUACCCCACCAUCCAAGUUCCGUGGAAGCAAACACCGCAGAAGCAAACAGAGCAAAACAGAGGAAGGUAGCAGCACAGCGAUGGUAACAAAACCAAGCAUGUCUCUCACGUGUUUUGCACGUGUUACCAUCUUCCUCUACGCUCUAACCCUAUCAACUGCGUUUCACCGCCAUGAAAACUUGAUUCAGGACGUGGCUAGAAAGCUUGAGCUCAAAGACAACGAACUUCUCAAAACUGAGAAGAAGUUCAAAGUUUUCAUGCAAGAUUACUCCAAAAGUUACUCUACAAGGGAAGAGUAUUUACUACGCCUUGGGAUUUUUGCCAAAAACUUGGUCAAAGCUGUGGAACACCAAGCACUUGAUCCAACCGCCAUUCAUGGUGUUACUCAGUUCUCUGAUCUCUCUGACGAGGAGUUUGAACGGUUCUAUACUGGUGUUAGAGGUGGAUUCCCCUCGAGUAACGGCGUUGGCGAGGUUGCACCACCCUUGGAUGUGGAAGGAUUGCCGGAGAAUUUCGAUUGGAGGGAGAAAGGGGCUGUUACUGGAGUCAAGAUGCAGGUACAUGAGUUUAACAUUUUAACAUGCAUGUUUGAAAUUUCUAGUUUUUCUUUGUGGUUAUAAAAUUUUGGUUAUUGUUAGUGUCUAGUUGAGAAAGUAUAUAUGUUGAAUAUGAUUUUUUAAAGUUUUGUAUAUGAAGUAUUUGAAAACUAUAGAAUUAGAUAAUAAAAUGAAAACAAUGUGAUAUUUAUAUAGGAAUGAUAAAACUUAGUUUUUGUUUUUUUUUUUAAUAUUGAGGAUAAUACUUGGUUCAAGUUGUUUACAUUUUUACAAUACUAAAAAAAAAGUGAAGUAAUUUCUAUUAUGUUUCUAUAAAAAUUGUUUUUGGUUUUUGUUGUGCUUAAUUUUGAAACAGGGUACAUGUGGAUCUUGCUGGGCUUUCAGCACUACAGGAUCUAUAGAAGGAGCCAAUUUUCUUGCCACAGGAAAACUCCUCAGUCUUAGUGAACAACAGCUUGUGGACUGUGACAGCAAGGUAUAUAAGCAUCUCUAUGUUUAUGACUUUUUCAUUGAAGAUUAACUAUGUUCUAUACUUCAAAAUAUGAAAGAAUGAAUAAAAAAAUUCAAUGUUAUUAAACAAGUUUUAAAUGAAUUUCGCAAUGAUUCAAGCCAAUUAUGCUCUUGCUAAUCUUGUGUUUUAUUGUUCUACUAUUUUGCCUUUGUCAAGUGUGACAUAACAGACAAGACAUCAUGUGACAAUGGUUGUAAUGGAGGUCUUAUGACAAAUGCCUAUAAUUAUUUGCUUGAGGCUGGUGGAUUAGAGGAGGAAAAUGCAUACCCUUACACUGGUGGUAAGGGUGAAUGCAAGUUUGAUCCAAAGAAAAUUGCAGUUAAAAUCACAAAUUUCACCAAUAUACCUGUGGAUGAGAACCAAAUUGCUGCAUAUUUAGUUAAUCACGGUCCACUUGCAAGUAAGUCCCUUUAAUUAAUUAAAUUACAAGUUCUAACAUAUAUGCAUGUGUGAUGAAUUGUGAAACUUAGACGGACACUCACAUUGAUUGAAUGUAAUCACAUGCAACACAUCAGACUCCGACAAACUUGAAGUAUGUGCGACAUUGAUUUGUCGAUCUUUGUUUAAUUAAAUUGAUGUUGAUGAUCAUGAACUCUAAUUUGUGCAGUGGGGGUAAAUGCGGUUUUCAUGCAAACAUACAUUGGUGGUGUGUCAUGCCCUCUCAUAUGUAGCAAGAGAAUGCUGAACCAUGGUGUAUUGCUUGUGGGAUAUAACUCACAAGGUUUCUCCAUUCUUAGGCUUCGCAAGAAACCAUAUUGGAUCAUUAAGAAUUCGUGGGGAGAACGAUGGGGAGAAAAAGGGUAUUACAAGCUUUGCAGAGGGCAUGGUAUGUGUGGAAUGAACACAAUGGUUUCUGCUGCAAUGGUCGCUCAAACACAACCAGCUGAAAACAAAUCAUAUGCUUCCUAUUAGCUAGCUACCUAGUUCUGUUCUUGCUUUGCUAUGGAGACAGAAAAAGUGUGGAGUAUUGGCGAUAAGUUCUUAUUAUUAUAGCAAAAUAGUUCCUUUCCUAUUAGGUUUGAUAUAUGUAAGAGACUUCACCAAAUUGUAAUAAGUUUGCUUCUCCAAUUUAGUUUAAGUUCCCUCUUAAGAAAUGUAUUGUAGUGUGUGGAUGUAAUGUAUACUAUAUGAUAUAUGAUUAGGAAUGUGUGUGUUAUAAGGUGUUAAGACCUAACAAAAUCUUUCUACAUUUGAAAGUGGCACAUUGGGAAUAACCCAAUUCCAAAAUCUAAGAAUAUAGUGUUAAGAUAGAUGGUAGAAAAACCUCAAAUGCAGACAAUUAUAUAUGCUUAAGCUAAAAUGAAACAGUCUCUUUUUUCUCUCAUAUAAGUAACUUUAAGCAAUGUUUUAAAAAGUUGUAUUUUUCAAUGAAAACGUUUAUACUUUUGAGUAUUAAAUUCAAAUUAGAAACAAGAACAGUCAAUUAACUGUUUUACGUGUGUAACAGCUGUGGAAAUAUAUUUUGUGAAAAUAUAUUUUCACAGUUGAUAUGAUAUAAGCAGAUUCUAAAAAAAUGAUGAACAAAAAACAGGGGAAAUAGACAAGUUAGAUCGCGCCUUUAGAAUAUUUCUUAUAUAUAAUUCAAGAACAAUCAUCACAAAUCCGUUGUAGUCUAGUUGGUCAGGAUAUUCGGCUCUCACCCGAAAGACCCGGGUUCAAGUCCCGGCAACGGAAAUUUUUUUUGUUAUCUCGAACAUGAAUUCACACAAAUCAGUUAAUGAUAUUUAUGCUCUUAAUAUUUCCCUUUUUUUCUUUGAGGUGUGCUCUUGAUAUUCAAUGUUCUUGCAAUUUUUUUUUAAGUCUGACAUGCCAGAUAAAUAGAAAAUGGUUGUAAUUUACAUGAAUCGAAAUAUUGUAUUUAGCAUGAAUGAAUUUGGUUCUAAAAUAGGGAUUUGUUAUUUGAAAUGAUUUCACUUAGUAAUCGAACUUUUUUUUUUUUAAGCAAGAUACUUAGUAAUCGAACUUAUUAACCACUUAAAUUGAAUUGUUUGAUUUUUUUUUAAUAAAGUUCAAUUGCUUGAUUAAAAAAUUAAUUAUACUGACUUAAAAUAAUUAUUAUUUAGAUUAAACAGUGGUGUAAAAUAGUAAAUUAUUAUCUUUUUGAAUUACUCACAUAAAAGGAAGAUGCGUUUUAUUACAUGUGAUUAAUUUGAAAUUAGAAAUAAAUCAUCUCGAUUUUAUUUUUUAAAAAGCCAAAAUAAAUGUAGAUAAAAACCCCCUAUCAAGCAUAAGAUAUUCUUAACAAGGGAACAAAAGAGUACAAGUGAUCAAGGAAAACAAAACAAAAGGGUUAGUCCAAUGCAAACUGAAGGGUAAGGCCACGACAUAUGAAAGUCGAAAAAUAAGUUCGCAUUUAGAGCUUUAAACCAUCACCAUAAAUAAAGCUUAACAUGAUCUAAUAGUUGCUUCUUAGAUGAGAUUUUGGCGGAGAAAAAAACUCGGAGAAUUAUACUCCUUUCAGAUGACUUGAAUACAUAUCAUCUAGAUAACAUGAAAACAAUAGCAGAUAUCUUUAUAAAACAAGUGGGAGCCAACAAAUUGAAACACAGGUACCCCAUCACAUCAAUAGGCAAGACACUUUGAACUUCUGACCAACGGAGAACAUCAAUCCAAAAUGUUGUCAAAAAAAACACACACACUCAAAAAGUAUAUGAUUAUUAGUUUUCUCUAUUUUGCAACCCUCUAAGCAUACUAACGAAUUCAGGUGAAUGACGAUGCGACACACCAAAUUGUCUUUGGUAGGAAUCAUCUUGUUCAAAAGCCUCAAAACAAAUAAAAGCACCGCGUUGUUUCAAAUGAUUUUUGUGAAAGAAUCGUGAAUAUGUUGCUCCACUUGGGCAAAUAAAUGAUACACUCAUUUGGUAGAAUCAUGCUUCCAAAUUCAUUUGUCUGACAUGCUAUCCUACAAAAUAACGUUAUCGAACAUAAAAAUACACUCUCCCACAUGAUCCUCCUCCCAAGCAAGUAAUAUCAUCCACCAUGAACAGUCUACCCCCCACCCACCAUCAUCAUCAUCAUAACCUCUUCACUUCGCUGCUGAAACAUUACCUUCUACUGUCAACUCAGACAACCGCCUAACGCUUACCCACAAUGGUACUCUCUGUAACCAAGGAUCAUUUCAAAAAGAUGUGUUUUCACCAUGAUCCACUCGACACACUACUUCAUUUGCGAACAAACCACCCACAUCUGGAUCAACUUUAUCUUUAAUACAACAUAAGUCUUUUCACCAACCCAACACCUUACUACUCCUUUCCUUUUAUACAAAUUUAUUAAUACUUGUGUGCAUGACAAGUUUUAGUAAUUAGUUAUUAGAUUAUUUUGUGUCCUUCUUCUGGGUUCGAACCAGGAUUUUCAACUCUUUAUCACUUAGCACUAGUUAAGCUAUCCGAUCUUACAGGUGGAAAUAGGCUAGGCUUUGCAAGGCCUAAGUCAAUUGUGUAAAAAAAUUUAAGACUUGAGUCUGACUUAUGGCUUGUCGUAAGCUUUUUUUUAGGCCAAAGUCUAGCCUCUUGAAAGUCUAGUAUGACUUUUUAGUCUAUUUAAAAGUGUAUUUCAUAUGAUAUAUGUUUAAAUAGACUAGCAUACUAAUAGAUCAAUGAGAUUAAAUUCUCUUUUGAUAUUUAACAUGAUUUUAUAGAGAAUUCAACUAUAUAUGAUAUCGUAUUUCAGUUCUAAUUUAUAAUAAUACAUUUAAAAAAUAUGUGAACAGUGAAUGUAAACAAAUAAGCUUAAAUUACUAAAAAUGUUGACAAAUUUAUAACUUAUUUCAAAAUACAAAGUUUAAUAUAAUAAUAAACGUGGUAAUAAAUAAUAUCAUUUCUAUUGACUUCCUUUAAAAAAAUAUUAUUAAUAUUGGCUUAAAUAGGCUAACUUCAUAGGUCUUAGAAGCCUUGUUUUUUUUUUUUUUUAAAUUAUCUUUUAUCUACCAUUUUUAGCUAAAUAGAUUUAUUAAAAAGUCUAAGCAUUAUAUAUUUUAAAAAAAGUCUGAUGUAGACUAAUUCGUAGGUCUCGCUAAGUCGGUCUUAUUUAUUUUCACUCAUAUCCAACCCCCAAAAAAGUUUUAUUUAAACUAAAAAUGUACAUGAAUUAAAUCAUUUAGUUGGUAAAAAAUUAGCUCCUACAACUUUUGUCAAAAAUAAAAAUAAAACUUUUUGUCAUAAAAAAAUUCAUAUCAGUAUAUGUAUAUCAUAAAAAAGAAAAUCCAAUGAAGAGACAUUUUAGAAUGAUUUGAUUGAAGCUUUCAUAUCUCACCUUACAAAUUGCAAUCAAUUAUUUUGAUUUGAUUUGUAAAUGCUUAAAUUAAGAUUAAAAGGACUUGAUACACUUUAAAAAUCCAACAAUUUAGCCGGAUAAUAAGGGGUGAAAAUCUUUUACUUAAAUGUUUUGAUUUAAAACCAAUAAAUAAAUUAUCUUGAUUUAAAAUAAACAUAUUUUCUUACUGGUCCACCUAAUCAACCCAGAUUUUCCAAUGUCUCAAACCAAAUAACUCCUACUUGGCCACCACGCCAGCGAAGGUGAAAAGGAAACAGCAUGUGGUUCUAAUCACACAAAACAAAUUUACCAAAACACCCUCAAGCAUCUUUUUUAUCCUUAUCCACUUUUUAUGACUAUUAAUGGUUGGUAAUGGGCAAUGUAGACAUAUCACAAUUAUUACACGUUUCUUCCAAUUUACAACUAACAACUACCGUCCAACAACUCUUACAAUUAUCCAAUAAAAUCCACAAAAUCGAAUAUUCAAAAAACACUUUUUUUUUUUUUUCCUUUUUUACAAGACAACUUGCGACUCGCCCACAGACAUAAAAUUCAACAAAUAAAAACACACAGAGAAGUGAAAAAGAUUGCACCUUUUGUUAAUUCUUGUGGUUUAAUGCUUGUUCUGAAGCAAACCCAUUUUUCAUAAUUGUAUCUUGAUAACGUUUUCAUUUCUUUCUGCUUCAAUUCAUCUCUUUGGUAAGGGUAUUUUUUUUUUUUAUGAAAAGACAUGAUUGAAAAAUCUUAAAUUUAUGUUGUUUUGAUCAUGUUUUGUUUUAUGGUUUCUUGAUUUUGAUUCAGAUCUCAAUUGGGUUAUUGUUUUUGCACUUUUUUUGUUGAAUGCAUUACUCACUGUUUGAAAAUGUUUAUGUCUUUUCUUGUUUUUCUCUGUUUUUUGCUUGGUAGUUUAUGUUUCUUGUGUGCAUGCUAGUUACUAGUUAGUAGUAUUCAUGGUUUUCUGUAUGAAAACGUGUUAUUUAAUAUUUUGAUUAAUUUGAUUAUACAUUUGUAACCGACACAAGGCUUCAAACUAUAUCACUAAUCCGAAAUGCGGGUUCUUGAUUGGUCUAUACAAUUAUUUUGCAGUUUUGUUUAUAUUCAUUAAUUAAUUAAUUACGAAAUUUGGUUAUUUCAAGUGAGGUGGGUUUAAGAUCUUAAAGUAACACAUCUGUGUUCUUCUACUGUGAUUAUUUUAUCUCAGAUCUGGAAAGAAAGUUAGUUAAAUUAGUUAAUGAAAUUCAAGUAUUUGAUGGGAAUAGUACUUUAUAAGGUUUUAGAUAAUUAGGUUAGAUUAUAUAAAUAAAGUUAAUUAAAUUAGAUUAGUAGGGGCUUCAAUGUUAGUUUCUUGACUUAAUCUUAUCUUUUGAAACAAAUUGUUCGGUUAUUGACUGACUAUGAAGCACGGGCAGAGACACCGGACACCCCGACACACCAACACCGAUAAUAAUUUGAGAAAAUGACAUAAUUCAGUGUAACAAUAUGUGUUGGUGGGUGUCGUGUCAGUGUCGGACAUCGGGACACACCUAAUUCGAGGAGUGUCUGUGCUUCAUAGGUUAUUGAUGCAAUUUAAAUUUAAAUCAUACUGCUGUGGAAGAGCUAGGAAAUGUGAUGACGGUUUCUCUUUAUGUAUGAAAUUGUGUAGUUUUUCCCUAUUGAAGCUUUUUUCUUGUUAUGCAGCAACAGCAACACUGACGAGUGAGCAUUAGUUUUUUUCAAAACCCGUGACAUUCGAUUGGCGAUAACUGCUAGGAAGCUUGGAGGUACUUCUAAUCUUUAGAAGGAAAUAAUUAUUAGUAUUCAUUGUAGUAUUAUUGUGGAAUACAAUGGAGGUCUGUGCUGAAAGUACCCAUUGCAAUGGGAAACAGACUUUGAAGCAUUCUAAACCUGCAGAUGAAGUAAAAAGAUCAAGUGAAAACACUUGCAGAUGUUCUCGUCCAAACGGGAAGCAAAAUUUGAAGCAAACUUCCACUUUUGUCAAUCAUGGUGAGUCUUUCAUGAUCAUGGAUUCAUGGUUUUGUAUUUGCUUAUCACAAUGGUUCCACACGAUUAUAAUUUUUACUCUGUUGUUUAAAACCUAAUAUUGGUGAAUAUAUUAUGCAGCUGCAAAUGCUUGGCAUGAGAAUAGAAAAAAGUGGGUUGGCGAUAAGGCUAUGCAUUCACCAAGAACACCUAAGGAUCCAAUUAUUAGGUAUACCCCAAUCCAGCUCCAUUUCUUUUCAUUUACAGCAGUUUCAUUCGUUGUUAACACUAAUGAUGGCAGAUUUGAAUGGUUUUCAUCAUCUGUUUUUAUUUGAGAGAGAAAACAAUAUAAAGAAAAAAAAUGGGAUAGUGAAUUAGAAGGGGUUUUAUCUUUCACAUUUUUCUUGUUUCUGCAUUCAUGUUUAAGAAAUAAAAAUUACUUUGCUAAUUGGAAUCAACAUAAUUCAUUACCCUUCUAAUCAUGCUCCCCUUUUCUGGUCUUACUCUUACUUAAAUACUACAAACUCUAAUCAGGCAUACUCGUAUAGUCUUUUUCAGGGUAAAUUUACUGUUUACUCCCCUCUAGUUUCUCACAUUUUCAAUUCACCCCCUCAAUCUCAAUCCCCCUUUGCAUUGAAGUGAACUGAAACUGUUUAUAAUAUUUUUACAUGCAUAUUUCUUGUUGCUGCGUUGAUUGCAGAUGGCACAAUGUACGUGCCACACAAACGUUUGGUUGCUAAUAGCUUUAUUCAAAUACACAAGAUUUGAAAACAUAAUGUGCCUCUCUUAUCAAGAGCAUUGAUCAAAACAUACUAUGUACUUUUGUUUGAUUUCCUUUCAAGUGAUAUGAUAGUUUUGGGGAUAAUGUCUAAACCCGUGUUUUAGUACAAUUGGUUUAUAGAUAUACUGUAGUAAUGUGCUUUCCAUAAUUUUUAUGCAUUUAUUUGGCUAUCAUUUUAUGACAACUCACAAUUUUAUUUAAUUUAUUUCAGCUGGUCAACAUCAUACGAAGACCUACUUUCUACUCACGAACCUUUUGCUGAACGAAUACCCUUGCCUGUAAGAUGUCAAUACCCUUAGCUUACCUAAAAGAAUACAUGUAAUAUAUUAAAAUAUAUAUGUUCAUACAAAAUCUGCUAAUUGAAGCUGAAGAGAAAGGAAAAUCACUCUUUGAUGCUCUUUAGAGUUAGAUAUUUGCAUACUGUUUGAAGUCAUUGAAUAUGAUGCUGUAGCUUUACCUGCUUUAAGCUUUCUGUAUAUUUUUUUCAAUGUACUGAUUCAUAUUUUAUAUGGAUUUGUGGCUCAUACAGGAGAUGGUAGAUUUCUUAGUUGAUAUUUGGCUUGACGAAGAAGGCACCUUUGAAUAAAUCGUUGACGCUUCUUGUACAACAGUAACUGAAACAAGAAGUGUGUAAUACCCUUUAACCAGCAAUAACCUCAAUUAACCACCUAGCAUAGCUUGAUUUGAUGUAAUAGUAUUCUUCAGGGUUGAUAUUUUUUAUUGUAUUCCUGAUUUUCUUUAUGUGCCUCUCUUAGGAGACUCUGCUCGAGUCUGGUUCCCUAGAGGCUUUUAGUUUUUUUCUUUUGGCCUUUGUUCCUCUUUAUUUAUUCACAAAAAAAAAAAAAAAAUUAUUUUUCCACCAUUUAUCUAGUAAGUUUUAUUGUGAAAAAAGUAAAAAUAUAAAGGUUAAAAAGUUAAAACGCGCCAGGUAGGGGUCGAACCUACGACCUUCUGCUUAGGAAACAGACGCUCUAUCCACUGAGCUACAAGCGCAGUUCUUAUGGUCUGUAUUAUAUAUUUCAUGUUUUGAUCAAUACCACUGAGCUAAAGACGCUCUAUACAACAUUAUGUCAUUGAACAUGUGCCUGAGUAAAGUUUGAAUGUCUUAUUCAUUUGGUCAUGAAACGAUAGAAGAGGAUAAACAAAUAUGUACUGACAUUUGUUCUAUGGACAAGUGGCACCAAAAUUAGGUGUCCUUGAAUAAAUUAUUGUAUUCUACAAACAUUUUAUAAAUAAAUAAUAGAUAUAUUUCAAAACCUUUUUAAAAAUAACUAUUCUAAUUUUGUAAUUAGUCUUCCCUCAAGUAUUAUAAAUUUGUCUUGUGGUUCUCCAAUUCCGUGUAUUUUUUUUAUUUUAUAUAGACUCCAAUUCCGUGUAUUGUUUAGAUAAUAUAACAGUGGUUUGAACAAACUCAGCUUAUUAGUGUAGUUCAAUGGUAAAUGUAUAAACUUUAUGAGAAUGAUAUUAAAAAACAUUAACUUUAACUAAUACUUUUUUAUUUUUUACAUUUUUAAUUAAUUUUUUAAUCACAAACAUUUGUCCCGAUAGUGGUUGAUGGAUUCAUCAUACAUGAUGAUAGUGGUUGAUAUAUGAUUUUAUCGUGUAGCACUCACACAGGAUCUUUUCUCUUCCCUCCAACAAUUUUACAUGACACUUGCUCAACAAGCAAAGCAUGAGUUGGAUUAUUAUCACCAUAAUAAUAUUUUUUUUUUCAUUGUUUAAUUUGUUUCAUGUUUUGAUUAAUUUUUUUGUCGAACUUUAUUUAUUUUUAGAUUAAUAACAAUCGUUAUCCUUCUUUAAAAAAAACAAUUGUUAUCCUAAAUAAUGAACGGUUAACUUGAAAGAAAAAAAGUUAAUAGACAAUAAUAUUAUACUGUUUGUUGCUCUUUUAUUUAUGAUUAUGUCUAUGCCGCCACGUUUGAUAUAAUAGCUCAGUGUUAAGAGUUUAUCCCACUACAGUUAUCUCAAAUAUAUUUAUUUCUUAAAUUUAUGUGAUAAAAAGUAAUAUACCAUUAAAUUAUUAUACAUCAAAUAAAACAUAUUUUUAAUAAAAAUGAAGAAAUGUGAUUUUUUUUCUUCCACUAAACAAACAAUUUCUUCAUUUUUUAUUAAAAUAAUAAUAAUAUAAAAAUGAAAAAUUCCUUCUAUUUUUCUAAGUUCGAACAUAUGAAAAUUUUAACUUGUCAGAUAGAGUUGUGAUCUGUGUGUUUAAAAAAAUAAUUGUUGGAAGAUGUCAGCACCUUAAAUGACAAUCUUUUUUCUUUUUAAUAUUUGCUUUGAGCAAAUAAAUCACAUAAACAAAAGGUAACACUUUUACAAAUAAAUCUCACAAUGCACAAAUGUGUACACCACACUCUAAAGUUGUAUGUUGUAACUCAUUAUGUAGACCACAUUAUAAGGUUGUAACUCAAUAAAAACAUUAUGAGAAAAUAUUACAAUAACAUUCAAAAACAUAAAAUAAGUAAAACUCCAAUCUUCUGUUAUCUCUACAUACAUGUAUUCUAAACUACAAUUUGAUUACAUGUCACCUCACCAAUACCCCCUAACUAAUUUUCUAUAAGCAUUCAACAUAUGAUUCUCUCUUUUUCUUUUCCUUAUUUUCCAUCUAUCUAUUUAUUACUACAUAUUUACAUAUGUCAAGGGAAUAUGAUAAUAAUAAUAAUUUUGUAAAAAAAUUCUGAUAAUAAUAAUAACAAUAAUAAAAUUAUAUUUAAAAGUAUAGUUGAAAACGUGUGGUUAUUUGAUUAUAUGGUACAUUUUUUUGAUAAAUGUCUUUUAUCAAUAUUUCUUUUUUUAGGAGUUAGUACCAUAGAUAUGUUGCUCUCUUUUUUUAGUUUUUUUCAUCAGCCAUUUACAAAUUUAUUUAUUAUAUAUAGAAGUUCAACACAUAGCCAAAUAACCUAAUUAUUAAUUUAUAUAGUAAUAAAAUAUAUAUUUUUCUACUAAAAAAUGAUAUAACGUGUACCAAUAAAAAGAGAUAUCUUAACUUUUAAAAGUUGAAGAAUAAAAUUGAUCAAUAAAUGCUAUAUAGAGGUCAUAGCUUAAAUUAGUCCAAAUAAAUGAGAUAAUAAUAUAUACUAUAAAAACAAAACAAAAAAAAGUGUAAUUGAUCUAAUCAAUUAAAAUAUAUACCUUAAAGAUUAUAAAAACAUUAUUGUUUAAUUACACCAUCAUAAUUGAGUUUACUCCUUAACAUUCCUUCAAAUAUAACUUACAAAGUUGAAAAGUUCAGUGCAUAAUAAAUGCAUAAUUUUUCACAUUCACCCUCAACCUUCAUAGCCACCAGCCCACCACUUACCCAGACAUUUAUUUUCACCCAUUCCCACACUGUGUUUGCUAACACAAAAAAACUAACUUAUAGUUUGUUGGAUUAGCUUAUAAGCUUGUUUUUGUAGAAUGAGACAUGUUUGAUAAAAAAAAAAAUUCAUUAGCUUAUAGCGUUUUUUGAGAAGUUAAUUCAAGUAGCUUUUGAGCUUAUAGCUUAUAGUUUUUUAUAUUUUCUUCCAAAUUUAACCUUUUAUUAAUUUAGUUUAAUUUAAUUUUAAUUAAAAAAACUACCCAUAACUGCCCACGUUUAGCAUCAUGAUAUGGCUUUUCAAUUUUUCUUGUUCACGUUCCUUUUUACAUGCUCUUAAUUCAAUGAUAGAUAAUUUUAUAUAAAAUUUACAAUAAAUAGUGAUGCAAGUUUAGUUGAGUAAAAUUAAUGAAAAGGAAGUUUUGUUAAAUAAAAAUUGUCAAUUGAAUUAAUAAAUACAUUUAUCAUUUAGGAGAUGAAAAUAUUUUGAAAUAAAUUUAAAUAUUUAAAAAGAAAUACAUUAAGUAUUAAAAAUUGUAUAUAUGAUUUAUAAAAAAAAAACACAAACAUGCCCUUUUACGUCAUUUUAUAUUUAUCAGCUACUUCAACAACUAAUUGUACCAAACACUUUUUAUUUUAAUAAGCUAACUUUUCAGCUAUAAGCCAUCAGCUAUCAGCUAGCUUAUCAGCUACCAGCUAGCUUAUAGCUUCUUUUUACCAAAUACACAUUUGAAAAUUUACACUCAUUUAUUGAGUGUUUCUACCAUGGUGCUAUUGAUACUAGGGAAAAUUACACAGACCUCCUACGAGGUCUCUUUAAACAACACAAACACCCUUUUUAGUUUUAUAAUAGACAUAAACCUCUCCUAAGAUCUUUUAAAAUAGAUAAACACCUCCCUUUGUGACUUAACGGAAACUUAACACCGUUUGUUUUUAAUUUUUAUAACUAAAAGGGAUAAAAAUUCUCCUCUCUGAACAAUGUAAACAGCAAACCUCACAAUAAUGAUUCUAUGAUUUUAAACAAGAAAAACAAGUCUUCUGUGAUGGACUGUGAAUCUCAAACCAACCCCUUUCAUGGUUGAGAAGUCUUUAGUUGCAGAAUUUCCUUCCCUUUCAAAGUUAUGUAGAACAAUUAGUGUUGUCGUGAAAUUCAUUGUGAAAAGAAAUUGGGUGUAAAUUUUGAUGACAAUACAUGAUAUCAUAAAAGUGUGGGUGCCUUGGUACCUAAAGAAAUUGUGCUGUGAGAUUUUACCCAAACUCUAUGUUUGGUGAUGUCGUUUUUGUGGAAGAUAUAUUGUGCAAAACAUAAAAGUUUGAGUUGGAAGAUUUCUACUAGAAGAGGUCUCUUUCACUAACGGCACACUGAGAGUAUAACAAAUUUGGUUGAUGAAAUCUUUUUGGUGGAAGAUGAUGCAAAACAUAAAAAGUUUGAGUUUUUCUUUUUAUUUUCCAAUAACGCCAGUUUAACACUGUUACAUUAAAGGGAGGUUAGUGUUAUUUGUGAAAAUAGAGGGGGUGUAAGUGACAUAUUAAUAUUAAUAUACUAAAGGGAGGUGAGUACAAUUUAUCCUUUAUACUAUCAUAUUUAUAUGUACUAAAGUUGUUUGUAUAUUAUUCAUUUGCACUUAAGUAAUUGUAUAUUCAUUAUUUUUUCAGGUUGAGAGAAAUAAAUUUCACCAUAGAUAUGAUGCUAAUAUAUGAAAAGGUAUUCUUGAUUCCUCUUAUAACUAUUGUUCAGUCAAAAUUGAUCUUUCACUUUUUUUGACAGGUACUGAAUUUUGACUUAAGUUGUAAAAAUGGUUCUAAAAACAAUCUCACAUAUAUUAUUAACAACACGCUUUAUUGACAAUUGGAAAAUAACAACAUGCUAAGUUUUAAUUUGGCAUUUUUUUUUAAACAAAAAUGUUAUAUUUGGAAAUGUGAUUUUUUUUCUUCCACUAAACAAACAAUUUCUUCAUUUUUAUUAAAAUAAUAAUAAUAUAAAAAUGAAAAAUUCCUUCUAUUUUUCUUAGUUCGGACAUAUGAAAAUUUUAACUUGUCAGACAGAGUUGUGAUCUGUGUGUUUAAAAAAUAUUUGUUGGAAGAUGUCAGCACCUUAAAUGACAAUCUUUUUUCUUUUUAAUCUUUGCUUUGAGCAAAUAAAUCACAUAAACAAAAGAUAACAUUUUUACAAAUAAAUCUCAAAACACAUGAAUGUGUAGACCACAUUAUAAGGUUGUAACUCAAUAAAAACGUUAAGAGAAAAUAUUACAAUAACAUUCAAAAACAUAAAAUAAAAAAAUAGUAAAACUUCAAUCUUAUGUUAUCCUUAUCUCUAUCUCUAUCUCUAUCUCUAUAUACAUGUAUUAUAAACUACACUUUGGUUACAUGACACCUCACCAAUACCCCUCUUUCUAACUAAUUUUCUAUAAGCAUUCACCAUGUGGCUCUCUCUUUUCCUUUUCCCUAUUUUCCAUCUAUCUAUUUAUUACUACAUAUUUACAUAUGUUAAUUCUUAUAAUUCUUAAAUAUGUAACUGAAAAUAGAGUGAGCUUUGUAACUCCUUCCACUAUUCAUUAAUUAAGGGAAUGUGAUAAUAAUAAUAAUUUUGUAAAAAAAUUACAAUAAUAAUAAUAACAAUAAUAAUAUUGGGUAUUGUUUACACUUUAAUAUUAGCGGAACUUAUUCAAACAUAAGUUUAUUAAGAUUCACAUUCAUGUUUAUAUUCUAAAUUUAAAUUUUAAUAUUUGUUAUUCUUUUAUGAAAAGGGUAAUAUUUGUUUUAUCUAUAAAUCUAAGGCUAUACUUUUUUUUCCUUCCCAUUCUUGCUUCUUCACGUGCGCCAUAUUCGGAUUAUAAAAUCUCAAAAAUUAGAGGAUUUUUGAAGGUAUUUUAAUGUGUUUUGGAGGGUCUAUAGGACGUUUUACAUUGUUCGGAUUAUAAAAUCUGAAACUCAUAUGACCUGUGAGAAACUAGUAGUUUUUCCACCCUCAUUUCUUCUUGUGUGUGCGCGUGAUUAAAAAAUUGACUCAAUUGUAAAGGUGUUUUUUCUUUUUUGCGGGUGGUGACGAGGAAAAUAUGAAAAUAGUUUGGAUAAGAUAAGAUGGGAGAAGGUGUGCUUAAUUAAUGUGUCAAGGUGGGUUUGGUGUCAAGAAUCUGGAGGUUUUCAAUACUUCAUCAUUGUCAAAAUGAUUCGAAGACGCUUCAAGAUAGUAUUUGUGGAAUGCCUCAAAUAUGCACCAUUGACCCUACUUUCUUCUUAAGAAAUUCAUCGAAAGACAUGUCCUUCCACUCUACAAUAGCAUGGGAUAAUUUUUCUGAAAUAUGUCCACCUGAAACCCACCCGGACCGAAGCAUAUCACUAUAAGAAUUCUCUAAGGCUUUGUUUGCAAGUUUGGAGAAGAAGUGAGGGGGUUUUUAGAGAAAAAGAAGAAAGAACAAGUGGAAGAAAUAAAGUACAUUGAAAAGAGAGGGGUUUAGGCGUUAAUUUUUCUUCAUAAUACAAAACCCUCCUCAUUUAGGGAACUAAAGAGUUGUAUUGGAGGAGAGUUUUGGACGGUUUAUAUGAAUUCUUCAAAUUUAAUUUAUACUGUUAUAAUAUUAUUAAUAUUAAAAAUAUACGAAUCAUAAAAAUUCGUUUAUCAUUUUCUAAAAUAAUACUCUUUCAAAAAUAUGUGAAAGAUUUCUCCAUUUUUCUCUAUAAUUUUCACCUCUUAGAGUUUUUCCUUCCCCUCCCCUCCAAACGCUCAAACAAAUUCUAACAGUGAAGUGUUGUCAAAUCUAAAGCCAUCAAGUCUUACCAAUACCAAAUGGAGAAAUAAGUAGAGGGUGACGACAAAACAAGUUUAUCUGAUCUAGCACAUUGGCAACUACAUUGAAACCCCUAACCUUCAUCAUCAUUUGCUAAGGUUCUAUCCAAUCCAUCCAAUGUCUAUAAAAGAAAAAAAUUAUGAUGGCUCAAUCAAUGAAGGUUGUGUGUCUAGUUGGCAAAGAGUUGACAUUUUAAAAUAUAUCAUAUUGUCAUUAAGAUCUUUGACAAUUUAGUAGGUGUAAAAGUAUAUUCUCAGUUUUUAAAGAGUGAUUUGUUUAUAGAAUACAUCAUCCAUCUUAAAUUAUACUUCUUCCGUCCUAAAUUGUAUGACGUUUUGGACAUUUCACACAUAUUAAGAAAUGUAAUUAAUAUUGUGUGGGAAAGAGAUAUUAUGAGUUGUUUUACAAAAUUAUCAUUAAUAAAUGAUAUGGGAAAGAUAAAUGAAAGAAUUGAAAAAAGAAAGAGUAAUAAAUAGUUAAGGAUAUAAUAGAAAAAAUAACAUUAAUGUUUCAUUGGUAUUCUAAAGUGACAUACAAUUUGAGACGAAUAUUUUUUCUAAAGUGACAUACAAUUUUGGACGAAGGGAGUAUGUAGUUUUAAAAAAAAUCAUAAAUUAUAUAUCAUUUUACAAUAUCGACGAAGUAUUAAUGUUAUUUUUUUUAUUAUAUCCUUAAUUAUUAUUACUAUCUCUUCUUUCAAUUAUCUUUCUCGUAUCAUUUAUCAAGGAUAAUUUUGUAAAACAACGCAUAAUACAUUUUUCCAACACAAAAUUAAUUACACUUUAUUAAUAUUUACGUGUGAAAUGCCAAAAUAUCAUAUAAUUUAGUACGGAUGAAGUAAAUGAUCACAGGAAAAGAAAAAGAAAAAAGAUGUUUACAAGGUCAAAUUUAACAAACAAAAAUGCCCAAAUACAUGAACGAAGUACAUGAAAAUGAAAAGAAAACAAUGGCAAAUUACUAUUAAACCCCUGGACUGACUCAUCAAGAGAGAUGAUGCAUGAGCGAGUCUUGAGUCUGACGAAGUAGAGUAACUAACCGUUCUUGCUUCUCCAUGUUAUGACACGUGUCGUAAAAAAUGGAUCUUAAGAAAACAACAAACACCAUCGUUCGUAACCACCUUUUCCCCCCCACUCUCUCUUUCUUCGCAUUUUCAUUUUUUUCAUUUGCACGCAAAGCAACAACACCAUGAUGACGACGUUUUGGUUCUCUCUUGCGGUUGUACUUCUCUUGUGGUCCCCACCGUCUUCCUCCGCCGCUACCAUCAACGAUGAGAUAGCUAAGAAUCUAAUUAGAAACCUCAACCUCUUCCCUUCUCACGAUAUCAACAUACUCGACGCCAAACCCAAUGUGGAGGAGAAUCAGAACAACAACAAGAUCAUCGUUGAGAAGCCGCUUAAGUUUCCAAAUUUCUCCGGCGAAUACGACGAAGGAGUUUGCAUUGAUGACUUGGCUCAUCGUGCUGGAUAUUAUCCCAUUCAACACUCUCAUGCUGCUAAGUAAUUCAUAUUCCAUUUUUUCUCUUUCUCAUUUUCAAUUUUGUUAUUAUUUUAAUUAUUUUUUGCAACUCUUUUUCUUCUGUUUAUUUAAUUAGUAAUUGCUUAAAGUAUUACUUUAUUUAGUGAAUCAUUAAAAUAAUUAUAGAUUAUGUUCUCUAACUGACCCUGGGAUUUGUCUUCAUUGAAUUUAAUUGUUUAAUUUUCUCUGUAUCGUUUUGUGGAAUAGCAAUGUUGGAGAACACACAGAAUUUGUGUAUAUAAUAAUAUAUCUAUGGAUUUUAUUCAAUGUAAAGUUGUUUUAUAAAAUGUUUUGAGUAUUUACACCUUGAAAUUAAAUAGACUCUUGAUUUUGAAUUAUGUUGAGCAACUUGAUCAUUCUGUUGGCUUGUAUCUAAUUUACAGUCAAAUUAGUUACAUUAUUAUCGCAAAUGUUAGACGUGUAAAUGUCCGACCCCCUACAAUUUCAACAGGUGAAUUGGUAAUUUACUUAUGUUUUAUAUUAUCACUGACUCAAUCAUAGUUGUCUCAUAAUUAAUAUUGUUUUUAUUCAUAAUUACUUUCAAAACUGUUCAUGUGAUUGGUUGUGAUUUGUUGAGAGUCUAUACAAAUUUAACUUUUAUUACUAUGUUUUGGUUGUUUAUGUGCAGGAUGUUCUACUUUUUCUUUGAAUCCCGGAAAAACAAGAAGGAUCCUGUUGUGAUAUGGUUGACAGGUGGACCUGGCUGUAGCAGUGAAUUGGCUGUGUUUUAUGAAAAUGGCCCUUUCAAAAUUGCUAACAAUUUGUCCCUUGUAUGGAAUGAAUUUGGUUGGGACAAGGUAUUUAUAUUGUUAUAUUUGUUUGUUGUCUUGUGUUGUGUCAUUCAAUUAACUGUUUUUCCUAUAGUUUUGGUUUCUUGUGAUCAGUAUUUAUUGGACAUAACUAAUUAAUUGGUAACCUUGUAGGUAUCUAACCUCCUCUAUGUUGACCAACCAACUGGAACUGGCUUCAGUUACACUACCGAUAAGCGUGAUAUUCGUCAUGAUGAAGAUGGUGUCAGCAAUGACCUCUAUGACUUUUUACAGGUACUUGUAUUUUCUUCAAGUGUUAUGUUAGUUAUUCAAAACAUCGGUGCAUUGGCCCUUUUUUAUUAGCGUAAACGCUCAUCAUAUUAGUGCUUAUGUAUAGGUUAUUUUUAUAACAAAAAAUAAAAUAAAGUCAAGCAAUUUUCAUAUAAGUCGAAAACAACUUUUGGACAUGUCAUAAGUUGUUUUCAUAAGUUAUCUCAAACAGUCGCACAAGUGCUUAUUUUUAGUAGAUGAGGUCAAACAAGUAAUCCAAACAGAACCUUAAUAUGAUAUACUUGACUUAUAUUUAUUGUUCUAUGAACAUGAGUUGUAUUUACAGACUUGUUUUCAUUUCCUUACAUUUCUUGGUCGCUGUUCUUUGAAAUGCAAAACAUAUUGUUUCUUAGUUAUUGUUAUAUUGGAUAAGAGCACCUUGCUAAGCUUCACCUGUGAUAUCUUGAGAUAACAUGUUUUUUCUUUUCCCUACAGGCCUUCUUUGGUGAACAUCCCGAAUAUGCUACAAAUGACUUUUUUAUCACGGGUGAAUCAUAUGCCGGACAUUAUAUUCCGGCUUUUGCUGCUCGUGUCCACAAGGGAAACAAAGCUAAAGAAGGGAUUCAUAUAAACUUGAAGGUUUGCUACUUUGUCAACCAUUCUAUUUGAGAUACAUAUUGAAGGGUAUGAAAUCUUGUUUAUCUUAUUUGAAAUGGUUGAACAGGGAUUUGCCAUUGGUAAUGGACUCACUGAUCCUGCAAUUCAGUAUAAAGCUUACGCAGAUUAUGCACUAGACAUGGGUGUAAUUAAACAGGCUGACUAUGACCACAUCAACAAAGUGAUGGUUCCAGCCUGUGAAUUGGCAAUCAAACUAUGUGGUAAUUGACACGUGAUGUUGUUUCUUUAUCCUUUCAAUCAAUAUAACGUUUCUUCUCAUAUAUGUAUGCUGGAAACUAAGGUUCUUAUUGAAAUGAACAAACUCAUGCAUUGGAGUAUUUCUUUCUUUCUUUCUUUGAAAUGAAUGUAUUUUGAGUUCAACCUCCUUGCACAGUUCCAAAUAUCCAAUUUUAAAUUUGAAUCUGAACAUAGAUUUUUUAAAUGGAUCAAUCAUAAGGUUCAAUUCAUGCUCAGGCUUGCUAUUUUUUUUUAAGUAAUUUAAAACUUACUACAGUUAUUUUAUUUAAACUGCAUAUAUGACCUAUAUAUAAUUUAACGUGUCUUAUCAUAUAAAUACAUAUUUAUCUUAAUAUUAAAUGUAUAUUGCAAUCCAAAUUUGGUGUAUGAUAGAACACUAUGGCAUCAUUUGAUCCAUGUAGCCAACCCCACUUAGUGGGAUAAGGCUUGGUUGUUGUUGUAUUAAAUGCAUAUUGCUAUUCUUAUAUUGUUAUCUAUUUGACAUUAUAUGAAUUUCUUACAAAAUUUUACAUGUACCGCGUUAUAGUUAAAUGAACUGGUUUACUAUUUCCAGUCAUCAUGGCACCUUAUAGUAAUUUUUACUAUCCUGAUUAUUCAUGUAAUUGAAACAUCGAAGGACCAGAGGUCUCUGCUUCACUCUCAUGGUAAACUAACUAGCUUUUGUUAUGUUUCUUCUUAAUACUUAUUUUAAUCCUUUCAGGCACAGAUGGAAAAAUCGCAUGCACAGCUUCGUAUUUUGUUUGUAAUACUAUAUUCAAUUCCAUCAUGUCACAUGCUGGUGAUAUCAAUGUGAGUAACUCAGUUACUUCAUCUUCUGUGUGGUUUACAUGUCAUAGUACUUUAUUUUGUUAAGUUUACAGUGUGCCGAUGAACCUAAUAAUUAAGAGUAAGUUGAUAUUUGCAAGCCAUCAAUAGCUAAUAAUUAAUUACACAAGAUGAAGCAUGAUCUAAAUUACAAGCUUAUUUGCAGACUUCAUAGAAAUUCUGAUACUGUGUUAAAGAGUCACUCUUCCUAAAAAGCUUUUUGUUGUAAGUGAGAAGUGAAGAAGAUUUUAAUUGUGUCUUGAACAAAUUGUUGCUAUCUGUCACUUUUUGCUUUGCUUCCCAAAAUAAUUUCUUGUGGAAAAAAUAGUCACCCACACACCAUAUUAUGUUGUAGUAACAGGUUAUCAGGUUAUGUUUAACAUGGUUAAACAUGUGAAACAUUUUCCCGCAAUAUAAAUUGUCUUCCUUAUGCUGCUGCUUAAUAUUUAAAUUAUUAGGCAUUUGUCUUGACAUUUAUGGAGAAUGUGAAGUCUUGAAAGAACAUGGAUGUUCCAUAUUUAAAAUUUUGACCAGCAAUUAUUAACUUGUGGUGCAGUACUACGACAUCCGAAAGAAGUGUGAUGGGAAUCUUUGCUAUGAUUUUUCGAACAUGGAGAAAUUCCUGAACCAAGGAUCUGUUCGGAAGGCACUAGGGGUUGGUGAUAUUGAUUUUGUGUCGUGUAGUUCUACAGUUUAUCAGGCUAUGCUGGUGGAUUGGAUGAGGAAUCUUGAAGUCGGUAUUCCUGCCCUGCUUGAGGAUGGAAUCAAUUUGCUUGUUUAUGCUGGGGAAUAUGAUCUCAUCUGCAACUGGCUUGGUACGUAUUUAUCCAUGGCCAGAUUUUAGAUCUGUUUUGAACUAUAACAUUUCAUACUUGAACCUUUAAGGUGUAUUGAUGAUUUUUUUUUUUUUUUUUUCCGGUAAUAUUCAACGAAUAGGUAAUUCGAGAUGGGUUCAUGCCAUGGAAUGGUCUGGCCAGAAAGAAUUUGCAGCCUCAUCCGAAGUUCCUUUCACAGUUGAUGACUCAGAAGCUGGAGUAUUGAAGAAUUAUGGACCUCUUAGUUUUCUAAAGGUAUCAUUCUCUAUAUAACUCUUCCUUUUCUUUUGGUGCAAAAAGAUGGCAAAGCCCAAUCAAAACAUUAUAUAACUCUAAUCUCAAAUGAACACACCCCAUACAUAGGUACAUUACAUAUGUAUGACUGUCUUCCAAAAUCAAAUAGGAAGUUAUCAUUGUUGUGUAAGCUAUCCAUCAAUAUUAUAAGAAAUGUGUCUCUUGAGGUAAGGAGUUUUUGUGUUAUUUGGUUUGCUGUUGCUGUGCUGUGAGGGCAGUCAGGGUGCGAAAAUCCUGCUGGUGUGUGGCUGGUUUUUUGUUUUUUCAAGAGGAGUUCCUUUGCAUCAGUACUGGGAGGUAUAGAGGUGGAGUUUUUGGUGUGGCUGGCUCGGCUAAUAUGCUGUUAGCAGCAGUGCAGUGUUCGUCUUUUUUUCAUCUUGUUUUCGGUUUGGAGUAGUGAGGCACGGGUAUGCUUACGUAUCCGGAUGUUGCCGGGUUGCUACCCGUAUGUAUAUUUUGUCCUCAUUAUUAUCUAGGAGGAUAGGGGUGCUUGGUUUUUGUAGGUGUUCCGUAUAUAUGUGGCACCGUUUGCUUGUAUUUUCCGUUUUUUCCGCGAGUGUUUAUGCUUCUUGCAUUUUCUCGCCGUGAUUAAUAUUUGCCGUUUCAAAAAAACAUAUAGAGCCAGUUUGGAUAAACAUUUCAUCAAGUACUUUUGGAGAAUUAAAUAUCGAAAUAACCUUGUAAUACAAAUAAUGGCAUCUCAAAUAUAAGUUAAAAUUAGUUUCUGCUUCUUAAUUGUUCAGAAACUCUUGUUUAACUUUUUUAUAGCCACAUGUGUUUAUAAAAACGACUCCAUUUAGUGGGAUAAGACUUGGUUGUUGUUGUUGUUGUUGUUGUUGCCGCACAUGCGAUCAUAAAGAACUCUGUCUUUUAGAUGUAAUCUAGACCGUGUCUAUAAUUCAUUUACUACCAAAUUUCCGCAUAGAUUGGUAAAUCCUGACUCAGUUUGGUAUUUGUGUAACAAAAAACAGGUUCGUGAUGCUGGUCAUAUGGUUCCAAUGGACCAGCCCAAAGCUUCCUUACAAAUGCUGAAGAAGUGGACUCGGGGAACCCUUUCCAAAUCUGGAGCUGAUGAGGAAAUAUUGGUUGCAGAGAUGUAAUCUCUUCUUGCAAUUAGUCUAACAUCAAUUUGAUGAAAUGAAAAGAGAACUCCAACUAGUGGGAUGUUUGUUCUACUAAACAAAAUUCAUACCAUCUUAAGUGACAGAAUCAAGGCAAUGCAAGAAAAGAAUGAUUUAUAUAUAAUGUUAUGUCUAUAUAUGGUGUUUUGGUAAAAUCUGAUGUGUAGGUUGCUUACUCCCCAAACUACAAUCUAAUGUUUAAAUAGAAUGCAAACAAUAUAAGGAGUUGACGUAUUUAUUUAAUAAACAAUAUAUUGUUUAAACGUGUUUCAAAGUUAAUAUUUAUAGUAUUAUUUGGGUUGGGUCCGGUGACUGACGUGACUACACUUCAACAAUGUGACGAACCAAUAUUCAAAUUUUGGUUGGGAGAGGUAUUCAUGUUUAGUGUCCAACGUCUCGAUUAGAAUUACCUCCGAUUGAGAAAACUUAUUAAAAAAAAUUAAAAUAGUUGUAACUAUAAGAUAGGUACCAAAUGUUUCACCAAAAAAUGUUAUAAUCUCAUUAUAAGUUUCAGUUUUUGUGUUUACCUAAAUUUUUGUAUCAAGAAAGUACAUAAAAAAAACUAAUAAUUUAUUCAAAAUCUAAAUUUUACCUAACUAUAUUCUUUUAUAACUUAAAUGAUUUAAUUUGUAUGUGCAGUAAUUAUAACUAUGUUUUGUUAGACAUAGAUUCACUCACAUUUUAUUAUAUAAAUAUUUUGAAAACAACAUAACAAAGUGAUAUUAUUAAUCACAAUUUACUAUUUAGAUAUAUUUUUUAGACAAUUUACUUUUUGGAUAUUUUUUAUAGAAUUUUAAGAAAUACAUAGUAUGAUAUAUUUACACGUUUACUUACAAGUUACACAUAUUUUUUGACUGGUUAAUAUGGCAGAGAUUAAACAUUGUUAUUAGAUCACAAUAAAUGGAUAGAUAUAAAACACUGUAAUGUAUUUAUGAGUGUGCACGUAGAAGCAAACGGAUAAAAUAAAAGAAUUUAGGAAAGUUGCAGAAGAAGCAAAAUGAUGAUGUCAUUUGGCCUUGGAAUCUCUACGAACUGCAGCUGGUUGAGAUGUCACGCCCGAAUGCCUCCUUCAUGUUCCAUGUUUUCCCAUGUUUCAAUGUCUUCUUCACCUUCUUCUUGUUCCACCUUCAACUCUAAAUCUAAUAAUAAGCUCAACUGGACUCCAAUAAGAGCAUCCUCUGAAGGUUUGUCUUAUUUGAGUGUAUAACAUAAGUUAUUUUCAGCUUAUUUCCAUGAGUUGGAUAACUUAUGAAAAUAAUUUGACUUUAUACAUAAGAACUUGUAUGAUGUGUACUUCAUGUUAUAAACACUUGAACUUGAUUAAACUAUUUAUCCAAACAUGGAUGGAUGGUCUUGUUGCUUUAGUUUAUAUUCUCAUUCCUUGAAAGUUAUUUGCUUAUCAUGCAGGACUUCCUAAUGAGUUAGUUGAAGAUUCAAAAUUUGUUCCUAUAAAUGUUGAGGAUCCUAGAUACGGUCCACCUGUAAGUCAUGGUUAGUUUUCACUCAUUUGAAAUGUGAUGUUUAUCUGUCAUGACCAAAUGAUUUUCAACAUAAACACUUCUGCAGAAAUCUCAUAUGGGGGAUACUUUGUCCUCACUAUAUGUAUUUACCUUUGAGAGUCUAAUUUGAGUAACUUUUUUUUGUGAAAGAAUUUUCAAUCAAUCUAACUUAAUUAGGACCAAAACUUAGAAUGGUUGUCGAACCCAUUCAUACGUAGCUAAGCGCAGGGGUUUCUUUUAUUUUGCAGGCCUUAUUGUUGUUGGGAUUUGAAGCAGAUGAACAUUUUAAGGUGAUAUUACCAUCAUCCAUGCAAUAGGAUAUGAUAAUCCUUGUAAAGAAAUGUUGUUGUAGAUUCAUAUACUUUGUUAGUCUUGAUAGAUUUUACCUUAAUCAAAUGAUUUAGAAAUGCCUUCAGCUGUGCCUUUUCCUCGAUCUCUCUUUUGUAUCCCGUAAUAUUAAGUGUGUGUCCGUCCUGAUCAACAUACAUGAAUUUCUAAGUCAAUCAUUGCUCUGAUUAUUGUCUAUGCUUUCAAGAUGACCCAAAAUGAUUGAUAGAGCAACUCUUCUUGAAAAAUUUUAUACUAAGGAAAUUUCUACAUGUAAAAUGUUACAAGUACAGCAUGAAGUCUACUUUAUAAUAGUAUUAUUGUUUGCUUAUAGUGAAUUACAAAAUGGAUAUAGGCAGAAGCUUACAAUGAUUAUCUAGUGACAUCUUUCUCUAGAUAUAUUAGCAUUCAAUUACUUAGCCACUAUAUUAUUUUACAUCUUUCCAAAUGGGUCAUUCAAUCAUAGUUUAUUUGAGCUUGUGCAGAUUCAACAGUUUUUGAAAGAGUUAGAGGGUGAAUUCCUGAAGGUAACAAACAUCUUAUUUAAUGUCUUUUAUGUUCAUAUUUUAUUCGCAAAGCAAGAUCAAUAAGUAAAAUCCUAUUAAUAGCAGGGAGAGAGAGAUUAGUUAUUUGAUUAUUAUUUCCAACAGUCUGAAUAAACAAAGAUUUUUCCACUUUAAUGGUCAAAGAUUGUUCCGAUGCAUAACAACUACUUCUUUCAAUCUAUGGUGACUUCUUUGACCUCGAUAAUGCAAUAAGCUACUCUUAAAAAAAUAAUAGAAAAUGUAACAUAUUGCAUUGCAUUGUAGGUCAUCUAUUGUACCAAGGACAUGCUUACGCAUUCACUUUGGGAUGUAAUGCAUACAACACAAGAGAGUUUAGAAGAGGUCAAGGUAGAAUUUUUUGAACACCAAGUGAUGUACUAUUUUCAUCUAACUUGUGCUCCUUCUAAAUCUGUUCAUGAAUUUGUAGUUUUGUACUAACAGAUAUAUUGAUUUGUAGAAAUGAAUUUGUGAUGAGAAUAAGCUUCUCCAUUGUGAUUUUUGACAGCCAUUUCUUAUAAUUUCAUCAUUUAUUUGCAUCAAUUUUUAAGCAGGUGCUCAUGGUUAACUGAUUAUAGGUUUUCCGAUAUCAAAUUUAUGGAGAAUUAUCAUUUGUCUAGAGUGAUUAUAAAAUCUAAUUUUCUAAGCAUACCAAUCAAGAACUUUGUAGCAACGACUAAAUGAUGUUAGUUAAUAAAUAUGUUUCUAAUGUUCGAAGACCUUUUUAGCGUGUAGCAAUAUUUCUCUUUUCUUAAGUAGUGAGAUGACAUCCCUUACAUUCCUAAAUUAUAUUCAAAUCUCUGCACAUGUUCAGCAUUUUGUGCCUUGCAUUGCAGAUAGACAAGUCACUUCCACGAAUAUGUUUCUUAUCUGGUUUAAGUGGAGAGGAGACGAUGAUGUUCGUUGAUGCUUUCCCUGAAACUGGUAUAGAAAAUCUGUUCAGUGCUGAAGUGUUUAAGUUUAACACAUUGAUCUUAUCAAUUAUGCCUUUUGGUCUGUUAACAUUGAAAUCAUAAAUAUUUCUCUCAGUUUGGCACAUUUCUGUGCAUGAAUGAUAGAUCUACUGGUUUAGUGUUCACAUGUAAUUACUGCAAUUUGAAAAUUGUUUUAUGCAGGACUAAAACCAGCCGCGUUUGCGGCUCUUGUUCCCAACAGUGCUAACAAACCACUAUAUGAGUUGAUAGAAGAAAUCACGGGAGAUCAUGAGAUGUUGGUAGGUGUUUAUUUUCUAGUGUCAAUGUUUAUCACUAUCUUCUAGUUUAUAGUUAUGUGAAAUUGUCUUUUAUCAUGUGCAGACCGGAGAACAGUUGUGAUAAAAUUCCCAGUGAAUUCUAGGAGCACACUCGCGGAGCAUACGCAUUAUCAAUAUGAAUGUACUUAGAUUUGAAGUGUAUAAAAAACUAAUUCCAAAGAUUAUUCAAGUUAGCAAUUGAUUGUUUAUGUCUUUAUGAGCAUAUGCCUACUGGAACUGGAAAAUAUGGACGAGUCUUUUGUUAUUUGAAAUUUUCAAAAAAAUUGAAGAUGUUCUAAAUAAAUCUGGGUAUUUAUUUAUUUUAUUUACGAAAUGCUACUAAUAGUCCCUCACUCCUAUACGUCAUCUUAACAAAACUAUCUCAUUUUAUGUCUUUUUACAGUAUAAUGAAGUAUUAGUGUCUCUGUUCCUUUUUGGCAUAAGUAUUAGUGCCUCCUCUUUUUAAAUUUUUGGCAUAGUAUAAUGGAACACUAUAUUUAGUACUUAUGAUAUUAAUUGUAUUUUAAAUUUAUGUAUUGAAACCUUGAACAACUUAUAAUAAGAGAGAGUAUACCAAGAUAUUGAACAAAAAAGAGACAUCAAAUCUUCUAUUGACAAAAGAUAAAGGAAAAUGAUAAAUGGUACGAUUGUAAUGUCUACGAAGUUUCACGAACGAGCGGAUUUUGAAAUGUUUCACCUUAUAUGAGCACCUCUAUAUCAAUCUUGUCGGAUUCUUCCAAGCUAACACAUGUUUUUAAUUGACGCUUUAUAACACAUGAUGAAAUUGAUUUCUAAAAUACUUCUCUUCCAAAUUUCUAGUAAGGUGGUUGUAUUUUUUUAUGUUUAAUUUAAUCUACUUAAUUUUAAAAAAAUAAAAAAUUCGUGAAAUUUCAAAUGAAAGACUUACGUACUAUUUAGCAGUAAAAAUUUGAAUACAUCAUAAGUAUGUUCGUGCUCUAUUCUCUAUUCGUAACAUGUUUUGGCUGGUUUUUAGUAAAGAAUGAACAUUAUCUUAUUGAUUUUUUUUGUGAUUUUUUUUUCCUAUUCUCAUUAUCUUACUAAUUAACUAUUACUCCAUGUUCUUGUUCUUUUAAAUUUGUUUUAGACAAACACGAUUGUAUUUAUUCCAUUUAAAUUUUUUAAAUAUACCCUAAUUUGAUCCACUUAUCUAUUUACUUUCUUUUCAUCAAUAUAGGAUUAAAUAAUUAAUAAAUAUAAAAGUAUAAUUGGUAACAAAGCAACGUAUGGUUGGAUUCAAACUAAUAUUUGAUGAUACAACCAAAAGAGAUCUCUUAUCAUCUCAUUCAAAUGCUUUUGGAUUCUCAGAUGCUCAAUUCAACAUCAAUUUAUCUUGUAAUGAUAAAGAGAGAACGACAAAGUGUAUGACAUUAUUGGUAAUCACUUUGUUUUGGUUGAUAUUUCCUCUACGAUUGUUAACUUGAUUUCAGUACAGUAUUUCGUCUGGGAUGUUUCAAUUGAGGUGAGAAAGAGAUUAUUUUUUCCCCUAGCCACAACAACACCUUCCUUCCAUGUCAUCUUGUUCGUAAUCAUUAAUUAGAAUUUUCCACUUACUGGCGGCUUGCUUUGAAGCAUUCAUGGAUAUUUGAAAUCUGAAGGCAAAUUGGCAAAAUCUUACGAGGCAUAGUUUGUAAACUCAUGAGUGAAUGAGUACAUGGUGAUGGGGAAAAAUGAAACUGAAACAGCGACAACGAAUCGGCAUGGUUUGAGCAAGCUACAUGUGGCAGUGAGAUAUGUUGGGGAGAAAAGAACUAAAGAGAUCGCAUGUACUUAUUUAAUCCAACAGUUAAAUGGAACUUAAUUGAACCGGUAUAUUAGUGAGGGACUUAAUUGAACCCUCACCUUAGAAGCCACAAUUGUAUUCCGUAAAAAAAGAAGUUAAUUCUUGUGUUUUGUGGGCUAAUAUAUCGUGGAGUAAAGUAAUUCUGAAUGUAAAAAAAUAUGUAGAAAUGAAACAAUCAAAACGUUAAUGAAAGGACAUUAAACACUGUGUCCUACAAUCAUUUGCAUAAAUAAAUGCAAUUCUAUGUCAAAAUUUCCUCUGACAAAGCUAAAAAAUACAACCCCAGGAAACCCUGUCACCACUGAAAUAGUUGUGAUUGGAUUGAAUGGACGAAUCUACAUAAUUCCUGUCACAAACAUACAGCACCGCUACAAUAUACAAAGGCCUAGUGGACAAAGGAUGAGGUGAAAUAAUGCCGUGGUCAUCUGAUUCUCUUCCACAUCAGAAUCUCUGUAGUUUUAUGGAUAACGGCUCUAUCAACUAUACUAUACAUUCAAUAUAUAUCCACCCGCAUUAAAAAUUAUGAUUGCAUGCCACAGCAUCAGUGGCAAAUAUGUUCUCAAAAUCUAGGGAAGGAAAGGAAAUUAAUUCCCUUUACCUUAAUCACGCUACAGAGGGUCAAGGGAUCCACUUUUCAGCCGUUCCAUCCGUGCUUGAAGCCCUGACAAAGCUUUUUCAUCUACAGGAUGUACCCCACCUUGUAAAGUAUUUUCAGCUCCAACAUGUUCUGAUGCAAGAGGAAUCUGACUAUGAGGAAGUCCAUGGUUAAAGUUAUCGUUAACACUUGUCAAUGGCCUAGUACCAGAUUCUGUGCUCCCAGCAGCAGCUGCUAAUUGCAUGCUCUUCAUUCUCUCUCUGAUUGCAUCCAAUGUCCCACUUGUUACUGCAGUUGAGUAACCUCUCCAAGUCAAUAUUCUUUCUUUAAAAUAAACAAUUACGAAAAACAAAACUUACCAUACCUCCGGUCAUAAAUUUAUCAUUUCUUUGGUCACCUAAGGUGUAAUCAGAACUUAACACUCUCGAUGCAAAGGCAUUCACAGCCCUAUUCUCCUCACUGUAUGAUGAUGGCGGUAGAUUGAAAUUUGUUGGUUCGGAUUUCACAUUUAAUCUGGCGUCAUUCAAUGAAUUUGCAUUUACAGGAGAGAGGGGUGCAAAAUCUGGGGAAGAUAUAUUUAAAGAUGCUGGUGGAGGAGUCGGCAUUGGCAUGCUUGACGGAGUUCUUCCAGCUGCAGCAUUCUUCGCCAUCUGCCGAAAUGUUAAAAUCAAUUGCCAAUUGUCAAAUACUCAACUGUACUCGUCACAAUCAUAAACAUAGAAAUAAUAAUGCAGGUUCAGUUAAGCACAUAAGUAUUUUCAUCAACCUGGGCAAGACCAUCUCUGAUGUAAGUGCGAAAUGCCUCACUGGCAUUUUGAAGCUGAUCAAAUAUGUCAACCUAUGGUAAACCAAGAACCUUAAUCAAAUAUAAGAUAAAUAAAAGAAUACAAGCCAGAGGUUUAUUGAUAUGUGAAAAAUAACAUGAAACUUGAAUAUACACUUAAUUUGAUACCUCUGGGUACAAUUGAGUAAUCCGAUAAAGUUCAUAUAGACCAAUUGUGCAAGUUUGCUUCUCCCCGAUCUUCUUAAAUAUUGCAGCCAACUCUUGCUGCAAUUUAUUUAUUUUCAAGUAUAGAAACAGAAGACAAUGAAUGUUAGGUCAUUGCAGUUACAAUCAUAUAUGUAAUAACUCAUACAAGCACAAAAAACAGGUAAAACUGAUUAAAUUGAGAUAUAUAGACAUAGAAAGCACAAAGUGGCAUUAUUGUAUACCUAGUAUGCUUUUAAUUACUAAAUUUCCAAGUAUAAUAGCAUAAAAGUUUGAAAAACUAAUUAUAAAAGCUAAAGAUUAAGUACAUCCUAACUUUAUUCAAGAUAAACUUAAUGCAGGGAAUAAAACUAAACAUCGGUGACAAAAAAUUCAAAAAUAUUUCUUGCAUAAAAUAGAUUAUUUUAGUAGACUAUAAUGUGAAGGUUUUUACGACCUUCUAUACAUUAGAAUACAAUCAAACCUAAUUCACACCUUAAGGCAUCAUAAAAUUAUCCAUUAUAUUCAUGUAUAAGAGACGUUUAUACUAUUGAAAAAUUCGUGAUGUAUUUAAUUUACAAAUAGAAAAUGCCAUUGCCUAAGGAAGCAUGCAUGCCAUCCGAGCACUAAUUGUGAUACCCAAAACACUAAGAAAUACCUUCAACUGGGCAUCAGCAGAAUGGGUUCCAGCCGCUGAGUUAUUGGUUGCUGAAUCAUUCCAAUGGUUUGGCCCCCCGGGUCCAGAUGCAGUCAACAUUCUUGCAGCAGCCAAAGUCUGAAGUUUAAGUGUAAGAAAGAACAUAUAUUAACACAUGUAUAUAAAGCCCCCCCAAAAAAAUCAAAUGCCUACCUCAAGAUUAAGUUCAAUGUAAGCAAGGAUGAUGGGUUGAGGUUUCGUAUCGAUAGGAACCAUUGAGAGAUGACCCUUAAUUGCUGCACCACGAAGCUUAACAAGCUCGUGCAGAACAGUUUUCACCAUUCGUAAGGGUUUGUCAUCAGCACCGGCCCUGUUAAAUUGAAACAUUUUAUAAAAAUGAUUUAGUCAAAUAGAAGUAACUCGAUGCAACAACAAUGGCUAUAGCUAUGUACCUUCUCCUAAUUUCCUCCAUUCCCAAGUCUUGCAAGUACAGAUGGAUGCUUUGAAGUAUGCGAUCCAAGUCAACAUCAUAGAUGGUGCUCUGAAGGACCUGAAUUGCAUCAAAAUGCAUGUGAAAUAAUGCAACCAAGUUUUAAAGAUCAAGUCUAUCUGAACGUAAUUUUGUAAAUUUCAGCUGAGUCUUGACAUGAAAAAUUCGGUCAAUUAUCAAUAGAACUGUAUAAUUUAAGAUUUUUGCUACUGGGUGGCAAGUUACCUUUGUAAGCUUGAUAAGGCAUUUCACAACCAGAUCAGAAAACUUCUGGUUUCUGGUAGCAAGUGACUCAUUUGGUGCAGGUGAAGGCCACCUCGAUGGAUCUAGCGGACGUAAAAGAUUAAUUAGGACAACAAAGGAUGAAGUUCGAUCUGCAUUAUCCUGUAAUGAUGAUCACUAGUCAGUAAACUAACUUGCAUUUGUUAUUUUCAGUAUAAAAAAACACAUUAUCAUUACUACCAUGAUAUGAAGUUUCAUUUCAAACAAAAGGGCAAAUAAAAUAAAUCAAUUAAAAGCAAGUCUCUUACCAGAAUCUUAAGCAUCAAUACAUUCAAUGCUUUCAACAACUGGCUUCCAUCAUCCAUGCGUGGAACAUUAUCAUCCAAGAGCCACAGAAGAAGCUCUGUAAUGAGGCUAUCAAGAGUGCUCUCUUUUACAGCAUGUGCUAAUCUUUUAUUUUGAAAAGUCUGUAAAGGGGUUGUAAAUAGAAACAAUUACUAAAAGACGCAAUAAUCUCAAUAUACACUGAAGAAAAACGGAAAAUACAUUUACCUGCAUGAGAGUGUUGAGCACAUAUUUACAGGACCGCGAUGAAGCCCCACUCAAACUGAAAUCAAAAGUUUUUGCAACCUAUUUGAAAUAGCAAAAGAAACAUUAAUACUUCAUGAUUUCUCUCCAAACAAAGGGGAGUUAUCGACAAAACUAUCUUGCCUUAUCUGCAAGGCAUGAAACUAGCCUAUCUGCAUCCUUAACGAGUUCAUCCAUGGCAUUGCCUUCUGGAUCACUAGUCGCCUGAGCCAACUCAUGGCAGACAACUUUCAUUCCUUCAACAGACUGCAUCACAGAAAUUAUUUUGAAAACAGAUGUAAAAGCACCAUUUUCCAAAACCAAAAUGGGAAUAGGAAAAAAACUCCAACAAUGUAUCAUGUAUCUAUAUGUGUGAAAAGAAUUGCCAAUUUUCAAAGUGGAUGACUAAUGCAAGAAUUAUUGUCCCACAAAUAAUAUUAAGAUAUUCAAAAUAACAGCAAGAGGCUGCUAUGUCAUCCACCUGCUCAGGAGAACCGAAAGAAAUAAUGUCAAGUGCUUCAUUCCAAUCAGUGGGGCUACUGGCAACAGCCACAGGACGAGGCAUCAAUUGUCUCUCAAUGUUACUAUCAGGUUGAGCAUAAUUUCUCCUGACAUUAAUAAGCAAGAUGAUUAAGAAUAAUAGAAGCAUUGUACUUUUUUUGGUGGGGGUUGUUAUUUAGGGGUAAAAGAAGGAACAAAAAAACUCAACAACAAUAUUUCCAUACCUCAAUAACGGACCAGGAAGAGAUCUAGCCAUUUCUCCACUUUGCUCUGCGACAUCAGACCUGGUAAUUCAAGCAAGAACAUCUCGAAUAUUAAAUUUAAAUGUUGACCAUAGAAACAGAGAUUAACUUAAUUCAUUUUCUAAUCAUCAUCAUUUUUAAACUAUGAGUGCAAGUUCCAGCUUUUUCUCAUCUAUUCCCUAAUCUUCAGAAUAUUUUAACUUCUUAAGUUGAUAAUCUACAAAAAUUUAACACCUUAAUAAAACUAAAACAUAAGAUUUCAAGAGUAAACAUUCUGGCCUUUUCUAGAACUCAUCGUCACAAAGGAAAAUCAAUCUUCUCACAAAAGCUAGAUAGGGCUCAUACCAAAUAUAUUAACGAAAUAUCAGGGUUCAAAACAAUCUAGUUAUAUUUAUGUCUUCAUUUUAUAUUUGGUGAUCACAAUCAGAAUAUCAAAGCUUAGAAGAUAUAUAAUGCAUUAACUAUACAACAUAAAAUGAAAAGACUUGCCCAUUUUCCCUGACAGAACGCCGUAAAAUAGCCCUAGCUUCCCCUGGCUUUCCUUCCUUCUUCUUUUCCAUCUCCCGGACCUGUCAAAUUACACCACCUUCAUCGGUAAUGCAGCAUAUCAAAAAGAGAGGAGAAAUGUGAAAGGUAAGAACUUACCUUCCACUUAAAUCUAUCAUCUAACAUGCUUUUUUGAGCAUCUGUUAGUUUCCCGACAAAUCUCCAUAUGUCCUCACCUGCAUAGCAAUGUCAUGGAAGGAAAACUACUCAGACAGGCCAAAAGGUAUUAUGAUAAAAAAAUAAUAAUAAUAAUAAUUAAAUAAAUAAAUUUUUGCAUCUUAAAUCUUGAAAAAUUAUCACUUCAUCCAUAGAUAAGGAUAUAAAUGACUGAAUGAGUCGUGUAGUUUAAGUAUAGAGGAGGAAACACGGGAGCCCAAGUCAACUAAAUGAUGCAGAUAUACUUUCUUACAAAUAAAUUUCCUUUUCAACCUCAGAAAAAUAAUAGAAAAGGGCGAGAACAAAUUUUUUACAAGUUCCAUGAAGAUGAAUUUGUGCAGGGUUAUGCCAUACCGAGAAUUUUAUAACCAGUGGCAAGUGCAUUUAAGGCAGCUUUCCUAAUAUCCCCAUCCCGUUCGGCCGUUAAACUUGCAACAAUUUGCAAUGAUUUCAGUUGCCCACUAAUCUGUCCACAUAAUGCAAGGAGUAAAUAUCUAAAAUAAUACUGAAAACAGUAAUUCACUAGAUGUGUUAGCAACGAUACCUCUGCCCCAUGAUGAUCAAGAAUAAAUCCUACAAGAUCAGCACAUUCAAUUCGAGUUCGGUUGUUCUUAGAGCGCAACCCCUCCAAUAUAUAAGGGAAACAUUUGGAUGCGGAAUAAACUACAACAAAUUGUUUAGUCAACUCCCGCAUUUUUUCACGUACUUUCUCAAUGUUAUGCCCUAACUGCAACAAUUACAAAAUAUCAGACUUUUACUUACUUUCAUUUGUAAAUUAAAUUCGUCAUUUUUUGUAGCACCCAAGAAAGUUCGCUACUCACACCUACUUACAUAUACCUAAACCAAAAAUUAAUAAACUGACAAAAACACAAAUUGCUGAGAUAUUGAUGUCUACUGUGAUGCCAACUAUCAAAUUUGUUAAAACAAACCUUCUCUACAAGGCAAGGAAGAAAGAUUGCAACUUCAGACUCUGUCAAAGAAUACCCUUCAUCCUUCAAAGUGUCGAGCAGCUCAGGAAGAAAUUCCAGCACCUGGGUAAUUAAAUUGCAUAAAUGUUACCUGUUUUUAGCUUAUUUCCAUAUGCUCUCCAUGAUAGCGCUUAUUCUUAGAAAUCAUGGUUGGGCCCAACACAACACCACAAAACUGGCUUGUGAGGUGAGGAUGGCCUCCACUUAUAAACACAUGUUCAUGCCAUAUUUUGUCCGACAUAGGACUCUUUUAACCCUUAUGAAAAUAGUUUGACUUUAUUUUAACUUUUGUUAUAGAAAUAGAUUACACAUAUUGAUGAAUGCUUAUGCCAUAAAGGCUUAAUUAAGUUGCUAAUCCAAACAUGGCCAUAAACCCUUCAUAACCAAAGAAGAUAGGAGGAGGAGAAAUUUGAAAGUAACGGUGAAAACAGAAGGGAAAACUAAACUGUACCUUUAAUAGACAUGUUGUGUUUGAUUUGCAGAACUGCAAUACAAACCACCUCAAAAGAAUGUCCAAAACUUCUAUAACUUCCUUAGCAAUGGAUGGAAGUGCCUGUGAUGUGCAGUAGAAGAUUGUAUAGUUAACAGUACAUUCAACACUUGAAAAGCGCACAACUUAUUAAAAAUGUGAAAAGAACGGCACCUUCUGCAGAAUUUCAAGUCCAUCAACUUGCUUCUUAAAAUCUGCACUUAAGAGUCUCCUAUGUAAAUCCUCUCUGAAAUACCUCAUCAUAUCAUUCUGAAAAACGCAACCAUUUAUUAAAAUUCAAUAAUUAUAGGAAACUUGAGUUAUGCAUGAUAACUCCUAAUUCCUCAAACAGGUCACCUCAAGAUCUUGAAUUUGCUCAAUCCGUGGAUCCUCAAACUUAAACCUUCGAACAACCAAUCUCUCUCUAUCAUCCUGCAUGUGAGAAAAUUGGCCGUUAAACCAUAUAUCUAUUGAAGUUUUUAAGUAAUGUUUGGUAAAUACUUCAGCUAACAAUACCUUAUUUGAAUCCUUGGUAUUUAGCAAGGCCUGAGUUUGAACUGCUAUAUCUUGUGCAGAUAUUUGUUCAGAUUUAGUGCCCUUUAUUGCCCCGGCCCGCUAAAUGAUGAAACUACAGUUAGAAAUUCAAACAAACAAAAGAGUAAUCAACAAAGGAAAACUCAACAUACCGAAGAUACAGAUCUAUUUCCAGGUUUUGAAACACCGUUGGCAGUUGAUUUCCCAACCUUCGUAACACCUUUCGAUGUUACUCCCACUGAAGCUGAUCUGGUGGCUGGCUCGAAUGACUCUGAGGACGCACGUUAGGGGUAGGGGGUAAGAAAUUUCAAGUAUAAAAGGCAAAAUAGUUAGCAAUUUAAGCAUCAAACAUGAGUAGGAAAAUAAGCUUGGCUUCCGAAGAACACACCUUGAAAAGCUCCAUAGGGUUUUAGCUUCUCAAGAACAAGUGCCUGUGCUGGUCCAUGAAUAUCUUUAACUAUCUUUUCAAUCUAAAUAAACAAGCAAUUAAAUUAUGUUUGGCAUCACAUGAAUCUUAGGGAAACAAGGAAUGAAAAACCAGCAUUAUUAUCGGACAUACCAUAUCAUGCCCACUAACUCUCAGUAUCUCAUUAAUGCAAGUCUCUGCCGCCUUACGAACAUCAGAGGAUUUAUCCUACACAAAGGAGCCAUCAUAAAUUUAAACCCAAGGAAAUUUUGCAUUAGAACUGAUUAGAUAAUGACGGUCAGGAUUGAGUAACCAGAACAUACUGCCAUUGCAGAAGAGGCUGGCUUCAGCAGUUGUGCAGCUUCAGCAAAAUUGCUUAACCCAGAAAGUUGCCUAGACAACCAAUCAAAAAGAUCUUUACGCCCUUCCGCACCAAGUUUGGAAUCAACCAGAGAAAUUGCAACAUAUGUAACCUACAGUAACAUCAUGUUCAGGCAAAAGACAAAAAAAGAAGAAUAACAGAAUACAAAAUCAGGAGAAAGGAAAGACCAUUUUAUCAAGAUGAACAGCAGCUAGCCAAGAGUCUAGAGUAUUCAGUACACAUUCUCUCAUGUGCUUCUUAUUGUCACCGAGACAUUUCAAUAUAUCAGACAGAAUGCCCUGCAAUAAACCAUUUCAAGAAAGUUAAACAUUUGAAAAAGGAAAUAGAACAUUAACAACUGGAAAGAAAAUACUAAAUCAGAACAGAAAUCACUAACUUUGCUUGAUUUCUCUACAGCUUGACCCAUUGCAGAUGCAACAUUACCAAUUGUAGUCAAGGUAGCCAUGACUAUGUUUUUGUUGCUAUCAAAGAGCCGUCCUCUAAGAGCACCAAAUAACUCACCUGGUAACAACAAUCAUCACUCAGUAACAAUUUCAAAGGUUGACAAAUUUUAAAAUGAACAGGAUAAAACUCAAAAAAUUAAUAAAAUAAAGCAUGCAAGUCUAUGAAGCAGAUGGGAGGGGCAGACAGUCAAAUUUAAAACCUUAAAAAAUACAAUACUAAUGCUAAUGAGUUACCAGUUCCAGUUGCUUGAAUGCGCUUAUUAGCCUCUUCGAGUAUUUUGUUUACAGCAUCAACAGACUCCAUACGAACCUACAUUAAGCAAAAUGUAAUGCAAUUGUACUUGCUCGGUUACUGGCAGUUAAAAACAAGCGAAAAAUACAAAACUAAAGGUGAUCUAAUACAAGAUUGUUUCAAACAAACCUUCCAAUCGGGGCUUUCAAGACUCUUCAAGAGAGUUGGGGUAAUCUUUCCGCUAAUAUCUUCACGAGGCAAGCUAUCCAGCCCACCAGCCACCGCGGAUGAUGAUAAAUCCGAUGCCCUGACAGUCUUUUUGGUAACUGCAGAUGCUCCCUGAAACAAAACAAAUCAAUAAAUUAAUAAAAUUAGUAUUAGAAAUCAUGAUACUGCAUAGAAGAUACAGCACCAAACACGACAUACCUCGAAUGGGUUCUUCUCAUAUUCUGUGUCAAGAGCACUCAGCAGUGCAGGCUUAACGUCGGUGAGAAACCCUUUUAUGUCUACAAGGGAAAAAGCAUUAGAUCUAACCCAAAUAAAUAGUGAGAGAUGGAAAUUAAAAAAGACAACGCAAAGUCACCUGGACCAACAAAUCUAUGCAAAACACCUAAGAGUUUAAUUGAAGCAUUUCUAGUAGCAGCUGCACUUGACUGCAGCCCAGUUUCUUUAAGAAAAUCAAUUAAAUCCUGCAAAAGAGGACUCGCAUCAAAACUUAGAAUUUUUUAUAACCAAAAAAAAAUAAAAAAUCGAAGUAUUUAAAAUACAUGCAAUCACAGAUAACAUAGCUGCAAUUGCCAAAAAAAUAAACAGAUAACAGACCUUAAGCUUUAAAUGUGAUACACCAAAAUCGUCAACAGCAGAAACCAUCCACAAAAUCCCCUCACUAAGAACCUUAGGAUUCUUAUGCUCCUUCAUGAUUUUGUAGGCCUACAAUAAGAAUAACAGUCUUCAUAAGAUAUUCUAAGCAGAAGCAAUAAAAGCAAGGAGUAGACUGCUAUAUUUCAUCUUUUAACAAAAAAAGAAGCCAUUUAUACUAUUAAAAAAUAAAAGGAAAGUAUGCACUUCGACAAAAAAAAUGAUAUUCUAAGCAGAAGCAAUAACCAUAGUCAUGUAUUAAGGACAGAUUAACCUCAUAAAUCUACAGAUAUUUAGCAAUUAUCAAAUAAUAAAAUGAAAAACCUCCUUACAUAAUUUAUCAUAUUUAAAAUAUAACAACUCUAAGGAAAAAUCCAUGCAUUUCAACCCAUGAUCAUAAAUUUUUCAAAUAGACAAGCUUGGAUCACACUUACGCCUAAUAAUUAAAAGACAUUUCCCCUAAAGAACAACCAUACUUACUCUUUCAAAAAUGAAUCCUGGACCAACUGCUUCACAAAAAGUAGUGAGGCAUUUCAUAGCAUGUGCCCGUGUCUUAAUAUCUGCUACACGUUCACUUAAUCCUACACAAAUUGAAAUAGAAAUGUGGCUGUCAAAUCAGAAUGACAUGAUUAUUGGUAAAGUCAAAAUAAAAAACAACAGUACCUACCCGAAAGACAAAGUACUACACACUUCUUCGGGAAUUUAGUUGCAGUUGAAGCUAUAUGAGUGAUAACUUCAAUAACCUGCUGUUGAACCUGCUCAAGAAUGACAAGAGCUAAUGAAAUUCUUGGACUAUCCAUGCUGUUUUGAACUACAGCUAAACAUGUAAAAUCAUUCAAAAUCCAAAAGGAAAUACUUCUGAACCUGAACAUUUUUCUCGCCCCAACCAGGCAAGGUGCACAGUAAUCUAAUCAAUAUUUCUACGGAUUGGUCAAGAUUCUGUAAACCUUCAACUUGCUGUUUCAGCGAAGAAAUAGCUGCAAAAAUCAAAGAUCAGUGGCCUUACCCAUAUGGCAUUUACAAAAAGACAUUGAAGGAAAAAUCAGAAGAUAAAGUUCUGAGAAUGGAUGAGACAGAGACCCAAAUUCAACGAUGCUCAAAACAACAAAAAUAAUUUACUUAUAGAUACCCUAGACGGCUAGACCUAAAAUACAUGUCAACAAAGAAUAAAUUGAAGUAAAUAUGAUAAAUGCAAAACCAUUCUAUUGUACUCCAACUUAUAAAACAUCUUCAAGGCCUAAAAAAUGCCAAAAGAUACUAAGAUCUAUGUUACUUUCACACAAUCAUGAAAUCACUAUCAAGAAAGGCCUAAAUUAUAAAUAAUCAAAACACCUGAGAAAAAUUACAGGAAAAUGUACCAAGAUAUACAAAAGCAAAGCAUAAAUUAUCAAAUUAGUAUGAGGGUGUAAUGACGUUGGAGGUUAGAUCCUCAACCAAGUUAUCGAUCUUACUUCCAACAUCAUUCCUCCUCCAAUGUUUAUAAAACAAAAUCACAAAACUGAAUUGAUGAUUUCCAACCUUCAAGACGCUCCUUCCACACAGCACUUUUCAAUAAAGUGAUGGUAUCUGACUGUAGAAGAGAACCUAUUCGGCUUUCAAUCUCUUCAAGACCCAUCUCAGUGGGCUGCAUGCAUUUAGAUACACAAAGGUUGUAUAAACCGUCAUUAGUAAAUCACGUGAUAAACUGUUGCAGCUGAUUCAAAUCAGAGAGACAGAACACAAACAAAUAUUAUAUUACCUCAACAUCUUCGGGUGUUUCAAUCGAUUUUGAAGCCUUUUGUGAAACUCCGUCUACUUUCUUGCUUGUACCCGACUUUACAGCCCCCCCUUUCUUGGUGACGGGCUGGAAUGUGUAAAAUAUUCAAAAGACUAUGUCACCACAUGCAUCAAAAAUGCUUAAUUACAAGCAAGAAGAUGCUACUUACAGCUGACUGAACAGGUCUCUUUCCACUAAGCAUACUUGCAGCACUUCUAACAGGUGCACCAGUCUGUAUGUAAAUCAAGGAAUAAUGAGUGUACGUCUCCAAAGAAACCUUUACAGUUGUAAACUUCAACAAUUAUAAAUUGUUCAUUUUCUCUUUUUAGAAUGUUCCACAAAUUCCUGUACAACUAACUAGCAUUUGUUUUCCCAAGCACUGUCAACAGCAAAGUCUCACAAUACAUUUUAUUCAUGGUACCAAGUUUUGAAGAGAGGGUGGUAACUAAAUAAAGGAUGUUUGGCAGAAGAAUACUUUAAACAACAUAUUGAAAAACAAACAUCUUGCAUGUCAAAAAAUAAUCACCCAGUACAAUGCACUAAAGAAAUGAAACUAAAACCCAGAUUUAUUAAACUAAAAGAUAAAAGAUACACUCACCUCUGUAGAUGAGGCACUUGCACGUGCAUUUUGCACAGAAACUGAAAUAGCAUUAUCAAGUGUCAGCAAAAAACUCCAACAAGUACUUUAAGUUUCGAAGCAAAUAAUUAAAUUACAAUUAAAAAUCAAGCAAAUUAUAGAAACAAAUAAACUUGGAAGCUUAAAACAAAUUCCAGUUACACAAGAUUUAGUGAAAUUCAUUUUCCAAUGCCGCAGACAAUUGACAAGAACUGCCUUACGCAAUUACAAGUACCUAAUGUCAGAUUGAGGAAUACUUUGAAAUGUGAUGAUCAGAAUAAUUUUAAGAACUUAAUACUUGUUAAUAACAUCACUCCAUAGGGAUUAAAAGGCACAAUAAAGGUCAAUUUGUUCCACCUUCCAACUUGAGAAAGUGGUCCUAAGAAAAGGCACGCAGUGAUCAAAGGGACUAGGCCUUGUAUACUCCAAUAGCCCAAGGUUAUUAGUAAGUGAUACUCACUCAAUAUGACUCUGAAUCUCAUCUCCCUAUUUUGACAAAGAACUCAGCUACAUCAGGUGGUGCAUCAUAGAACAUAUUUCAGGGGAUGCAGGACAAUAUACAGCUUCUAAAUUCAAUUUAAGAGUUCGGGAAAAAUACUUCACACAAAGGUGGGGCAAUUUGGAGCUUGUGGUGGUAUCUUAUUCUGCAUCUCCUUCAAAUCUAUUUUCCUUGAAGUUUCUUGCCAAUAAGGGGGCGCUUUUGCGCAAUUGUUUUACUACUGCUUGUAGGCCCAUGAUGGGUAAGGCAGAAGUUUUAUUUGAAAGGCUAAAUUCCAUCUGUAUUCACCUCAGAUACACAAUCCACUAUCAAUUAGUAAACAAGGAUUGUAAAUUGCAUAGGAUACCCCUGCCUUCCAAGCAUUUAUGGUGAUGGAUGUAGGCUUAGCUUGAAUAGACUGAACUGUUUUAAAAGUUCAAGGCAAGGCCUGUAACAUGUUACAUUUCAUAGGUUUAUCUUAGGCCUGGCAAAACUUCUUUAAGAGCACGGUCUAACCGGUUAGCUGAUUUGAAGACUUAUUUCAUAUAUAGGCAUUUAGAUAUGUCAUUCAUUGUAUCUAAAUGUAGGUAAAAGGAAAAACAAACCAACAAAAUAAAUUCUGCAAACAAACAUCAAACUACAAAAUUCGAAGUGGGAUAAUCUUUUCUAAAAUCAUGGUCUGUCUUAUUUAUAAUAAUACAGGGCUAAGAUCAAUCCUACCCAUUUGAAAUUCUAGCAUAACAUAAAAGUCUCUAAAAAGGUCUUCAAAUAAGACAUAACUUUUCGUUUCAAUAAACUUAUAGCCUCAAGUCUUAUAUGCAGGACGACAUGCAUAAAUCUUUAAAAGGGUAAGUAUAUGAUUUUCACAUAUUUAAAAAUAUAAUUUUAAUAUUAUUUACAUUUACUUUUUUUUACCUAUAAAUAAACUUUGGAAAGUCUUCGCCUGGUUUAUAUAAUAAAUAAGCAUCGCUUGUAGACUAAAGCAUAGACCCCUAUCGGGCAACCUAACCUAUCUGCACUGUCCUCUUUUGCCUGUUCCCCUUCCCAUCCAAUAGUAUUCAAUAUCCUGUGAGAAAAAGUUACAAACCUGUAGAAGAACCACCGGGCACAGCAUCUUCAGAACCUGAAAUCAUUUCUGAAAGCUUUUUCCUUCUAACAUCAUCAAGUUUCUCCAGUGACCUCUCUAGAGGUCUCAUGCCAACCGACUGCAGAAGAAUGAAGAUUACAAUUGCUCAAAACCUCAAUAGCAAAAGCAAUCUAAUAAACAUGCAUGCAAAUUUAAUGGAAAAAAAAAAUUACCUUUGCUAUUGCUGCCAAUGCUGAAAAGGCGGCAUCCCUCACUUCAGGAGUGCCAUCAUUUAGACACUGCAAGAUUCAAAUCUCAGUGUUUGCAAAGUAAUAAACAAAAGUACCAGACAGAAACAAUUACAGCUUACUGAGUUCAACAGAACUUAAUUACCAGCCACAAGACAUAUGAACACAAUUUUAAUCAAAUGAAGCACGGACACUCCUCGGAUUAGGCGUGUCCCGGUGUCGGACACACGUCUUGUCCGACACCGACACUUGUAAUUACACUGAAUUUUGUGAUUUUUUCAAAUUAUUAGAUGUGUCAGCGUGUCAGUGUCCGUGUUGUGUACGGUGUUCGUGUCCGUAUCCGUGCUUCAUAGAAUACAUCUAUUUCUGAACAGUCCUACACUAUGAAAAAGAGGGGUGCUAAACUAGCAUUUAAAUCAAGCGGACUUAAUCUGGUGAACAAUAUUUUUCAAGAAAAUCAUAACCUGUCAACAGAACAAAAAUAUAAAGCACAACAAAACUCACCUCCAUGCAGAUUGGCACAUAAUCCUUAUGCACCUUUGUGAUAAUACCCUUGUUACUUGUUUCAAUGCAAAAUGUAACCCAUGUCAUUGUUGAUGAUCGCACAAGGGGAACUUUGUUUUUUGUGGCUAUCUUAACAUCUAUAACAAAUCAAACACAAAAUACUCAAUAAGAAGCAAAAGUACAACACUAACAGAAAGCAACGACACAAUAACCUAAAGCACAACACAACCAACAGAAUACAAACAAUAACAUGAAACACUCAUCAGGAUCCAGGAGUCAUUGAUAUGGGUACUAAAAUAGCAAUAUAAAUUUAUGGAAUAUAUACAUACAGAUAGGAAUUUACAAUCAUGUUUUCCAAGGAGCACAUACAUCAAAAAUAGAUAUUCUUCGAAUUUCUGGGGUUAAUUGUAGGAUUAAUCAUGUAAUCUUCGGUUUCAGAACUAAUUUUCAUCAGAAAAAAGGGUAAAAUCAUGGACAGGUUUUGUGAAGAAAAAAUAAAGCAGCAGAGUCUAAGUGUCUGUAAAUACAAUAUUCAAUCAUUUAACUAGUAGAAAUUGAAAUUUGAAUUCCAAGCCAAGUAUAAAGCUCGAAAAUAAUCAUGAUGGGGGGGGGGGGGGGGAACCUGCCUUCAACAACAUCAACAAGACUAAUGCAUCCAGCUUUAUGAAUCGCUUGAAGAGUCUGAGACAAUGCCUCGGUCAUGGUAGGUUUUUUCUCUUUCAAUUUUUCCUAUUAAAGAAAGAAACACAUUAAGUAGACAUUAUUUCACAAAGAGGAAUCAACAAUUCAUGCGACAAAAUAACUAUUUACUUUAACAAAAACUUCCAUGAACGAUAGAAGCAUAAUUCCCCUGUUACCACCUCUAAAGGCGUUCAAGACAGAAGACAACCAACUUUCUCAAAGCCAAAAACAAGAUUCAACAUGGUAAUGCAUGUGGGGGAUGUAUACCGGUGAGCAAUUCAAAUCAAAAUGAAAAAAUCAUACUCUCAAAACCAUCACACGUUAACCAGUUAACCAAUUGUUGGAAAAUAAAAAAUGAAUUGAUUACACAGAAAUGUAAUUGAGACACAUCAAAAAUAUGGGUACAAAAUAGAGAACCAACAAAGACAUGAAGUUUCUAAAACUAUUAGAGAAGUGUACUCAACCGGUAAGGUUAAUAACAAAAUAACAAUGGCUGUUGAAUAGUACUUACAAGUAAAACAGGCAAUAAAAAACGAGAGCUCGCAGAAAAAUUGGUUCUUAAUCCACGAGCAAGAUUGCCAAUAGCCUGGACAGCUUCAACAGCAACAGCAAUAUUCACAUCUGUAAUAAGCUGCAAGCAAAAUAUAAUGGGUUAGUUCUAGAAACAUGCAUCAAUGACUGAGCAGAUGCAAGUACAAACACAGCGACAAUAAUGUUCAUUUUUAUUCAAAUAACCUCUGUCUUGCAUAAAAAGCCAGAACAGAAUAAAAUAUUUUACUACAAACUUUAUGGUGCACUCAAAACAAACAACCUUUAAAGCAUUUCAGCCCAGACAAGUUCAAAGCUUCCAUUAGCACAGGCAAGUGCUAACUUUUUAAGAGAAAGGGCUCUCAAAAAGAAACAGCACAGCAAUUAUAAAAAUGGAAAGGUACAAAAUAGCAGAGUACUCUACACAAGUGAAACAUAAAUAGAAUCAAAUUAAAAGAAAAAUGAUGCAGUAACGUCACUAGUAUUGAAAUAUUUUAUGUCUCAAUCCUUUAGAUCAUAUUUCAGUUGCCAAUCUCACUUGAUCUUCAACACAGCAUAUAUUAUAAUUAUCGUCCGAUUCAUUAGAAAUCAGAUACAAUAUUUGAGUGGAAAUGUAGAUCCUACCAAACAAUGUACAAGCUUAACUAGGAAAAAGCCAAACAUUUUCAUUGUCAUUAAACAUGUGUAAUACCUUCUUUAAGGUCCGACAAACUUCAGAAAAAUCACCAGGGGAAAUUCUUUUUGUUGAUGCAAGCUUUGUCAGCUCACCAACAGCCUCCUUCCUUUCAAGCCAUUUGGUAGCUUUCUAAAGAUUUAAUAAGAUUAAAAGGGGAAAAAAAUGAGACAGAUUCAUGUGAUAAAAAGUUAUGUAUUUAGAGAGAGAGAGAGAGAGAGAGAGAUGUAGCAGAGAAGAACUGACCACUCCAUCCCAAAAUCCUGAUUUCUCCAAAGGAGUCAAAAUAUCAACCGGAUCAACAAGCUCGUAUUCAUCUAUUUCUUGAGGAGCUGACAAUAUAAUAGUUGCAAACAGGUAGGUAUGUUAGUGUCACAGAUGAAAAACAAACCAUAUCUGAUAAAAGAGAGCAUGCUCCAUCUAAAACAUCAAUUUACAUACCAUCGGACCCGGAUUCUUCAGCAGGGCCAGCACCCACAACCUCAGAUAUAGUUUCCUGUUCAGGUUCCUUGUCUUGCUCGGAUCUAAAAAAUGGUGGAAUAUAUAUUAAGAUGGUAUUAUCCUCAUAUGGUUAUUAACAAUUAAACACCAACAUAUAGUAAGCAAAAGAUUCAAAUUAGACAAAUGUGUGAUUACAAUCCAGUGGAUCCUGUCAUCAGCUAUUGUAAACCCUUAUCUGGCUAGAUAAAAUGAGUUUCAAUUGUCAGGGAGCAAGUUAAAAUUUUGAGACUUAAUAAAAAAUCACGCCGGAAAUCUGGCUCGAGUGAAAUGUCACAUUUAAAACAGCAAGAAAGUAUUUUUUAAUAGUUUUGUUCAUUGGCAGCAGAUGGUCUAACAUUUAGUUAUUCCAUUUCUUUUAAAUAAUAUUUUAGUAUCUACCGUGGAUAUGCAAAACUUUUAAAGGAAUAAAAUUUAAGUAUGAUCUAUAUUUAGGUCCACAUUGCUCGAUCUCCACUAAAUUGACAAAAAGAUUAAAGACUGUACAAUAUUUUCAUGUUCAGCUCUAGCAUUAAAAAUUGUUUCAAGGGUCCAAACAGCAUUGUGACAUCCACAAAUCUCUGGAAAAAAAAUCUUUUGAAGAUAUGAAGAAAAAAAGAACAAGAAUGGAUGUUAUAAGUGCACUGAAAACUCAGAUAUCUACCUUAUUUUACGGCUUGGCUUUGCUAUUCCCGUAACAUUUACAACUUCCGCUUCCAACUCUUUUUUCUACAAAAAAAAAAUAAAUAAAUAAAUAAAAAGGAAUUGGAAAAUUUACAGUUUAUAUUAGGAGGAGAAUAUAAUAAAUCAAAUAACUAAGAGGAACAGAUAAGCUUACCAUUGUGUCUCUCAUUUUCUCAAACAAGAUUGAUUUAACAUUAUCUUUACCGAUCCAGCGACAAAGUUCAAGAGUCAGCCCUUUAGAGGAUGCGCGAACAUUUUGAUCUUGGUGAUCGAAGAGUUCCGGAAGCAUUUUCAAAAUUCUUUUUGGGGGCACAAUUUUAGAUCCAAAUUCACUAGCAGUGUGAAGACAGAUAAGUAUAUCAUUAUAUGAUAGUAACAAAAUAGAAACAGCUACUAUAGAUUUUGCAACGAGAUUCCAAACCUUAAAGCUUGAAACAUAACAUCUAUUGCAGGCACCACUGCUUUAGCAACUUUGUUCUUUAUCGCUUUCUCCAUUGCAUCCUAAAAUUACCAAGAGCCUUAAUAAUGAAAGGACGAAAAGCAUGACUAGUAGAUGUGAAGUUAUUGGUAUGUAAACUAAACCCCCAAAGUAUCUUAAUAACCCGAAACAUAGAAUAAACUAAAAACAGUGAAAGUGGAAAAAGACUAUAUGAAUUCAACAGUUUGGGGGGAUCAGAGCCUUAAUUAUUUUAUGUAGAAACUUAUUAAGAUUUAAAGUUAAAUAAACUUGUUCACCUCUGCAUCUUAAAAAUUACUAAAAACCAUAAGAAAAGUAGAAAAAGAGAUGUAUGACAAGUGGGUGCAAAGCCAUUUCUUCCUAGCUUAUUUUAGAGCUUAUGCAAGACAGCUUAUACAAAUAAAUGUCUUUAUGUAUUAUUUAUAAGCUUGUUAAUAAAGUUAAUGAAAAAACAGUUGAUGAAGGUACGAUUUUCGUUUGAGAACUUAGGAAUUAAGAUAAAGACUUAUUUAUUUGCAUAAGCUCUUUUUCAUAAGCUCAAUCCAAACGGGGCCUAAGUCAUUAAUCUCUAGAAAUGGAGCCAUAAAAUAUAUAGUUUCAUGGAAAAGAAUUGCCAUAUCGGGGUAAUGGGAAACAGGACUAAUUGAAUUCAAAAGCCAUAUAACCUUGUAAAAUGCAACAGAAAGGGGGCUUUUUUUUUGUGUAUGUUCCAACAGAAAUGGGGCUCUACAAUAUAUAUUUUCGUCAAAAGAAAUGCCAUAUUAUUAAUUGAGACUAACAACCAUUAUUCAAGAGGAUCAAACCUCAACAAUGUCAUCCACUCUCUAGAGAACUGAGACAAUAUACUUUUUCCAUUUAAUUCCUAAACUCGCAUCAGUUUAAACACUCUAGAUUUUGAACAAAAUUACAAAAUAAAUCAAAUGCACCAGUAAACGUCAAAAUAUUUUCACUAUGGGAUAUGAAAUACAAGUUACAGAUUUUGCAAAAACCAGUUACCAGAGACCAAUCACUCAAUUCAAUCAUAAGUGAGGCAGGAACUUAAGAAUACAAUUUUAAUAAGAAUAUCUGACACCGUGAUCGUAAAUGAUAAAUGAAGUCCUUGUAUUGAAUCGUUUGCCAGGAGAUAGAGGGAGAGUUUGUCAUUGUGCAAAUGCCACAAGUGAAAACAAAAUUGGAAAUAAUCAGCUCAAGCAAAACAAACCUCUUCUACCAUCAAACAAACUCACCACAAGUUUACUUCCCCACGAACCGGUACACAACCAAGAUAGGCCGCAAGUUUAUAUUGUAAUCAUGUAUGCAAACAAGUUUUCCACGCACAUUCUAAUUGCUGAAACUAACUACAUUUUAAGAAUCAAAAGUGCAACCCUCGCUACUGAAAACAUAUGAGCAACCCACCAGUCACCUAGACACGAACUCCAAGCAGAAAGGAAUAUAAACAGUAGAAAAUCAUUCAACGGCAAUGAAAUGAAAUACACAUAAAGAAGAGUACCAGAAACGCAUCCACAGCCUCCAAUUCCACCCAGAGCAAGAACACUGCCUGAGCUUUCUCCACUGUCUUUGGCCUUCCUGUCAGACAUUUAGCCACAACCGCGUCGCAUACUUCCUUCCCAAACCUGCUCCAAAAUUCAAAUUCAAAUCCGAACUCACACUAGAACAUGCAAUUAAAUAUGAAGAAUAAUGAUAAACAUUAUGAAAUUAUCACCUGCUAGCGUCAGCAUCUGCAGCUCGCAAGUAAGCAAUCAAUGCAUCAAGUGCCUUCUCUUGCACCGGAGCAUUCGAAUCCGACACCGUCUUUUUAAAAAAAUGACCUAGCAAAUUCAAAAUUCAAAUAAAAAAACACAGAAGUCAAGAUCCAAUUCAAAAUUCACAGCAACAUUCACCAAAUAAAACCGUAUCCAGAUCCAUAAUUCAUAGAUCGAUAAACGCAAAACGAAAAAACCCUAACAAAUGAAAAACAGGAAUUACACUAACCGAAUUCACGGAUGCGAGGGUCUUUAGGAUCGGUGAUUGAGUCACAGAGAGAAGCCAGAUCAAUAUUGGCUUCAUUUCGCACUUUCCAGUUUUUGUGAGAAAGACGAUCCUCCCAUGGAAGUUUCUUUGCUUCCUUCAACAACUUUUCUUCCUCUGAUGACAUUGUUGUUCGCACUCAAACCCUGACGAUCUCGAAGAAUGCGUAACGAAUUGUAGAGAGAGAGAGUGAGAGAGAGUUGGGUUGUUUCGUUUUGAUUUGUAAUCGGCAGGUGCAGUUGCCGGCGAGAGGGAAGAUGAAAAUGAAAUGAAAUAUAAUAAAAAAAGAAAAGGAAAAAAGAGCGUGCAAGUGCAAUUUGGCUUUUUAUCUUCGCUUCAAAAACACUGCAACAGAGAAAAUGAAAGAGAUAGAGAUGGAGAGAGAAAGAAGAGGGAGGUUUUAUUAUUUUUUUAAUUAUUAUUUUACCGUUGGUUUCACGGAACGGAACGGAGCGUGCGUAAGAAUUUGAAUAAAAUGCACUGCUCGAAAAAUAUAAAGAUCAUCGUCGUUUUCUCACAUACUCCUUUUCGUGGCUAAAUCUAACACGUAUAUACGUGGGAAUAAGUUUAGUUCUUUAUAAAGUAAAAAUUACUUAGAUUAAUUAUUGAAUGAUUAGGCUAUGUUUGGAUUGAUGGAGAGUGAUGGAAUGGAAUGGAAUGGAACCAUGUUCCAUUGUUUUGGUUUUAUAAAAAAUGAAUGGAAUGGAAUGGAGUGUGAUGGAACCCAUUCCAUCCAAUACCAUUCAUUCUUCCAAUUUUUCAUUCCAUCUAAUUUGGGGUGUAUCCAAUGGAAUGGAACACAUUAAUAAUUUUAUUACAAUUUUAUCCCUGCAUUUUCUAUUUCACCUCCUCUUUCUUCUUGUGUGUGUGCAACUUGAAUUUUUUUUCUUCCUGUUUCUCUCUCUCUAAUUAGUAUUUUAGGUCACUUAUCUCCAGUUUUUUCUUCCAGAAAGCCUCACGCCUUCCAUGACAUAGUAGUUAUUUAAUGUUCCUCGUUGUGAUACCACAAAGUUCCACAAUUUGCAGAAAAGAAAAUCCAAUCCAUGUAAUAGUCAUAUAACAAACUUGCUGCUUACUAUGCUCUUCUAAUCAUUUCUAUGAACUGAGCCAUCAACCAUUAUUAUUAUAUUGUUUAAUUAAAUAAUAUUUGAACCAUUGGAGAAAAUUAUGCUUCAAGGUUGUGUUUCAUCAUUAGAGGUAGAUAAUAAAACAUCCAUGUUUUAAUUUGCAGCGAGUUCAUAUUCUGGAUGCAUCGUUCUUAUAUGUGAAGCAUUUUUAUUAAAUUAGGUAUAAUACAUUUUUUGAUGUGAAGCAAUUGUGAAGCAUUUUUAAUGUUUUUUUAAAUAAAGGUUAAAAUUGGAAUAAAAAAAUAUAAUACAUUCCAUUCUGUCAACUUUCCAAACAAUGGAGUGGAAAGUUGGCUCUGUUCCAUCGUGAAAUAUCCAAACGAUGGAAUGUAAUCUCUAUUCCAUUCCGCUCCGUUCCAUUCCUUUCCGCUCCGUUAGUUUUAAGUUAUCCAAACAGAGCCUAAGGUUCGUUUGGAUAGGCUUAUUGUUGAACUUAUGCUAAAAAACUUAUACAAAUAAAUUAGUUUUUAUUUUAUCAUUUAUAAGCUUGUCAAAAUAGUUUAUAAAAGAAUACCCGUAAGCUUAGCUGAGUUGAUAGGGAUAUUGCAUUUUAUAUGCAAGGGUCGGGGUUUCCCGGACACUCCACUUCUCCACAAUUAAAUUGUGUGAGCAAUAGCCACUAGACUAGUAAUACAAAAAAAACAAAAAGUUUAUGAAAGAAAAAAAAAACAUUUUGUGAAGAUACAAUUUUUGUUAAUAAGAAUUAUGAAUUAACAUAAGAACUUAUUUAUUUGCAUAAGCUAUUUUUCAUAAGCUUAAAAAUAAGCAAAUCCAAACGGGCUCUAAUUCAUAUGUGACAAUUUGAUUCUAAAAAAAACACCAUAAUACAUCCACUUCUCUCAAAUCAAAAACAAAAAUAAUAUAUCCACUUUGGUUCACCCUAUUAAACAACAUAGUUUGUUUUUUCUUUAUAUUUUUAAUUGAUUAACUAGUGUUCAUUGGACACCACUCUCUCCGUUUCAAAAUACAUAUCCAAGUCAAUCACUUCACAUAUGCUAAUGCACAAUUUUGACCGUUAAUAUCUUUAAUUAUCUAAAGUAAAAAAUUAUAAAAAUUUAAUAUUUUGAAAAUAUUUGUCGAGACAAAUCAAAUAACAUCUUACAUGUUAGUAUUUGUAUUUAUACAUUAGUUAAAAAUUAUGAUCAAAGUAAGUCAAGUGAAUAGGCAAGAAUUUGACAUGUAUUUUGAAACGGAAUGAGUAGUUAGCAUGACAGUUUAUUUAUUACUAACACUAACAUGUUGGUCUUUCAUCUUUUUGUUUUUAUCGACAAUAAACAAUCAAAUUAUAAAAAGGGUUAAACAAUGUCCACCCUAUGUUAUUUUGUCCUGUUUUGGUUUACACUAAAAAAAUUAGAGAUUAUCCCCGUGAACCUAACUCAGUUGGCAGGGACGUUGCAUAUUAUAUGCAGGGGCCGGGGUUCGAAUCCCGGACAACCCACUUAUUCAUCUUUAUAAGAUGAAUUUCUAACCUAGUGGCUACUAGACCCAAAAAAAAAAUCAGAGAUUUCCGUUCAGUGUCGGAUCCAUAAAUUUUAUCGAGUUUCAGUAGGCAUUAUUUAACCCUUUUUAUAAUUUGAUUAAAAAAAAAAAACUUAGCUCUUCUCCUCUCUCUAUCUUCUAUCCCCUCUACCUCCUUAUGUUCCCCUCUUCUUUUUUCAAACAAGAAAAUCUCUUCCUUUUCAAACCCACACUAAAAAAUAAACAAAUAUGAGGUAAUCUGAUAAAAUAUUUGUUGUUGUUUGAUUAUUCAUCGAGCUUUAUCAUCAUCACCGACGACAAUAGAUAUUAUUUGUUUUGAGAUAUUAACUUUUUUUAUUGAGUUUUAGAUUUGAGCAUUUGCAUUUUAGACAUGAAACUUUUUUCUUGAGUUUUGGAUCUCAAUGGUAUAAAUUUGAUCCUGUACAAUUAAGAAAAAAAAUCCAAAUUGAAAAAUAGCGGAAAACAUUGAAGAAAUUUUGAAGAAAAAAUUGAAAAACUUUUGUUGUUGGCUCAUCGUUGGUACGUUUUAGAAGAAUUAAAGCUGGAUUUUUAUGAUCACUGCCAUAUCUUCUUUCCUUUUAAUUUCCUCCUUUAUGAAAGAGUAGAAAUUAAGGGUAAAUCAAAAUCGUGUUUUUUUUUUUUUUUUUUUUAAUUUUUUGGGUUUGAUGAAUUUGAUUAUGAAAUCAUGAAUGUGUACAAAAACUAAGGGAGAUUUUUUUUUUUGAAUUUGCAUUUAUCGAUGACGGUGUUAAAUGAGAAAGAUAAAGAUCAUGGUAGUAGAGAAAAGAGAAAAUAAAAAAUAUUUUGUUUUGCUUUUAAUUUUUUACAUUUAUUUUCUAUAAAAAAAUCUAAUUCAUUUAAUAACGAAAAAGGCAAUCAAAAUUAAAAUAAUUAAUAAUAUCCAUCAAGCAUGCUACAUAAUAAAAAACGACGACUCAACACGCCGCAGAAACUUAAGUGUACAUACAAAUGUCUUGAGGAUCCAAAAUCAAAUAAUAUUCAAAUUGCAGCGGGAGUUUCAAACUUUAUUUUUUUAUAGGGGCUAAACCAAGACUCGCCCACGAUAAGUUUAGUUUAGAGAUAUAACCCGUUUGAUGGUCAUGAUAGAAUAUGAAGUUGAAUAAAGAUAAGAUACGAUACGAACAUGAUAAACAUUUACUCUAUCGUGUAUUUAGCGUGCACAUGAUAAUACAUAUAACCCGUUUGAUGGUUAUGAUAGAAUAUGAAGUUAAAUAAAGUUAAGAUAUGAUACGAACAUGAUAAACAUUUAUUGUAUCGUGUAUUUAAUGCGCACACGAUAACAUUAUUUUAUCAUAUUAAUUGACAAAAUUAUCCUUAUAAUCAAUUAUAUUUUUUAACAUAUUUUAAUAGAUUUUCAUAUAAUAAUACAGAUUACAACAACAUCACAAAAUAGAGGGAAAAAAUGAAAUCCAUAAAAAAUAAAAGAAAGAGGAAUCUAGAAAAUAAAGAGCAUAAAUAUGUCAAAAACAAGAGGAAAAAAUCAAAUCGACGGAAACAAGAUAAUUAUGAUUUUUUUUUUUAAACUGAUAAAAAAAUAAGUAGAUGAUUUUUUAGAAGAAAAAAAGAAGAUAAAUCUAAAUAAGAAAAUUUUAAAAUCGAAAAAAAGAAAAGAAAUAGAAGCAUAUAAAAAGAAGAUGAAAAAAAGCUAUAAAAAAAUGAAAUCGAUAAUUAAUGAAAAAGAUUUUUUUUUUUUAAGAUAGAGAAUAACAUAACGAUGGUACAAGUGAGUGAAAGGAAGAAGAUGAUGGAAAGGGAUGGGAUGGUUCGGGUGGAGAGGUGAAAGAAGACAAAGGCCCCGUUUGGAUAAACAACUUAUAUAGAUGCUUAUAGCAUUAGGGCUUAUAACAUUAGAGCUUACAUCAUAAGCUCUUAUACUUGAUAAGCUAUUUAUAUUUGGAUAUGUACACUGAAAAGUACUUGCAUAAAUUGAAGUGUUUGGAUGUGACAUUACAUAAGCAAUUAUCGAAAUAUUAAAUAUUUUUAAUUUUAAAAAAAUCAAAGAAUCGAACCACAAUUAUCAAGAUUUAUUUUGAUAAAAUUAAUCAAGAUGUAAAAAAACAAUAUUAUAAUAUAUUAAUUAUAAUUAUAUAUAUAGUAUAAUCAAUAUUCGUCCUUAAAAAAAANNNNNNNNNNNNNNNNNNNNNNNNNNNNNNNNNNNNNNNNNNNNNNNNNNNNNNNNNNNNNNNNNNNNNNNNNNNNNNNNNNNNNNNNNNNNNNNNNNNNNNNNNNNNNNNNNNNNNNNNNNNNNNNNNNNNNNNNNNNNNNNNNNNNNNNNNNNNNNNNNNNNNNNNNNNNNNNNNNNNNNNNNNNNNNNNNNNNNNNNNNNNNNNNNNNNNNNNNNNNNNNNNNNNNNNNNNNNNNNNNNNNNNNNNNNNNNNNNNNNNNNNNNNNNNNNNNNNNNNNNNNNNNNNNNNNNNNNNNNNNNNNNNNNNNNNNNNNNNNNNNNNNNNNNNNNNNNNNNNNNNNNNNNNNNNNNNNNNNNNNNNNNNNNNNNNNNNNNNNNNNNNNNNNNNNNNNNNNNNNNNNNNNNNNNNNNNNNNNNNNNNNNNNNNNNNNNNNNNNNNNNNNNNNNNNNNNNNNNNNNNNNNNNNNNNNNNNNNNNNNNNNNNNNNNNNNNNNNNNNNNNNNNNNNNNNNNNNNNNNNNNNNNNNNNNNNNNNNNNNNNNNNNNNNNNNNNNNNNNNNNNNNNNNNNNNNNNNNNNNNNNNNNNNNNNNNNNNNNNNNNNNNNNNNNNNNNNNNNNNNNNNNNNNNNNNNNNNNNNNNNNNNNNNNNNNNNNNNNNNNNNNNNNNNNNNNNNNNNNNNNNNNNNNNNNNNNNNNNNNNNNNNNNNNNNNNNNNNNNNNNNNNNNNNNNNNNNNNNNNNNNNNNNNNNNNNNNNNNNNNNNNNNNNNNNNNNNNNNNNNNNNNNNNNNNNNNNNAAAUAUAUGUUUUGAAAAAGUGGAUCCAGAGAGAAUCGAAGGAGGUUACAUAAAUUCAUAAGCUCCUUGUUAAGCCGGAGGGUAAGCUGAAAAUUUAGGCUUAUUAAAAUAUGACACAAGCAGCUUAUGAAACUAUGAUAAGUUUUUUUUAUUUAUUUACCCAAACACCUUUAAAAAGGCUUAUGGGAGUAGAUAAGCUCACAUAAGCUCAAAAUAAGUCAAUCCAAACGGGGCCAAAAUAAAGAUUCAUUUUUUUAAAUGGGAUAGAUUAAUUUUAACCCAAGCUAAAUUUAUGAUAAAAAUUACAAAGGAGUGAUAGAAUAUAAUAAAUAAUAUUAAUAAUUUAUUUUAUCUCUACGUUGUAUCAAUCAAAAUAUUAAAAUAAUAAAAUAUAUUAAUCGUGUCUUUUUACCUUCACCAUGAAACAAAUUCAUAGAAUCCGUGAACAAGAACAUUUAUGAGUUCAUCUUCUUCUAUCAUUAAUUUCAUGAACGGUUAAUGAUUAUUUAUCUAAUUUUUUUUUCGAUCCAGAUUAUUUGUCUAAUUGGUAAAGGUUCCAUUCAAAUUCUACAUAGACCUAAUGAAGAUUGAUCUUCUUGAUGUGUAAUAUAUAUUAGGCCAAAUAUAUUCCUAGGUCAUUUAAGUUUCACAUUUGUUUCAGAUAGGACCUUUAAUUUUCUAAUGUUUUAGAUAAGUCCUUUAAGUUUCGAGUUUGUUUUGGAUAGGUCAUUUCUGUCAACCUCGGUUAAGCCAAAGUUGUUAUGUCCGUUAAGUCAAAGCUGAUAUGUCCGUUGAGUGGGUGAAAUGGUUCUCUCUGACACUUGGCAUCAAUAUUUUCCCCAAUCAGAUCAAGUUUGACUUAACGGACAUAACAACUUUGGCUUAACCGAGGUUGGCAGAACAAACUCGAAACUUAAAGGACCUAUCUGAAACCUUAGAAACACAAAUGACAUAUCUGAAACAAACUCGACACUUAAAGGACAUAUCUGAAACCUUGGAAAUUUAAAGGAUCUAUCUGAAACAAACAUGAAAUUUAAAGGAUCCAGUAAGAUAUUUUGUCUAUAUAUUAUGUAAUUAUUUUUGUAAUAGUUACAUAAAAAAUCUAAGAACUAAAUUGACCAAUAAAAAAAAGUAUUAUCACAAUUCACAGAUAUAAACUUCAUUGAUCCGAUAAAGUGUAUAUAUAUAUAUAUAUAUAUACAGUGGCGGAGCCCUUCAUGGAUUGGGGUGGGCCACGGCCCACCCAGAAAAAUUAAAAAAUCAAUGAUUAUAGGUCUAUUUUGUGAGAUUUUAUGCAAUUUUGUGUCGGUUUUAUGUUUUGGUUGAUCUAAAUUCCUGCAAAGUGGUGUAGUGGUCCACCCGAAAAUUUAAAUAAUUCAAUUAUAGGUCUAUUUUGCGAGAUUUUAUACAAUUUUAUGUUGGUUUUAGGUUUCGGUUGAUCCAAAUUCCUGCAAAUUGGUGUAGUGGCCCACCCAAAAAAUUUAAAUAAUUCAAUUAUUGAUCUAAUUUGCGAGACUUUAAACAAUUUUUCAAUAGUUAAUUUUAGCGGCCCACCCUAACAUUUUUUUUUGGCUCCGCCACUAUAUAUAUAUAUAUAUAUAUAUAUAUAUAUAUUUUGGUACAUGGUAUAUAUCAUCUUUCAAACUAAAGACACAAGAUGACUAGAUAGAUUAAUAAAAGACAUUCAAAUUUUUUAUAAGGUUGAUAUUUUAAUGAACUACGUGGCAUUCAUUUAAAAACCGAAAUACUAGUUGUUUUUUACAUAAAAGAAUAGGUUGGUUAUUCUAUCUACCAGUUUGAAAAUCAAGUGUUAUUAUCGACUCACGAGAAGGCAACCUACUUGCCUGUUUCCAAGCAAAGUUGCCGUCAGAAACAGCCCACUCAACUCACUUUAAAAUUUCACAAUAAUUGUCUAUCAACAUUUUGUGACCGAUCAUCUAUUUAUUAGUUUUUUUUUUUUUUAAAGAAAUACUAGUGAUUCCAACAUUUUCAAAUAAUAUUGACUUUAUCCUCGUAAGAGUUGAUAGAGUCAAUGCAUAAUAUAUGUAAGGUUAUAGGUUCAAACUUCGAUCACCACAAAAAUAAAUAAAUUAUUUUCGUCUCAUUUUAUAUAUGGUCGUUUUGAUAGUGUGACUCGCAAUAAUUUCAUCUAAUAAUUAAAUUAAUGUUAGAAAACAGUGUUUCUAAAACUCCUGUUUUUUUUUUUCUUCUUUUUUUACAAAAUCAUCUAUUCAUCUAGUUCUUUUAUGACAUCAUUUAUCUAUCUAUCUAUUAAUAUUAAUAACUAUACAAAUAUUUUUAAAUUGCGCGGUUAUUUCAUGUGUUUUAAUUAUACUAAUCGAGACCUAAAAUAAUACUAUUAACUUUAUAAAAAAAAGUCACAUACAAUUUAUAAUAUUAAAAAAAAUAUAUUAAAAAGAUAAAUAAAUCAAAGUACGGACAAAUAUGUAGAAGCAUGCAUACAAGAUAGUCCUGCAUUUGACACGUUAGUAGAUGGAAGAAAUGAUAGUAAUUAUUAGAAUCUCAUGCACAUAAAUGAAAGAUCCAGAAUUCAAGCUCCUAUGAUGAUAUCUUUGUCAUUUUUCCUGGCCAAUCUAACGCGUAUAUACAAAUGAUUGGAUCAACGUAGUUGGUUAACAUUUUGCAUGCUCUACACCGCAAUAAAAUUUUGAAAACUCUAGUCGACACCUUGCGCAGGUUGAAUUGUAAAUCAAUCAACCUGGAUGUCGUAACCUAACUUUCAACAUAAGAAAUUCUUUCAACUGUAAUUUGUGAUUCCGCUUCAAACCGGUGUCGUUGCCCGUGUUUUGAAGUUGUGUUUCGUCUUCCUAUCGAUCUGUUCUAUGUUACUGCCUGUUUUCUUGGUGAGGUGGUUUGACGGCGUAGUUUUGUCUCUAUCUUUGGUUGUGGGUAUAUUCACUGUGGCUGCUUCUUCGGAAUGCUAUGGCGAUGUUGCUGAUUUCCUUGGAGACCUUCAACUUUGUCUUGCUCUUGUUCUUGAUGGUCGUGUUGUAGUGGUGGUGGUGGUGGUGAGGGUGACGCAGUGGUGGUUGUGAUGUUGUGCGGUGGUGGUGGUGGUGAUGUGUGGUGUUGGUGUUGGAGGCCGUCUGUUACUCGGGUCCAUUUUCGGUGUCACUAGCUUUUGCUUGAGUUUUGGGUUGUUUAAAGGUUUUAGGGUGUUCUGUGGAUGCGUGUCCUCCGAGCUGAGCUAUUUUUCCUUUUUGAUUGAUGUUUGCAUCAUCGCUUAACAUGUCGCCUGUCUACUUAUUGUGUGUUGUAUUCUGGUGGACCGGUUACUUUUGAUUCGAGAUCGGGAGUCAGUGUCUAGUUGCAAUCUUGUUUGGCUGACGACAAUGUUUCUUUGGUGUACCGAGGGUUUGGGGUGCCCUUCUGAUUUGGUCAUGUUGUCUGGUGGACCGAUCGCUUUUGAUUUGAGAUCGGGAGUCAGUCUUUUGGUUCAAGUUUUGGUUUUGGGCUUGUUUGGCGUUCUUUCGGCAUACCGGAGAUUGAGAGGUGGUGGAAGCUGAUUGAUCUUUAGAAUAGUGGCUCAACUUUGGUGAUGAGGACGAGGAGUUGCUUUUAUAGGGGUGUUAUCUUGGGUUCAGUAGUGGUGACAUUGGUUAUGGAUACAGUUUUUCAGUGGUCGUUUCGUGAAGGAAUUUGUUUUAGGUGGUGAUGUUUAUCUUGGUGGGGGUUGUCCCCAAGGGUGUUGAAGUUAUGCUUUGAUUAGGUGCUGUGUGUACGAGUGUCUUUAUGAUGUUUAUUUUCGGGUGUUCCGCCUAUAUAUGGCGCCCUUUGUUUGUAUCUGGAAUCACCGGUCUCUAUUCGUCUUGAGCAGAAUCUGGAUUUUAAUAAUAUUUGUCGUUAAAAAAAAAACUGUAAUUUGUGAUGUAUUUAACAACCAUUCAGACAAUUAUAAGCUAAGAGAUUGUUUUUAGAGAGAAUAUAAGCAAAGAACUUGUUGGCUUUUACUUUGCUUUUUGCAGGGGACGCUUCUUUUCCUACUUUGUUGGUAUGUACAAGCGAAUAUUAUAAUGGUUAUGUGUAAAAAAGUACUAUAUUAAAUGUAUAUUUAGUUCUGCGGUAAAUAGAUGUGAGUUGCUUUGUAAAAUUGAUUUUAAUUACAUACAAGUUGAAAGUAAGGCGAUCUAUGUUAAAUACGUAUAUGUCAAAAGUGAUUUUUACAUGGAAAUAUUAUCUGAAUAUUUUUUAUAAACAUAAAAUUUAUUGGGUUAGUUUGGAUUCGAUUUGUUUGGGAAACAAGGAUGGAGGCUUGGGGGUUAUGAAGAUGAGGGAGUUUAAUCCUGCAUUGUCAUAAAAAGUGGUGUUGGAGGAGGUAUGCUGAUAGGGAGUGAUACAGAGUAAGACUUUAAUAUGGCAUAGACUUUGCAGCCACCACCCUAUAUGCUAGCUUUCCAAUUCCACCACCCUACUAUUGACAAUAAGGCCAACAAGCCACCAUGUUUGACAUUUACUAGAUUGUGUUUCCAUUGAUGUAUUAAUUAUCAACACUAUUUCAGCUACCAUAUGACCUCUAGGAUUGCUAUAAAUAAGGCCACUUCUUUCAUGUAUUACCACAAUUUAAAAUAUACAAAACUUGAGUUUCUCAUUUGAGAGUUAGAGAGUGGAUUCUCUCUUGGUUUCUGAGUCAUAUUGGCAUCAGAGUAAGGUUCCAAAUCCGGAGUUGAGUUUGAGUGAAAGAAUCAACGGAAAGUUUGAGUUUUCUAAGGGUGUUCUUGAAGAAAAAGAGCUGCCACCUUCGAAACUCUACUUUGCGGCCAUUUUUUCGCAAAACUAACGCCGCCAUUGCGUUCGGAAGGCCAAAAAACAUUGGAUUGGAGGUUUUUGUCACCAACGGAGCCUCUACGAGCCGCCAAACGACUCGCCAGAGUUCUUGCCGGACCACCACCCGCCGCCACUAACCACCGCCGGAAGUCUAGAGGUUGAAGACGACCGGUCAGCAGCCACAUCAUCUGCCACGUGUCACUUCCAACCAAUAACUCACCGCCACGUGUCAACUUGACACAUCACCACUGACCUGUUCAGUCAUCGACAAGUCAGCCUCCACAUCCCUGCCACGUGUCACCUAGUGCCACGUCAUCACCCGGUUACCCAAAAUUUUCAAAAAUUACAAAUUUGCCCCAAAACUUUCUGAAAUUAGAAAAUUGCCCCUCAACUUUCAAAAAUUGCAUAAUUACCCCUGUACUUUUUGAAAUUGCAAAUUUGCCCCUAUUCUUUCUGGAAUUACAAUUUUACCCUUGUUCAAAAAUUGUGAAUUUUCAGGAAAUCCUUCCUUUUUAGUGCUAUUAUAAUAGACAAUUCCUAUUAUGCUUUGUGGUUGCAGUUUAAUCUGAUCUUCCACAUCAGAAAAGAAUUAUUCUAUUUUAUAGUACUUAUACUCAUUUCACCCUUUAAAAGAAAAAAAUAAAAAAAUAUGCCUCCAAGAAAAAACGACCAAACACUUAGGGAUAUUCAAAUGGAAGAAAUGAGAAGACAAAUCCAACAGUUACAAGAAACUGUAAAUGCACAACAAGCACAAUUGGAAGCCCAACACAUGCAAUCAGACGUUGAUGAAUCAAGUAGCGAAUCAUCAUCAUUAAGAAGUCGUCGUCCACAAAGACAAUCAUUUAGAGACAACGACAUCAAGGUAGAUAUUCCUGAUUUUGAAGGAAAGUUACAUCCAGAUGAGUUCGUUGAUUGUCUCCAAACUGUUGAACGAGUCUUCGAGUAUAAAGAGAUACUUGAAGAAAAGAAAGUCAAGAUCAUUGCUGUCAAAUUAAAGAAGCAUGCUUCCAUUUGGUGGUAAAAUCUAAAAAUGAAGCGAGCCCGUGAAGGAAAAAGCAAGAUCAAGACUUGGGAGAAAAUGCGUCGAGAACUUAGCAAAAAGUUCUUGCCUUCUCACUAUUACCAAGAUAGUUUUAUUCAACUACAGAACCUUCGUCAGAAAAACUUGUCUGUAGAAGAAUACACUAGAGAAUUUGAGAAGUUAAUGAUGAAGUGCGACAUUCAUGAAAGGGAGGAGCAGACAAUAGCUCGUUACCUUGGUGGAUUAAACACUGACGUUGCUCAUCCAGUUCAGCUCCAACAAUACUGGUCAUUAGACGAUGUUGUUCGUUUGGCCAUGCGAGUGGAGAAACAUUUACCCAAGAAGCAUUCUUAUAGGAAUUUUUCCUCCACUGAGAAUUCUUCUUAUCCCCGCAAAACAGACAACGAUCAGCCCAGUACUUCUACAAAACCUUCUCCUAAACCCACUACAGAAAAUAAACCCAAAGCUACCAAGUGUUUCAAAUGUCAAGGUUUUGGACAUAUAGCUUCAAAUUGUCCAACACGAAGAACCAUCACCAUCAUCAAAGGAGAAGCUUAUGAAGAUGUUGAUGAGGAAACAAACCGAGAUGAACCAGAAAAAGAAGAAGUGUUAGAGCCAAUUUAUGAUGAAGAGCUCAUUGUUGCUGAUCAUGGCGAGUCUCUAGUGAUCAGACGAAGCCUACACGCGAUGUCAGCUCAAGAAGAGUAUUGGUUGAGGAAAAACAUUUUCCAUACUCGUUGCACCACUGCUGGAAAAGUUUGUGAUGUUAUAAUAGAUAGUGGUAGUUGUGAAAAUGUGGUGUCGAACUACAUGGUAGAGAAGUUAGAGAGUGGAUUCUCUCUUGGUUUCUGAGCCAGGGAGAGUCUUCGGUAUAGGAAUUGGAUGAAGUUGUCCUUAGUUUAGUUUUUGUUUUGAUAAUGUUUGAUUAGGAUGCUAGAUAAUUUGAUGAUGUUUAUUGCUCAUUUUAUAAUGUUAGCACAUGUAAAGCACCUAGCAAUCUAUGCUCUUAGGGUUCUUCAAGCGUCUCGUGUGUCAAGUUUUAUUUUGCGACAAAACUUUUUUUAUCCCUUUGAAUCAGGGAUGGCAAAGCGGGCUGGCCAACCCAGUUUAGACUCGUCCUGCCUAAGUCUGUUUAAAACGGGACGAGACGAACAAAUUCAAAUUAAGUGACUGAGUUCAAUAUCUCACCCGACCCCGUUUAGUGUCGGACAUACAAGUUGGCAGGCCGUCCGGCCAAAUAAAAAACUUAUUUUUUUAGAGGAAAAAAAAAACUUUUUUUAAUGCAUUUUUUUACAACAUAAUUGUUACAAAAAACUAUGUUGCUUUUAUCAUAAAAAAAUAUAAAAGAAUAGGCAUCAAAUAAAUUUGUGAUAAAAACAAGAUAAUUAACAAAUUGUUGAACUAAACGUCAUACUUAAUAGCAAAAUAAGAAAAAUCCACCAACAUAAAACAAAUUUGCAACAUAAAACAAAUCCCAAAAUAAAUUCAAAAGGAUAAAAUAAGUCUAAAAAAUAAAGAAAAAUGAGUUAAAUGGGCCGGCUCGCCUUACGACAAGCCAACUAUAGGAAGCGAGUUCAAAACCUUGACUCAGCCCACCAAAAAUAGCAGGUUAAACGGGUCGACCCGCCGAGUUGGGAUCGUUUUGCCACCCCUACUUUGAAUCGAAUCAUCUUGCCUUGAAUCUUAUCAUUUUUCUUCUAUGGUCCUGGCUUAUGAUGAUCAUGUCAUUUUGAAUCGAUUCAUGACUUUUUGAUUCGCAUCAUACCUGAAUCGAAUCACAAGUUGUUGAAUCGAAUCAAUUAUAUUAUUUGGUCUUGCGUUUUGCCUUGUUGAAUCAUAUCAAUAUUCUUUGAUUUGUAUCAACCUUCUUCUCAGUUACUUUGAUUUGAUUCAAAUAAUGUUUAAAUCAUAUCAAGCUUUAUAGCUCCAAAUUUAUCCAUUUACACAUGUCUGAGUCGAAUCAUACUUACUCUAAAUCGAAUCAUGUCGUUGUGUUUGUCUAAAAUAUUGAACUUAUCACUCCUGCCUGUAUAUAACUAUACCCAUACACCUUCCAACUCACUGAAUCAAUUGCAAAUACGAAAUAAAAGACAAUUACUUUGUAUCAUACAUUGACAAUGCAUGCCAAUUAAUAUGUAACGGAAAUACAUAAGAGAUCUAGGAGGGCAAAAUUGAAAAGAGAUGACAAAAUAGUAAUUUUAGGCAAUUAGGGUUGGAAAUAGAGUUUGCGCACCAAUCUCCGUUUUAUAAUAGAUAGAUAGAUAGUGUCAAGGUACAAAAGAAAAAGAAAAAAAAAGGACCCAAGAGUAUAGUGGUGUGGUCGGUGACGGAUCCAUAAAUUUUAAAAAGUGGGGGCAAUAUAUAUAUAUAUAUUAAUUGAAAGCAUUAAAUAUAUAUUUAGAAACAAGGCUACGUUGCUAUGUAAGUGUGAGCUAAAAGAGAAAUAUUGUAUUAUAAGUGUAGGUUAUUUGAUCUAAAUGUCAACUAAAAAUUUAAAAUAUUUUGUAUAGGCACAAGCCCGCACCACAACACACAUGCAUCCGUCGCUGGGAGUGGUACAAAAGAUAAGACUUUUUUACUUUUUUUUUUUUUUGGGAACAAGACUUUUUACUUAAAUAUUCCCUCCCUCCCAAAUUGUAUGUCAUUUUAGAAAAAAUAUUUGUCCUAAAUUGUAUGUCGCUUUACAAUACCAAUGAAAAAUUAUUGUUACUUUUCCUAUUAUAUCCUUAACUAUUUAUUACUCUCUCUUCUUUCAAUUCAUUCAUUUAUCUUUCCCAUAUCAUUUAUCGAGGACAAUUUUGUAAAACAACUCAUAAUAUCUUUUUCCCACACAAUAUUAAUUACAUUUUUUAAUAUGUGUGAAAUGUUCAAAACGUCAUACAAUUUAGGACGGAGGGAGUACUUGAAUAAAGUGGUAAAAACUCUUUUUAACGAAAUCAGAUUCUAAAUUUAAAUUCAAUGAGAAUGCAACUGUGUUAAAAAAUUUGAAGAGAAUUUUCUAUCAACUAUGUUAUCCUUGUCAAUGAAUUAGUUUUUACGGUUUCCGCGUAAAAAUAUUUGGUUAAAAAAAAACUUCAAAUAAAAAAUACUAUUAUAUUUUGAUUUCUAAAAUAAAAGAAUUCAAAGGAGUAGAGAGAGAGAGAGAGAGAGAUGAGGGAGUAGACAAAGACAAAGCGAGCUAAACGAAGUUACUGCUGUUGGGGCGUGUGUGUUACUGUCGAGUUCUUUGGUGUGGAUAAAAACCAUAAUAACAAGAGAAGGGUCAUGUGUCUCUCAUCUUAUCUUCUUUUCUGGGUACGUUUUCUCAUCGCUCAAAUUCCUGUAGAGGGUAUUUAAAUCAAUGUUCUCUUAUUCUCAUAUUUUUUUCCCUUUAUAAUAAUAAUUAGAUGAUUUAUCAAGAGGAGCAAAGGUUGCCUUUAUUUAUUAUUUUUUCUUUGUUGACUUGAUUUCAAAUGCUUAUAAUUCUUUAUACUGUACUUUAUAUCUGAAUGUGGUUUAAAUAAACUGUUUCUGAAUAGUGAUACUUAAUUUUGACUUUUCUACUGUCUCUGCACUCUUGACUUUCACAAUUGUGCAUUAUCUGUCUGUAACAUUUUCUAUUUCAGUUUAUCCGGUUGGAACAGAGUUAUUUGCUCUUAUAGACAUGAUAUAUGAUUUUGUUCAUCAUGGCCUUUCUUGUAGGUGUUUGCUUCCUGAUUUUUUAAAGGUGUUUCUCUAAUUGAUGUGUCUAAAGGUUAGACUGAUUUCUCUUCUGUUUAGCCUCAAAUACUAAACCUUCUUAUGAAUUCUUAUACAUUUAUGUAAGAAAAUGUGAGGCUGAGAAUUGUGGGUAUGCUCACUUUUGAACUUUGAAAAGUAGGUACUAGAUAAUUCACAUUUUGUGGCAUAGUACACUUUAUCAUUUUGUUUAACAAGCAUAGUACACUUUAUAAUAUGCUAAGAGAGUUUGCGCGUCUCUCUAGUUUCCACCAUGAUUAUUUUGAUUUCUACACGAAGGUUUCAUCUUGGGAGUGCCUGAUGUUCUUUGAGUGGAGCUACUAAGUUCACGUGAGUGUGCAAACUGUGAAUCAAUCAACUUCAUAAGCUUAUAAGUUUAUCUAAUAGGGAGUAGUUAGGAAAUAGUGCACGUUAUUUUUUCAGGAGCCCAAUGGUAAAUGGAUACAAAGAAAAAUGGUAAUGAUUGUUACUUGAAUUUGAAUAUUCUGUAACUGAAAAAAAUGUUGAUAAAGUAGUAUGAUAGUCUCACAUUCUCUGGAAAUUUAUUUCAAUUGGGAUGGUUCCCAUUUUUGUUAAUGGAAAUAUGUUUGUUCGAAGGAGUCUUCUUUUUUUCAAAUAUUUCCCCCCUGCCUUUAUCAUCUCCCUGAAUUGCACAAUCUCCUUAUUUGCCGGUUCUGUUUUCCCGAAGUUUUGCUUAUGUCUGAGAAUUUCCGGUUCUUUUAGAACCUUUAUGGGUCAGAGAUUUAUGAUUUGGCAUCUUUUUUGGGCUUUUUGACUUCUUUUGUAAAAGCAAAUCCGGUGUGUAGUCGAUAAUUAUAUAAAUACUCCUCUCUAUGUCUAGUCAAUCAUUCAUUUGUUCAAUCUUACACAUAAAUAAUGCAGCAGCCGUAGGCAUAUUUCAAUGUGUUUUGAAGUGUAAGAAUUUUGAUUUAAAUUUUCAGCUCAACAUCACUAGAGUGAUAAAACUUCUCAUGGAAUUCAUUCACGUGCAGAUAUAUAUGUGUUUGAAUUAAUUUUUUGGUAGUCACUAGUCAAACUUAAGUGAAGCUUACUACAAUAAUUUAUCCUCCAAUUAUUCCACUAAAAUAUGAAAUCCUGUCAGUUUAAAAUUCCAUUCUCAUCAUAUAUAAUAUGAUCCAUUCAACUGAAUUUGUUAAUCUGCUGCAACACGCGUUAGGAGUUGAAUCCAGAUUAACAAUUGAAUGUAUCAAUCUAAUGGUUGUCUAAAUUAGCCUUUUGUAUCAGUAAAUGUUGAUUAGGCUUUUUAAUCACUUUUGUUUUACCCUAGUCAACUUACUAUGUUUCUUUCUUGGUCAGUAAUGAACUGUAUUUUGUCUUCAGGAAGAUGCAUGAAUUCUCUACCGUUGAUGGUUUUGUGGAGAUAAGUGAAUGCAUGGCGGAUAUGAUCAAAUACGUGGCUAAUGAACCAUCUGUGGGGCUUUACUUUAUCCAACAACAUGCUCAAAAUGCAGUGCCAAAUGUCAUUAAAGCUGACAAAAAUAUUGUCGAAAAGGUUCACGAAACAACUUUGCACACUGAAGACUUGGAGGACUCUAUUACAGCAGUUCGAUCAAUGAAAGAGUGUGGAUUUUCCAUAGUCAAUGAGAUGAUAGGUGACAUAAACAAAUCUCUGGAAAUUAUGAAAACAAAAAAACCAAAAAAAGGGUCAAUCCAUUCAUCAACAUCAUCACCAAAUUCUCAGACAGAAAGAACUCGUUUUUGGGGCAAUCAUGCUUUUUAUGCUCAGGAAGGUGAUGAUAAAAAGAGUAACUAUUUUUCAAAUGUUUUAAAGUCGGCGAAACAGAAGGUUAACAGUCUCAAGUGGCAACAGCCUGAUGGUAAAGGAUCAGUAGAUUCCAACGAAGAGAAGCUACGAUAUCCUGAUUUGCCAUGGUCAAUCACAUCAGACGGCAUAACUUCAUCAUUACAGGGAACCGAACCUGAUGAUUUGCCUAUAUCGAGUCAGGUUGAAGACGAGUCUCAACACGAACAGACCGAUGAAAGUGAUAUUAGCAUUAAGUUGUUGUCAUUGUCAGAAAGGUUUGAUGACUUCAGAGCUAAUAAAGAAGCUAAACUAGAGGAGUGGCUUGAAGGAACUAGCAAACAUGAUGAUUAUUGUGACGCAGAUGAAGUAGAAAGAGGUUAGUUUGGUUACACUUGAUGAAAACUUCAGCAUACACAUUCACCAAUUGAUCUGCUAUGCUGUAAUACAUUCUUUGAACAAACAUGAUACACCGUUGGAUUAAUCAAUGUAUCACACUGCAUUCUUUUUUCAUGAAAUUUCAAUGUUGAUUUCCUUAUGUCAACAGGUAAGAAGCUUCUCGAGAAUGAUGAGAAGAUAAAUACUGGAAACAGUGGAUUCGAAGGUGAAGUGCUAUUGCAUGCAGUUCAGCCAUGAACCACUAAGAUAAGCCUGGUUGUAACAUGUUACUCAAUUUCAAAGGAUUAUUACAUUUUAGUCCUUAGAGUUUUGGGAAGAUUCAUUCAAGUCUUAUAAAUUGUAAUAGCAAAAUUGACCCUGUUAUAUGAUAUUGUUUUUGAAAUGUUCAGAGGUCCCUCCUUGUUUUAGUCAUUGAUAGACACCACAGUUGCAACAGAAGUGACCCGACAAUAUGAUUUGCAAAGUGAUUUGUUUCUGUUUGUGUUUCCUUUUCAUGUUUUAGUGGCCACAUGUGACAUUUAUGGUGCACUGGUUUAUUAUUAAUAUAAUACUUUUAUUUGUCCAGGCACUUGAUAUUAUCUUUGAGUCUAGUCCAAGUUCACAAGCGAUAUUCACAGUGCAUUAGUUUUCAAGUGAUGUGCACAACACACACAUAUGUUAAUUUUGUUUUUGAAAAGUCAAUGAUUUAUUGAUAAAGGGAUGCAUGAAGAAUUGUUUUUGGUAGUUGAAAAAGUGUUUAUAGGUUCGUCAGUUCAGUGCAUUUCCUUCCCGUGUAUGAAAUAAUUAUUUUUUGUGCAAUAUAUCACGGAUAAUGUACCUUUCAAUUGAAGGCUCGGCUGGAUAUUCAACAUUUUUUUUAUUUUUAUAGAAAUGAUAUUGUCAACCUAGAAGAUUACAUUGGAGUAAGUUGGUUCCACGACAAAGUGGUAAGAAAGAUGGGGAAUGGAAGGAAUACGAGUUUUUGGAAAGUUCCAAGGGGGAAACACCAUUUUAUUUAAAAUAUCCGAGACUUUUUGAAAUAUCAAACCAAAAGGAGGUAACAGCGGAGGAGGUGAAGGGAUUGCAUAAGCAAAUAGUGAAUGAGAAUUUAUAUGGCGGCGGAAUUUAUUUGUUUUGGAGAAUAACCUUCUUAAAAAUUUAUUGAAAGAUUUGGAGGGUCAUAGGUGGUCUCACGAGGAGGAUGGUUGGAUUUGGAGGGCCGAGGAUGGUGAGGCAUGCUGAGGAUAUAGUGGAAGAGAUUAAGGUAACAUCGUGACGUAGGGUUUGAGGUGGGGUUUAGUAUGGGAAAGAGAAGUUGUUUCCUAUCAUGGGAAAGUUUUUUUUACCAUUAGAUUAAAGAGGAGUACUAAUUUUAUCAUAUAACUGCCUACAUCAUAUUUUUUCUCUCUUUUAUGCUAAUUUUUUUUUCUUGUUUAUUAAGAUAUGAAAUUUUAGACCCAGUUACUGCCUACAUCAUGAUAACAAAUUCACUCACGUUACCUGGACUAUAUCACGUUCAUGAAGAUACUUCAAGCCAUUUAAAAUCUGUCAUACCAUUUGAAUCACUACUCAUGGAGGUUGAAUGAGGGUGAGGAGUGAAUUCCAGAUUGUGAGAUUGCUGCAAGUGGUGGGUGAGAGAGAUGGAGAAGAGUGAAAAAAAAAUUAUGUAUUGAGUGUCUAUGAUAAAAGCAUGUUCCUUAUUAAAUCUAAUGGUCAGAAAAAACUUUCCCAUGAUAGGAAACAAGUAUCCUUUCCCAUACUAAAUGCCACCAGUAGGGGUGGGAAUAGGCCAGGCCAGACUUUGAUAGGCCUGAGCCUGACCUACGAAAUAAAUCACAAGCCUGAGCCUGGCCUAUGGCCUAUCAUAGGCCGUUUUUCUAGGCCUGGCCUGACCUAUUUAAAAGUCUGGACUGGCCUGAAAGCCUACUUACAGGCCUACUUCACAUUAAGGCCAUCAAAUAGUUCAUUUGGCCUACUAAAUAGGUUAAACAUGUCUUAAAGCCUACUUAAAAGCCUAUUUCACUACAAGUAAAUUUCAACUAGAUUAAAGCCUAUAACAACAAAGCCUAUUAAGGGACUAAUAGAUAGAGAAAAAGAUGUUUAUAUUUUUAAUAUAUGCAAUUAUUUUAAUAUAAAAAAAAUAUUUUUCAAUAAAUAAGUAUUAAUAGGCCGGCCUAUUAGGCUUAACAGUCUUUUUUUGAAGCUUAAGCUUGACCUAUUUAACUAAACAUGCUUUCUAAAAAGCCUAAGCCUAUCUACUAAACAGUCCAGGCCAGGCUAGGCCGUAGGCCCCUGUAGGCCGGCCUGGCCUAUUCCCAACCCUAGCCACCAGGGUUUGAACAUAUUAAAAAUCCCAACUUGUACUAUGAAUAAUGUUGAAACUCAAAAGGUGGAUCAAAUCAACGAAAUGGCAACAAUGGAGGGAUUAAAAUUUGCAAUUAAGCCUUUUUAACCUCUCCACUGCCAUCGAAAGCAAGAAAAAUCAAAGUACCAUAACCUAGUUUUAUAUAAAAAAAAGUAUCAUAACCUCUUAAUAAAAUAAUGAAAAAAUAGUUUACAAGUCUUAAUUCAAUUGAUUAAAAUAUGAGAAUUAUUAGAUCGAAUGUCUUAAGUGUGUUAAUUUUUGAUUGCUAUACCGUCUAUUAAGACAAAUGAAAAGAAGUUCCAAUAAAUUUUUAACUACUAUAUCCUCCGCGUGCAACUGUCAAGCUCUCAAUAAGAGUUUUAAGGAUGCUGCAGCCUGCAUACCCAAUAGUAAAUUAGACCCACGAAUUUGAUUAAGAUAAAAAAGACUUGCACCCUCCCAUCUUAACGCUAUUGACUUUAAUAUGAAUUUUUAACUAUGCUGUUACAUUAAAAAAAUGAAAAAGAAAUAAAGAAGCUUAUGAGUUUUCAUUGAAGCUUAAAAAAUGACACUGGCCUAUUUAAAAGUAGAAAACACAAAAAACAACUGUCCUUAAAGUGUGUGACACUUGUCUUAACUCCUACACUUCAGUUCUUGUCUUUUGACCCUACAAAACAUAUUAACACUCACACGUCACAUAACUCACACGAUGUUGAAUUGACCACAUGAAUACGAAUAUCCUCUCUUUCUCUCUCACUUUCAACUUUUCCACACACUCGUGAUUUCACCGCUCCACAAUUUCAUAAUCUUAAAUAAACCGUUUUCUCCUUCACUUUUAAUUUAAUAAUAACAAAUCACCGUUCCGCCACCGCGCUUAUUCCAAACGCGCUUUUCCGCUAUGACGAGAAUGAAAAAACUCAGCCUCGCCGCUGGUGCAGUAAUCGCCACCACAUACGGUGGCACUUUGAUCCUUCAAAAUCCCUCAAUCUCCUCCAGCGACUCCGGUUCCCUUCAAGCUCUUCGGCAGAAGCUACACGCUCCGGAUGCCAUUGUUCCGUCGAGGGAAACGCAGCAGUCGGUGUUGAUAGCUGCCAGUAAGGCGAAUCCUCUUGAUGUUCUUGUUAUUGGCGGUGGUGCCACUGGUGCCGGUGCCGCGCUUGAUGCCGUGACACGUGGACUCAAGGUUGGGCUCGUUGAACGGGAGGAUUUCGCUUCCGGAACUUCGUCGCGAUCCACGAAGCUUCUUCAUGGAGGUACGUAACGUGCGCAAGUUUGGUUGCAAAUUUACAAUAUAAUAAUAGUAAUAAUAAUGAAUGAAUCAUGCGUGUUUAGAUAAUGGAUUUUUUUGUUUUUUAUUUGAUAAAUAGUUUUAACGUGUGAUUAUGACUUAUGAUGAUGAAAUCUGUAAUUUAAAAUAUUCAAUUGUAUAUAAUAUAAUUUCUUGCUUAAUGAAUCAACAUGUUUUUUUUUUUUAUUUUUUAUUUUUAAUGAGAGUGCAGUGCAACAUGUGUGAAAAUAUAAACAUCUGGUAACUGAACACAACUAACUAUAUUGUCUUGUAGCACCAAAACUUUUGAUCGAAUACCUGUUAGGACAGAUGUUGGUGUGUUAUAGUGUCACACGACACUGACCCUUGUGAUUACAUUGAAUUAUGCAUUUUUUCAAAUUAUUAUCGAUGUUGAUGCAUUGGUGUGCAUGUCGUGUCCAGUGUAUGUGCCUGUGUCCGUGUUUCAUAUUAUUGUUUCUUUUGGGAUCUGAUUUGUGCCUAAUAAUAUUGUGUUUUGACUGCUGAUGUAUUGAAAACGAGUCUUCCAUAGCAAAUGAUACAAUUUGCACAAUGUGGUGUGGAAAUAUGCAAAUGUAGAAGCACCAACUUGUGUUUUAUAUAAAACCAUUCAUGAACUCUACACCCAAUAAUUUAAACUUUUAUGAAGGUUGAUGACUAGAUUUUUUAUUAUUUUCCCUCUCGCCUUCAACUGAACCCUGUUUGAAAUGAAUUUUGGAUAAUUGAGCCCUUGUUUCCCAUUUCUAAUAUCAGUGUUUUUGUGAACUGUUAGGUGUUCGUUACUUGGAGAAAGCCGUCUUUAAUCUUGACUUUGGACAAUACAAGUUAGUACUUCAUGCACUUGAUGAGCGUAAACGGGUUAUUGAAAAUGCACCACACCUAUGCCAUGCAUUGCCGUGCAUGACACCGUGUUUUAGCUGGUUUGAAGUAGUGUACUACUGGGCGGGCUUGAAAAUGUACGAUUUGGUCGCAGGAAGACAACUGCUGCACUUAUCAAGAUAUUAUUCUACAAAAGAAUCUGUUGAUCUCUUCCCCACUCUAUUAAGGGAGGGAAAGGAUAGAAGCCUAAGGGGCACAGUUGUUUAUUAUGAUGGGCAGAUGAAUGAUUCACGUCUUAAUGUUGGAGUGGCUUGCACUGCUGCUUUAGCUGGUGCGGCAGUGCUUAACCAUGCGGAAGUGGUAUCCUUACUGAAGGAUGAUGCUGGAGAACGAAUAAUUGGUGCACGAGUUCGAGAUAAUUUAACCGGUAAGUUUUCUUUUAAUUUCUAAUUGUUACCACAUCCUCAUCCCAUAAGUGAAUAAACCUCUGCAGUCGGAGGAGAACAGUUGGUCUUAUUGUAAAAUAAAUGUGAAACUCUAGUGUUUGCUUUUGUGUAUACUUCGAAAUAGUUUUUAUAUACAAGGUUUUUAGUUUUAUCGAUAGGCUUUUUUCACUUACUAAGCAAUUGACCAACGUCAUCUAACAAUAGGUAUACUAGUUAAUAUUGACUGAAAGAUGAAUAACUUUCCCGUCAGUGUGGGAUGUAUGAUAAAAUAAAUGCAGCUUCUUUUAAGAAUAAAAAGUAAAAUUUAAUUAUUUUACCCUGAUAAUUAAUUACAUUUGUUUGCUAUUUUCUGUAAUGCAGGAGAGGAGUUUGAUACAUAUGCAAAAGUGAUUGUGAAUGCAAGCGGGCCAUUUUGUGACGCUGUAAGGAAAAUGGUCGACAAAAAUGCAAAAGAAAUGAUUGCUCCUAGCAGUGGUGUACAUAUUACACUCCCUGAUUACUAUUCUCCUGAGGGAAUGGGCUUAAUUGUUCCCAAAACUAAGGAUGGACGUGUUGUUUUCAUGCUUCCAUGGAUGGGACGAACCAUUGCUGGAACUACAGAUUCUAGUACUAGCAUUACAUAUCUUCCAGAACCGCAUGAAGAUGAAAUACAAUUUAUAUUGGAUGCAAUAUCUGAUUACCUUAAUGUUAAGGUAUGUUGUACCUGCCAGUAUAGAUAAUUUUUUUAACUCAUUACGUGUUCUUACUUUCUGAAGAGUCGGUAUGGAUAAAACACAUUGAUGUUGUUUAAUUCAUGUAGCUAAUCCCACCUAUAGGAAAGGCUGUAGUUUUUUUAUUUUUUUUUAAUGUUUUUUUACUCUUAUUUCUGAUGUUUAGAUUAAUAACUACAAGUUCUCUGAGAUAUUACUUGUUUGUAAGUAUGUUAGAUUGUCCUAGAAAAAAAAAUGGAAGACUCUAUUUCUUAUUUAAUUAUGUAUGUCCUUUUGAUUCUUGAUUAAAUGCAAGCCAACUGAUGCUGCUGAGCUGCCAAUCAAUCUAGAUGUCAUUUUAAAAUAUACCCCCUCUGUUCCUAAGUAUAAGACCCUCACGAGUUUUUUCUUUGUUCCUUUCUAAAAGACCAUAUUUGAAUUUUCAACUACAUUAAUUAUUUAUUAACUAGCAUACCCCUAAUUAAGUUACAUCUUUUUCUGCAAUCUCUAAUAAAUACUCUUAAUAUAAACAUUAGCUAAUUCUUUCUCUUGAAGGAUAAACUUGUAAAAACAAUGCCAAUUAUUAACAAAUUUAAUAUACCUACCAACUUCCUUAAUUCCCAUGAUUUACUCAAGGGGAGAUCCUAUAUUUAGGGACGGAGCUAAUAUAUAUACGUGUGUGUGUGAGAGAGAGCGCGUGUGUGUUGCAUUUUCGGUCUUACACUGUUGGCUAACAGGGAAUAAAUAACGAUGGAAAUUUUUUAGGUUCGCCGCGUUGAUGUUCUUUCUGCUUGGAGUGGCAUUCGCCCAUUAGCAGUGGAUCCAACAGCAAAAAGUACUGAGAGUAUCUCAAGGGACCAUGUUGUCUGUGAGGAUUACCCUGGUUUGGUCACCAUCACCGGCGGCAAGUGGACUACCUAUCGUAGGUAAUGAUUUAACAGCAGCUUGUUGAAGUUUGUUUAGAUGUGGUUUCACUGACUAGGCAUGACAUGUCAUUGUACUGGUAAUCUAGUUACUCUAGUUUAUAUUUACAUCACACAAAAGUUUCUAUGCAUAUUAAUAUUGUUAUGAUCUCUGUGUUUCAGCAUGGCAGAAGAUGCUGUUGAUGCAGCUAUAAAGUCUGGAAAGCUGACCCCCGCCAAUGGAUGUGUGACCAACAAUCUCUGCAUUGUUGGUGGUGAAGGGUGGGAGCCUUCUUCUUUUACAGUUCUUGCUCAACAGUAUAAGCGCAUGAAAAGUACAUAUAGUGGUAAAGUUGUCCCUGGGGUAAUGGACUCUGCUGCUGCAAGGCAUUUGUCUCAUGCAUAUGGAACAUUGGCUGAGCGUGUGGCUGCCAUCGCUCAGGUUUGCUUUUAUUGCUUUAUAUUUCUCAUUGUUAUUUUCAUUAAGCAACAAAGCAUUUACAUAUGCAUCUUACAUAAAAUGGACCGGGUGAUUUUGUACCAUCUUCGCUUUGGAGCUAUGUUUACAACUUUUCAGUUACUUUUGGGAUUCUCACACUUUAAAUGAACACAGUGCUCUGCUUUGUGUUUUUCUUUCCAUUUCUUAUAUUUAAUGAUGACGUACCUUUAUCCUUAUGCCACUAUAAUUUCGUUUUAAAAUAGUUCAACGGUUUUCUAUUUUGGUUGAGCUUGUUUGCAUUGUUUUAGAAUUUCAAAAGAAUUUGCCUAAAUGACACCAUUAGUACCGUGGUCAAAAUUGAAAACACUUUUGCAUGCAAUUUGGAUAGAAAUGAUGCAUCAGGUGAAAAUUGAGGUAGCCCCUGUCAUGGAAAAGAUGAUAGAAUUUUGCCUUUGGUGAUUUGGGCAUGUGUGGAAAAGAGCUUAAAAAGCCUCAGUGAGGAGGUUGCAUCAGAUGAAGAGUAGUCUAAUAAUUUAAGGUUGAGGGAAACUAAAAAAAUCGAAUGUUGAACCAUAAAAAAUGAUUUAGAUUUAAACAGUUAAUCAUUAGACAUGAUCUUUUUAAAAGAAUAACCAAUCCCACACAAUUGAAAAAAAAAACCCUUUGCUGUUAUUUUUGUAAGGUGUAUCAUUUUGCCAAGUUACAAGACUUCAUAUUACAGUCUGGUGACGGGUUGAUGUGAUUUUUUAGAUCAUGCUAUUGAUUGUAAAUAAAAGAUCUUGUAAACCAUAGUAAGGCCGUUCAUUUCAAUUCUCUUGCGUUUUUAUGUUUACUUUGGGAGUGGUGGUGUUGAUAUUCCAACAUCCUCUUUUGAGAUAUUUUUGUAGUGUUAUUUAUGGUAAUAAUAAUAAUGUUUAUCAGCUUCAUGGGUGUUAUAGAAGGUUUGUCAGCUUCUGCUUUUCAUAAAAUUGACUACAUUUUGUGUUUCAGAAUGAAAAUUUGGGCAAGCGACUUGCCCACGGUUACCCAUAUCUGGAGGCAGAGGUAGCUUACUGUGCUCGUAAUGAAUACUGUGAAUCUGCUAUCGAUUUCAUUGCAAGGAGGACUCGUCUUGCUUUCCUUGAAACUGAUGCAGCAAGAAGGGCAUUGCCUCGUGUGAUCGAAAUAUUGGCAAAUGAACACAAAUGGGACAAACCAAGGCAGAAGGAAGAGUUGCAGAAGGCUACAGAUUUUUUGAAGACUUUUAAAUCCUCAAAAAAUGCCCAGUUUCAUGAUGGGAAGCACAGUUAGUAAGUGCAAAAAACAACACAUAUCUGUUAACUAUACGUUAAUGAUGGCGCCGUCACAUACCAAACAUUUUGAUAGUGUUAACUAAUUUUUGUGUAAUUUUUCUCAGGUUGAGGACUUUGAUGAACCUGAAAGUUUUCACAUGACAAACAUUUUGGUAUUCAUUUCCGCUGAUCAAUUGGUGAAUAUGCCCACUAUAGAAAGUGGCUAUAUACAUUUAAAAUCAACUUCUACACGAAUUUGUCUCGAAUUUGCCUGCAAAAAUAAUGCUUGCAAGUUGGAUAGAUUUUUUUGCACAGUUACCUGCCAUAAUAAUUUUCUUGAGAUUGAUUAGACUCUCUACCUCGCCAAAGUUGUCCACGAGAUAAGGACUUGAGGGUUAUGUUUUUGGUUUGACUCUGAUCUGUACAUUUUGUUGUCCUUUUCUCCAUAAUAUUUGAUGUCAAUUAACAUUGAAAAUUUACUCAAGCGAAGGAGUGCUUCAUGAUACUUCGAUAUGGAUUGAGAUUAUCUGCAUGUUAAGCUUUGUUACAUUACAUAUAAUAGAAAAAGAUAGUAGGUUAUUUUACUAUGGUAUUUAAGAAAACAGUAUUUUGGAUGGAUAAACAAUUUAUUUGCGGCUUACAGCACAAAAGCUUAUCAUGAUAAGUGCUUAUGUAUAAGCUUGCUUAAACUAUUUUUAUAACGAAACAAAAAUAACAUUAAAUUGUUUUUGUAUAUUCUAUAAGUUGUUUUAUAUUGGAGAGUUUAUAAAAUACGUUGAAAAAAGCUUAAGAAAAUUGUUAUUUUCAUAAAUUCUUCCGGUCUUACAAAACUUAAUGUCGGUAAUUAAAUUCAAACAUGUUAAUCCAAACAGAUCCUAUACGUAAAAAAAAAAUAAAAAAAAUCAUUAUAUAUAAGUUUCUUUAGUCGUAUACAAAUAAUGAAAUUUUAUGAUAUGUUCACUCUUGACUAUCAUUUACUUUUUACUAGACAAACUAAGUUCAUAUUAUUAUUAUCCAACAAAACUAUUUUACUUUACAUUAUGAUUUAUGAUAAAUAAAAGAAAGAGAUAUUAAUAUUUUGUUAUGUCGAGUAGUAAGCUGUGGAAGUAUAAAUGAAUUGAGAGAGAGCUAUCAAAAUAUUACUGAGGGAACCCAUACUAUUCCCCGGGUAUGCAAAGCCAACGGAUAAGAUAGAAAAGAACGAGAGCAGCUACAGAUACAAUUCCCAGUUUUGUUUUGCGGCAAUUUGAAAAAGAAAUGGGUUCAGCGGCAACAAUGGCGAUGACAGCACUCUAUUUCACCACCAUCAAAUCAACCAAACUCACUUCUACCUUCCGCACUCUCCCCCGCUUCACUUGUUCCUCCUCUUCCAAAUUCAACAUCUCUUUCUCUCCCUCUAACCCCAAACCCAAGCCUACUCCUCAGCCCAAAACUCAAACCCCCCACGACGACGAUGACGAAGGUCCUCUCAUGAUUCCGUGGAUUGUUCGCGGCGAAGAUGGCAACUUCAAGCUUCUAUCAGAGCCUCCUCCCAGUUUUCUCAAAGAAAUGGCUAAUGCUCAAACCGGUACCAAAAAAUCAGAGAAGGACCAAAUUACCAAAAACAAGAAGAAGGGUGAAAAAGAAACCAAGAUUCGUGCGGUCACAGCGCCGCCUAAAUAUUCUAAAGCUGCAAGGAGAUUCUAUAAUGAAAAUAUUAAGGACGACUCCGGUACUCGUCUCAGUAAGGUUCUUGCCGCCUCCGGAGGUGAUAUUUCGUUACCAUUUACUUCCAAUUUCUAUAAUGUUUUAACAAAGGCGUGUCCGGUGUUCGACUCAGUCACAACAUUUGUCACAUCUGAUUACAUUCAAUUAUGUUAUUUUCUGUGUCAAUGUCGUGUAUGGUGUCUACGUGUGCUUCAUAGCUUCUAAAUCAUUUUGUAAAGUGUAAAGUUGUUUUAAACUCUUCAUAAUUGUUUAAUAAUAUUCGGAUUGUAUCAGAACUUAAUGUUUUUAUAUGAAACAGAAAUAACAACAUAAUCGAACUUGUUUAGCUUGAAAAGUAGGGAGGCUUAGUUAUUUGAAUUAAAAAAUGCAUCUAAUGAGCCAAAAUAUUGGACUAAAUGUGCGUAGCUAAAUUUGUAAUCGUGCUCUUCUGUUUUCAGUUGCAUCUAGGAGAAGCUGUGAAGACCUUAUUUUUAAAGGCAAGGUUACCGUUAAUGGUUCUGUCUGUAAUACACCUCAGGUUUGUUCCCCGCCGUUAUGAAAUUUCACCAAAUUAGGUUUUUUAGCAGCAUAGUGUUAGUGUUGAUAUACCAUGAUUUCAUUGAUCACUUCAUGGAUUAGAGCUUUUAGGUCCAUUUUAUGUAAGCAGGUAUUAAUCAGAACUAGUCAAUAUUGUUUAAGGUAGUAUACUAGUUGGUUAUGACUAGUUAGAAGUUGGUUAUAUUAGUUAUACGUUAGGAUCACUAUAUAAGGUGCAUCCUAUGCCAUCAUAUCAAUUUUUUAUUCAAUCAUAACUAACUAGUAUACUACCUUAAACAAUAUUGACUACUAAUUCUAAUUAAUAUCUAACUAUAUCUAACAUUGCUUUUAAAAAAGCUAUAUGAUUUUGUUUUUCAGUUUUUCUUCUUCUAGAAACUAAUGUUUUUGGCUUAUGAGAAAAACACUUUUGUGGUGUGUAGACUAAAGUGGAUCCCUCAAAGGAUAAUAUCUAUGUCAAUGGAAGCCGCCUUCCUAAGAGGCAGCCUCACAAAGUUUAUCUUGCCUUGAACAAACCAAAAGGGUAUGUAAAAUGAUAUGAUAUCCUAUGCAAAUGAAUUCAAAAGGGUAUGUAAUAUGAUAUCCUAUCCUGAUAAGUGAUGCAAUUACAUUUUCACAGGUACAUAUGCUCAUCUGGGGAAAAGGAGUCUAAAUCUGUUAUAAGUCUAUUUGAUGAUUUUUUGAGCAGUUGGGUAUGUGUCACUUUGAGCUUUAUUUAUAUUUAAUUAUAGACAGUGUUCUUUCUUUUUUUACUUGGUAGAAAUCUUUUGAGAUGAUAUGUAAUUUUCCGUCUUUUUAGGAUGUAGUUUUAUAUUUCUCCAUUUAUAAUAAUGUUCUCUCCAUCACCUGAAAACAAUUUUAUUUCUAGGAUAAAAAGCAUCCAGGUGUACCCCCACCAAGAUUAUUUACUGUAGGGCGCCUUGAUGUUGCUACUACUGGGUUACUUAUUGUGACUAAUGAUGGUAUGUGGUUUCUUGUGAAAGCAAUUUUAUCUCUGUUGAGUGAACAGUGGUUCUGUUAAUCUAAACAAACAGUUUCAUCUAAUACUUUAUCCAAUGGUUCUUGUUCGCAGGAGAUUUUGCUCAAAAACUUUCACAUCCGUCAUCUAAUUUUUCAAAAGAGUGAGUUAUGAGUUUGACUUGUGUAUUUUUUUUCCUGAACUUUUUCAUUAGUUUGGAUCGGUAUCUUAUCUAUGGGAACAGAAAGAAUACAUCACAAGAUUCGUACUUGGACUUUAUAAAUGCUUUCUAAUUUGAUAUUUUUCUGUGACUUAAAUCAUUAUGAUUUAUGUAUGGCUUAUGUUAUUUUUCGUUUUUGGUCUGUGUUAUUAUUUCUAAGAUAAUUAAAGUUCUCCAUUCCUGUGAAUUCUCUCAUUUUCCAAAACAUUACAUUUGUUUGAUCAGAUACAUUGCAACAGUUGAUGGUCUAGUUCAUAAGAGGCACUUAACAGCCAUAAGUGAGGGAACAACAAUUGAGGGCGUCCAUUGUGUACCUGAUAGUGUAGAGUUACUUCCACGUAUGCCGGAUACACAAAGAUCUCGACUUCGUAUUGUGGUAAAUAUAUCUAUUUUUGAUCUACUAUAUCAAUUAUGCCACCCAACACUGGUUGUGAAUUUUUAACCACCACAUUAGCUGAUUAUGACAUGAUAUCUUGAACUAUAGUUUCCUGAUGCAUAACGUUAAUAAAGUUGUCUUUUAAUCCAUACUUAGUGUUUUAGGAAUAUGGUAUACCGUAAGUAUGAAGUUAUUGACUAUGUUUCAUGUGACACUACUUUGGAUCAAUUCUAGUAGAUGCUGCCACACAUACCUAGAUAUCUCUGCAUUGAAAUUUUGAUUUUCUUUGACUGCAGUCAUAGGUUGAAAUGUUUUAAUAGUUAUAUGAUUUUGAGUAUUUUAAUUUUCCGCCUCUUAUUUAAACUUCAAAGCAAAGGAACUCUCAAGUGAAUAUUUUUUUUUCUUUUUCUUUUUUCUGAAUACCCCAUUUUAUUCCAGAACCCUUGAUGUUCAACACUAAAGAUAGUCUCUUUAAAAAAACUCUGACCAUUAAUGUGAAAAUGGGCAUGUCAUAUGGAAAAAUUGGUUCACAUUUUAGCAAUAAUACAGGCCAUUGACAUCCUUAUAUCUGCAUUAUCAAGAUGGCUUCUUUUUAGUCUGUUCAAUUCAAUAUGCUUGUUAGAGCAUUCAAAUUGUGAGAUGAUGAAAAAACAGUCGAACUUAGUUGACAUAUGCUUGCUUGAUUUAAUUUGGAUUCUCAUAGGUUCAUGAUGGAAGGAAGCACGAAGUUCGUGAACUUGUUAAAAGUGCUGGACUUGAGGUAACCUUUAAUUAUAUAUAUAAUUCGUUAUAUGACCCUCAAAAUGCGAAAAGUUCUAAUGCUUGAGCAUGUGUAAUAUGCAAAAAUGAUGAAAUUUAGUAAACACAAUCCCAAUCAAACUAGACAAUAUUUCGUGUUUCACAUUUUUUAGCAGUUUAUUUAUCAUGUAAUUGAUAUUUUUCUCACAUAUAUUAUCAAAAUUGUUAGAUCCAUAAUAUAAUACUCUCCAUGUUGUUUGAUAUUUUCUUUAUUUUAUGAUGUUGAAUAAAUUCUUGUUAAUAGCCUUGCUUUAUGUUUUGUUUCAUAUUUCAGAUUCAUUCAUUAAAGCGAGUUCGCAUCGGUGGUUUUAGACUUCCACCAGACCUUGGGUAAAUUUUGUGCUUUUAAUUGUCGUCUUUAGCUCUCGCGUGCGGGAGUCUUUUUCAGUAGCAGCAGCAAUAUUCAAAUAGAAUCCCAACAAUAAUAUUUCAAUUGAUUUUUUUUUUUUUUGUACAAACGGGUUAACUAGUUUUCAUCUGUUGUACUCUUAUUUCAGGAUAGGGAAGUAUAUUGAGCUAAAUCCAACAAAUCUGAAAGCAUUGGGAGGAAGAGUUAACAAAGCUAAUUCUUAAUUUGUUGGAGUUGUAAAUCAUCCUCAUGCUUAUUCGUAUUUGGACAAUCUGAAGCUAUCAUCAAAGAGUUGGCCAAUGUUUUUUUGAUUUGAGCUAUUGGAUUCUGAUACACGGGGCAUUACUUGAGAAAUAUUUUGAAUAGCCACAGACUUUCUGGAGCGUUUGACAUCAUGCCACACCGAGGCUCUCGCAAUCAAUCAUCAAACAUAGCUACAUAUUUUAGAAGAAUUGGGUAAAAAAUUUAAACUGGAUGGGAAGCGGAUGAGCUUUUCAUAUGAUCAUGCAUGAGGUCGGGAUAUUGGUGGUAGCUUUAUUAAAUGUAUGUAUUGUAAUUUGUAAAUGGUGAUGCUGUAUAACCUAAUGACGUUAGUUUAGGCAGCUUAUAGCAUACAAGUGAUGUACCAAACAUUUAUGAAUAAAAUUGCAAGCAUCGUAUCAUUACCACUCUCUAACCUAAGCCAAUGAUUCCGGACCGUUCCUCCAACAUUGCCUUUGCCAGGUAUCCACCCACAUCAAGUAGUGCACGCGAGCUGGUUUCAAACCCAGAAAGUUAUCUUUUUUUUUUUUUCUUGUCCAAGAAAUUUUGGCAUGACUAUUACAUCCCCUCUUUCUUUCACGCCCAUACCAAAUUGUCCAACUCGUCUUCCCCUUGAUAACAUGAAAAAGAGGAAGUAACUCGGGAAUUCCUCACCGUUAUUACAAUUUGGGUCUCACAUCCCUUUAUUUGGAUCCAAUAAAGGGAUUCUUUGUAUUAAGAGAAUUGUAAAGGUUAUAUAAAAGCUUAAAAGUAUUUAAGAGAGAGCUUCCAAAUUCGUUCAUUCAAAAGAGAAGCAACAAACAUGGUUACACACGGAAUCAAGAGCUUCCAGAUGAAAAAACAUACAGAACAAUUAUGAUGCAUAUUGGUUUGAUUCUUUUAAAAAUGAAAUGUAAUAUAAUAUUUAAAUAUAUACAUAUUUUACUUUUGUAAAAUUAUAUAUAUUGCCCACAGUCAGUAUUUUUAUACUCUCAGUGGAGAACAACUAUAAAUAUAUACUGCCCAAAAAACCAUUUUAUACCCUCAGACGACUGAAGAUUUUUAUACUCUCGGUAUAAAAAUAAAAAACAAAGACUCUCCCUGAAAUUAUAAAUAGUUUACGCAAAAAAGAAUUAUUACGUCGCCUGAGAGAUUCGAACUCUCGCGGGGAAACCCCAUGUACUUAGCAGGCACACGCCUUAACCACUCGGCCAAAGCGACAUUUUUAUUUAGUGACUUGUUUUAGUGUUAUAUAUUCUUUUUGAAAAAUAGUAAUACGUAUUUUUGUAUAAUGAAUUUGUGUUACAUGAAUUGAACAUAGAACUGAAGAUGCAGAAGUUGAAAUUGAAAUGAUUCUCCAUUGAAUAAUCGAAUCAAAAUUUGGUAAAACGAAGAUUGUAAUUGUUUUUCAACAAUGGCUCAGAUUCCUAACCUUGAUAAUGCUCCCGUUAAUCUCACAUCCAUCAGGUCAAUUUCAAUUCCACUUCAAUUUCACUUUUCAUCUUAAUCUUAAUCUAAAUUUUAAUUUUUUUUUUUGUUGAAUUCAGGGAACAAUCUCAAAAGGAACUCAUCAACAUCCUCAAGAAUGUAUUUUCUUCAGAACUCCGAAAUUUGUUUGAUUUUGCUUUCUAUUCAUUUUACGGCACUGAUCAUUGAUUUCUGAACCGUCUGUGACUUUGCAGGUUCGAGGAAAGAAGUGUUUGGUGAUUGAUCCCAAGCUUGGUGACUCUCUCUCGCUUACCAUACAAACUUCCAUUCUCAAGGCAAUUUUCUUUACUUUAUUUGUCGUUUACUGUUUUUUAUUUUGUUAAUUCUUAUUUUCUAGUUAAUACAAUGCUAGAGUUACAUCAUGUUUCGUUAAAUACCUUAAUUAAGCGUUUAACUUAUAAGUGCUUAUGUAUAAGCUAUUUCUGUAACAAAACAUAAAAUAAAGCAGUAUAUGAAGUGCUUAUGGAAAUUAAGCUGAAAACAACUUAUGAACAUGCCAUAAGUUGUUUCUAAAAGCUCUCCCAGACAGUCUCACAUGUGGUUUUUUCCCCUGUUUAAGUUCAAAUAAGCCAACUGGAACAGACCCUGGUGUUUUUUUAUUGAGUUAUAACAUGAUUUAACAUUUUCGUGUACCCUCAAAAGAAUUAUGACAUUUAACUCAUUAACAGGAGCAAGGAGUUGAGUUGCGGCAUCUUUCAGCUGAGCCAAUUCAAAGUGACUGUAACAAAGUGAUUUUCCUUGUGCGCUCUCAACUUAAUUUGAUGAGAUUCAUAUGCUCUAAUGUUCACGACGACAUAUCAAAAGGACUACAGAGAGAAUAUCAUGUUUAUUUUGUUCCCCGCCGCACUGUUGCUUGUGAGAAAGUAAGCCUUCCUUUGAAAUCAAUCAUUUUACAUUGACUUUAGCAUAAUGUUUUUCUUUUUAAAGCACGAGAUCUUGACGCGGACAAUGUAAAAUGAUUGUUGUUCGUGUGCAGGUUCUUGAGGAUGAAAAAUUACAUCAUAUGAUUACAAUAGGGGAAUAUCCCUUGUAUAUGGUGGCAAUGGAUGAGGAUGUACUAUCAUUUGAACUUGAUCUUUCUUACAAAGUAUGCUGCUACUAUUACGGCUUGUGAUUGAUUUAUCGAGUUUCUUUUAGUGCUAUAUUUUUAAAUUUCAAGUUUCUUGCAUGUAGUAUUUUGCUUAAUUAUUUAUCCUUGUUUGCCUUCUCUAUGUGCUAGGAAUGCCAAGUUGAUGGUGAUGCAAGCUCACUUUGGCAUAUUGCAAAGGCCAUUCACAAACUAGAGGUUGUAGUUUUGAAUCCAUCAUGCUGUUUGUUUUUCUUAACACGGAAGCUUUAACCAUGUAACAUUUAACCUCAAACAAAAAGAGAGAGUCCAAUAGAAUUCUCCCUUGAAUAAACAUCAACUUCAAUUCAACAUAUCAUGAACAUAAGUCUAACAUGAUUCUAAUGUGUUUUGUUAACUGUGAUUUUAUCAUUUAGUUUUCUUUUGGAGUGAUACCACAUGUGAGGGCAAAAGGAAAAGCAUCUGUGCGUAUUGCAGACAUCCUAAACCGAAUGGAAGCUGAGGAACCGAUUAACUCAUCUGAUGUAAUCAUGCACUACUCUGUUUUCUCUUAUAGCCAAAGAAUAAACAAAAGCAAAUUUAUGAAAUUGCAGUCAUUUAAAAUACACAGUAAUCCUAUUAUUGUUUUCUCUUUAUUCAGAUGGCUGUGCCAGAGAUAAAUACAGUAAUCCUCUUAGAUAGAGAGGUAAUUCCUACUUGCACUUUUACAUUUUUAAUUGUAUGUCCUUUUAAGGUCUUGCUAUUACAUUUGUUUGGAUUCAACAUGGAUGAUGGUUAUUUAACUUAUGCUUUGAAUGCAGGUGGACAUGGUUACUCCUUUGUGUUCCCAGUUAACGUAUGAGGGGCUAAUUGACGAGGCAAGUUAAUGCAAAAAUAGCCUACAUCUUUGGAAUGAAUAUUAUUGUAUAAUUUUUUUUAUCACUGUUAUUUUAUUAGGCUUUUCUCUUGAUAAUAUUCCCUAACAAGUUUUUUCAACUUAAUAAACUCUUCCCCUUUGUUCCUUUUUGAUAUUGUAAGUUUGAAUAAGGAAAAUUUUCUAACGGUGUUCGGUCAAGGAGUUUUAAAGUUGUACAUUGGGUUGAUGGAUUAUUGUACUGCCAUGAGUUGGUCAUGAGAAAAAUGUUACUAUACUACGUGCAAAUAGGUUUGAAAACACGACUGUUUUACUUCUAAUUACUGAAUUUGUAUCGUUGCAGUUUCUGCACAUCAACAAUGGUUCUGUUGAGAUUGAUGCAUCUGUUUUGGGUCUUCAACAAGAAGGAAAGAAAACUAAAGUCCCACUUAAUUCAAGGUAGGUUACUUUUAUUCGCUUGCUCAUCUAGUUUGCGAUGUAAUGCAUUUUUUCAAUGACAUAAGGGGUCUAUAUCAUUUUUUUGUUACUCUUCCAAUCCUCAAGAGAGUCAUAAUUUCAGAACCUCGUUUGUUAUGAAAUGAUUCUGAUUACAAUUACAAAUGGUGCCAAUAGUUAUAUAUAGCUGGCCUUAUCAUUCACUAACAAUGACUUAAUCUACAGCAACUCUGCGAGUUAGUUACAGCGAAGUUGGUUGUCACCUUACUAACUACAACUUCUAUAUUCUCACACUUAACGCUUAGGUGUGUGAUUGGGGUAACCCUAGAAGUGCACAUUCCUAUGACUGCCUUACACAAACGACACUCAGAGGGGCUGCAGAAUAGACAUGCAAAAACAAAAAAACACUAGUUUGCUUUGUCAAAUGUUGAAUCCCUCUAGACGCCUGCUGAUACCUAUAUUAUGACUAAUUUCAGAAUGAUUUUCUGCUUAACUAUUUCACGUACCAAAACUCAUGCAUAUACAAUGUUUCAGAAGCUAACUCAAGCAAACAAAGGGAUUACAACUAUAUGUUGCAUUCUUUUUUAGUGCCCAAUGACAUUAAUUAAUCUAUGUUGAACAACCCCACUUAUGGGAUAAGGUCUGGUUUUGGGUAAAUGUUAUUGCUGUAGUAAAAAUGAGUUAACUUUAAGAAGCUUUCGCUUCUAUCAUCCUUUACAUUUUUACUCUUAUUAAAGGAAAUCCAUAUUCACUCCAUAUCAUGAUAUUUAGUAAAAAAGGAUUUUAACCUUUAAUUGUGCUUUCAUUACUAUUAUUCUUUGUUAUGUUAUGGUAUAUGUAUAUUAAAAAGAAAUAUGUGUCUCUAGAUGUGCCCCUUUUCUCUUCUCUGAGACCUCUUUCAAACGAUAGCUCAAAAUCCUCUUUAUUUCUUUACACCUUUUAUUUUUCAUUUUCUUGUAAUAUUCAUUAAAAUAAAAUUUAUUUGCACGGUCUGUGUUAUUAUUAGGGAAAGUAAAGGAAAUGUUUUGAUAUUGAUUGAUAUGAAAAUCUUGAUUUGGAGAUCAAGUUAUGGAGUGUUUAUAAAGAUGCUUAUCCUUCGCCACAGUGAAACUAAUCCUACACCACUGAUAACUAACUUUGAGGCAGUUACAAGCAAUAUGCUGAUGUGGCAUUUGUUCUAUUUUGGCGCUUGUAUAUUUACAGGACACACCUCCAAUGGUGAGGUCUUCAUCAUUUAAGACCCGGUACCUAAUAGGUACCCCCAUUGGAGAAAUUUUUCUUGGGGGUCUUCUAAGACCCAGGGUCUCACUUAAGACCCUUAUUCUUAAGUGGACCCCACACUACUUUUUAUUAAAAUAAUCAUUGUAUUGUUGGAAUGUAAAUGAUGAAGAGUUCGUGGUGGGACCGAUUUAGACCUUUUGUCAGAGGGUCUCCAUUGGAGUGACUGAGUGCUUAUUAGGUACUGUUAUUAAAAAAUUAUAAAAGAGUGAUGUGUACACAUGGGAUCCGUUUAAGAACUCCAAAUUGAGAGUCUCCAUUGUGGAUGCUCAGCUCGCACUGCAAGCUUUGACAGCUAAGCUAGAAAUAGAUCUUUAGUCAGACAUCCAUUUUCUGUUUCUUUACACGUUUUUUUUUUUCAUUUACCUUUUGCUGAUAUUAUUUCUUAAACUAAUAUUUACUUGCAUGUCUGUGUUAGUGACAAGCUUUUUAAGGAGAUACGGGAUCUCAACUUUGAAGUUGUUGUCCAGGUUGAUUCAUUUUUACCUCAUAUAUAUCAUAGUUUUGUCUUAAUCUCUCUCUCCCCAUCUCUCUUUCAAACACACACACACACACACACGUGCUGUAUCUUUGGUUCCCUUGUAGAUCUAUUUUCUUAGUUGCUGUCUGCAGUAUUGCAGAUUUUGCGUCAAAAAGCAACAUCCAUGAAGCAAGACUAUACAGAUAUGACAACAACAGUGAGUAGAUGAUCUUACACUUGAGCCUUGAUUUUACUGUUGAUUUUGUCAAAAUAAAGAAGAAUGUUUUGAGACCCACUUUUCAUGUAAAUUAAUCCCAAUGAAUCCACUCAAGUCUGGUAUUUCCUUUUCUUUCUCUGGAGAUCUUAGACAUCAAGUACUCUUAAUAGUUUUACUGCUAUACUUUAUACAGUUGUAUGCUUGUUUGGUAGAAGCAAUAUUUAAUCAGUGAAACAAAUUGCUGUUUGAGAUUUGAAUAUGGUGUUUGUUCUUUAAAAUUCAGCAAUAUUUAAAUAAGUUCCUUCCUUAAAAAAAAAAAAAAAGUUCUUAUAAACUUUUGAAAACUAAAAUCAAUUUGUAAGUAGUUUCUGAUAUAUUUCUUUUCAUGAUAUCCAGACGCAGUCAGUUUCAGAGUUGAAGGACUUUGUAAAAAAGCUAAACUCAUUGCCAGAGAUGACAGUAAGAAAAAAUAUCAUUAUAAUAUUGAAAUUUCUUUAGCAGGAUCCUCAUAAUAAGAAUCAGAUCAUAAUAUUGUUUACAUUUUUUGCCAGAGGCACAUAAAUCUCGCUCAGCACCUAUCAACGUUCACGUCAAAGCCUUCUUUUCUUGGCCAGCUUGAUAUGGAGCAUACAAUUAUUGAGUCCCAGAGUUAUGACAUGUGAGUUAGUUUUGUAUAGUAUUAUAUUUUAAUUUGAUAGAAUUUAAAUACCUAUAUAUGAUUCGAGCGGGCUAUGGCAAUUUGUUAUCCUGUUUUGGAGGUCCUGAUGCUAAAGUUUAUGAUGGGUUAAUAAACUUAGAGGUGUUCGUGCUUCAUAGUAUUUUAGGAUAUACAUCAUUAAGUAGAGUGAAAGUAAGGUAUAUUUACUUAUAUUUUAAACCAAAAGAUAUGAGCACCCUUUUGCUUAUAUUCUAGACCGGAGGGAGUAUGCAUCAGUGUCUGUGUCCUAUGUUUUUUACUUCUAACUGCUAAUUAGAGUAGUUUAUAUAAAUUAAGUUUUAAAAUUGGAUAUGGCUCUACUCUGUAGUCUAUUUGGCAUGACUAUAAGCUUGUUUAACUAAAUGCUACUUCUCAAGUAGCAUUUGAGCUGUAACUUAUGGCUAUAUUUUUCUCACUUUUACCAUUUUUAUUUUGAUUUUAGUUCUCUUCACCCUCUUUUAAACUAAAAAUAAAAAUAAACUCUACCACUCUC
rnacentral:lncRNA from 1 species